UUGAAUUAACCUCUAGCCAAAAUAAAUUUAGUUACACAUUAUUAAAACAGAAAUAAAAUAAGAAGUUUGGAAAGAUUUAAACCGAAAGAACAUGAUUCUGUUGCUGUGCAGCUUACUGCGUCUUCAAUACGCUGCUCUGUCAGCCCUCCUUGCGUCUGCUGUCUCCCUGCCACUGUACUGCCCUGUCCGUGUCUCUCCUCUCUCCUGCACGUCCUCUCCUUCCUUCCUCUAGCCUCAUCUUCUCACGCCCAGCUUCUUUUCAAACCUGCCCUCUUUCAUUUUCCUUUCCGUCAGUCUACCCGCGUCAACCCCUCCGCUGCCCAAAGGCAGCACCUCGUCUGGACCCUCUCUCCCCUCGUUUUCUCUCCGCAGCUUCACGCUCCCCGCGAGCUGCCAAAGCAGCUCCCCCUCCUUUUUCCUUUCCGCGUUCCCCUUCUUUUUAUUUUCUGAUUUUCUAAGUUCCUGCUUUUGACUCCUUGGAUUCCUCUUUCCAGCUGCAAAGCAGCUCUCCCUUCUGUGGAUCCCUUCACGUUUUCUGCUUUUCUCUAUUGCUCACGUGUCUCUCCACUUCUUCUAUUUAAUUUCUCAGUGCUUCCACUUCUUCUCCUACAAACACAAUAAAAUUUAAAAAGUAUCAUAAAUACUUAAAGCUUUAACUAAAUUAGACAAGACAAGAAAAGAAAUAUAAAAGGAUGAAAAAUAUAGUUUAAAUAUUGGUUUUUUAGCGCCAAUGGGUUGGCAAUAUUUAAUUUAAAUUUGCUUUUGACGAAUUUAUAAAAAUUUCACUUGUUCUAUUUUAUUUUCUUUGCAUAACAAAUCCUAUAAACACAAAAAUAACGUAAAUAGCUCAAAAUAUAAGGAACUAACUAAGAAAAGACGAGUGAAUUCGAAAGUAAAAAUAUAUAUAAAUAUGAUCCGAUCAAAUACCCCCACACUUAACUUUUGCUAGUCCUCGAGCAAAACAAAGAAAACAUGAAAAAGUAACUAACAUGAAAAACAUUAGUUUCCCCCUAUGUGACCCUCAUAGAAUUUCAUUCGAGAAAAAACAAAUCAUCAAGAACCAUAGCUAGCAUCAAGGAACUAAUCCAAGUUCAUCUUCCUUAUUCAAAUAUUAGCAGUAAUCUUUGAAAUCAUCCUUGAAGUGUAGUGUGUGAGAUAGCCAUGCUAAUGCAAUUUCAAGUUUUUAUUUUUAAAAAUCAUCAUAUGCAAACUAGCGACCUUCUCACGGGAUAUGCACUCAAUCACAUAUGUUUAGUUUUAAUGUGUUUCGCUCAAAAGAAUCAAAUGUGAAAUUUCUACCAUAAGCUUGCAUAAAGAUCACUUCUCCACAGUCAUAAUUGCAAAACUUAAAUCAAGAGGACUUUUAUUGGAUGUAAUGAGGCUUAGGGAUAGGGUUAUUGAAAUGAAAGAAUAGGAAAACACAAGUUCCAAGCUACAUUGCAAGCAAUUCUUUUCUUUAGAUUUAUAAGAACUCAAGCUCUCCAAGCAAUUCUUCUAGCACCCUCCAACCACACUCUUAAACUGAAACUUUAAAAACUUUUUAUUUUCUUUGUAUACAAUCUUUCUUUCUUUUUUUCUUUUUUUUUUUUUUUCUUUUUAAAUACAAACAUGAAAUACCCCCACACUUAUUCUUUUGCCAAACACCUUCAAAGUACUUCACAACCGUUUCUCAUAAGACAAUCUCGCAUUGCUCGCUUGGGAAGGGUAAGGAAAAAUGUUUCAGGUAUAAGGGUAGACAUAUCUGGUGAUAAGAAAUAAAAGGCUCAACAUACACGACUCAAAUUGGCAAUCUAAUGAUAUCAUUUUUCUUUGGGGAACAUGGUUAUUUGGGCCAUAGUGGUAAACCUAAUGCCUCUAUCAUUUCCAAAUUCAUGCAAUCAAUGACAAACAUUUCGAAAGAUCGUUACGCAAGUUCUAGAGAUGUAUAUCACAUAAGUUCAUCACACAUAAAAAAAUAGGAGUGUAUGAAAAAUGCACACACUUUCAAUAGGCUCAAAAACUCACAUAGGAUGUAUAUGGUCACUAAAUUCACAUAUGAAGCUUUAAGUCAUACUUUAGUUUCACAUUAACAAGGCUAUGUGCAUUUGGUUUUUCAAAGAUGGUCAAACAUGUACAAAACUAACAAGAGAAUAAGGAAUUUCACAAAACACAUGUUAACUAAGUUCUUGAUGAUCAUGGUUCGAAUUUGAUCCAAUUAUAUCAUUGAGUCGGGAAACUAACAAAAAUCUAAUUCAAAACAAUAAGGGAAACAAGACAAUAUUUUUGGAUUUUUAAAUUUUCUGAUUUUUUUUUUAUUUUUUAUUUUUAAAGAAAACAAAAAAAAACAAAAACACAGAAACAAAUGAAAUUCUGGAGAUUUCUACCCCCACACUUAAACUUGACAUUGUCCCCAAUGUCAGAAAACACUAUAACGCAAAAUAAAAAUAAAAUAAAAUAAAUAAAUAAUAAGAAACAAAAUAAAGCAAUUAGACUGAAAACUUCCCUAAUUUGCAGUAAAAUCAAGUGAUUACCCCCCACGCUAAAAUUCUGCAAUCAACUUCAAGGGUGGAAAUAACCAAAAGUUCCUGCAAAGAAAAGAAAUAAUUUAGUUAAGUAACGCAAGAAAAUGUAAAAAAAAUUGCAAACGAAAAAUUGAAAAUCACAAUAAAAGACAAUGAAUAGAAACUAAUAAGUGAUCAUUGGUCAUGCUUGUUGAUUUUCCACAGCGUUCCUCUUGAACAGGGUGACACUUAGCUUUUUACUUGCAAGUGAUGAUUUUAUGCUAUUGUACGGCGAAGCUUUGCUCUUUGGUUAUGUUGCAGUUCCUUAUUUGUUCUCCAAGCAGAUGUGGCAGCUUCUCUAGUUCUUCAGUUCGGACUCCUUGUGCUGGGUUGAUUGUACGAGCUGCAUUCUUCUCUGCUUGUUUCUUCAGCACGGCGGCCAGGCACGAGGCAAAGGUGUUGGUCCUUAUUUCUUUCUUCAAUCUUUCCAAGUGCCCACCUCUUGCUUUCUUUCUCCUUGUCCCUAGCUGAAUUGUCUCCACAUGCUUCGAGGUAUCAUUUUCACUUCCCUUACUGUCCCCCAGGCAGAUGUGGUAGACGAAGAGAAAGCAUAAAAUGAUGAAGAUGAGUACUCGAGAGCAAGGCUAGGUAAGCAAUCAGGAAGGGGUUCCAGGCAGUUGGCUCCAGAUUGGAAGAUUGAUACCAAAUGCUGGCUGAUUGCUCUCUUUCUCCUUGUCGGAAAACAAAGACAAGGAGAAGGACAUGGAGAAAGCAUGAUAUGAGAUACUCUUGCUUUCAACCUUUAUGAUAUGAAAUACUUUUGCUUUGAAUGGGUUGUUCGCAGGAGUAUCCCAAGGAAUGAGGAACACAGAGUGACUCGAGAGGAUUCUUUGGGAAUGCAUUUUCGGAGAUGAAGAGGUGUUGAGAGGGUGUGCUGAGAGAAUGUGCUUUUGCUGUGGAAGGCGAAGGUAGAAACUUAUAGGACUUCUCUUCACAACCGGAACUGUUCUCUCACUCAUUGUCGGCAGCCGGUGGAUGGAUGAAUAGUACAAAUUACGCGCUUUUCUGACAAAGCUGCCCGUAAUUUCCGCAAAGCUGCCAGUUGCAUGUGACAAAUGCUGACUAGGCUGAGAGAGACAGAUGGUUGGAAUCGGCACUUCGACAGACUGCCCGUGAUUUUCGCAGAGCUGAUUUGCGUGUGAUGGGGUGACAACACGUCUGGACGAAUUGAUCUUGCGAAAUCCGGGGUUCGGCUCGUGGUUUCUGAGCAAGCCCAACUUUUAAGAAAUGAACGCCUCUUUUGAGAAAAGAAUCCGGCUUUUGAGAACGGAAACUCCUCUUUUGAGAAAAGAAUCCGGCUUUUGAGAAAGGUGCCCCGACUCUUCGAUUUGCGAAAGGACGCCUCUUCAAUUUCUGAGGAGCGCCUCUUUGAUUUCUUCUUUUUAUAGAGGCGUUAAUUUUGUUCCACAACACACUUGAGCUCCCUCUAGUAAACACUCCCAUCUUGCACUUGUUUAAUCUUGAUCAGUCCAACUCUCUUCUUUCUUCACCACCUCUGAAAAAUGUCUGGCCCUUCCGAUUGUCGUUUUGACUUGAACCGUGGUGAAGAGGCAGCUCCGCCUUCACCAGACAACAUAUGGCGCCCAUCUUUCAUAUCCCCAACUGGUCCUCUUACUGUUGGGGAUUCGGUGAUGAAAAAUGACAUGACCGCUGCGGUGGUAGCCCGAAACCUUGUCACUCCCAGAGAUAACAGACUGCUCGCAAGGCGGUCUGAUGAAUUGGCGGUCAAGGAGUCUCUGGCUCUCAGUGUGCAGUGUGCGGGUUCCGUAUCCAACAUGGCCCAACGCCUAUAUGCCCGAACCCGUCACGUUGAAUCCUUGGUGGCUGAAAUACAGAGUCUCAAGCAAGAGAUUAAAGGGCUCAAGCAUGAGAAUAAGGAAUUGCAUAAGCUCACACACAGCUAUGCCACCAGCAUGAAGAGGAAGAUUGACCAGAUGCAGGACACCGAUGGUCAAAUUUUACUUGAUCAUCGGAGGUUUGUGGGUUUGUUCCAACAACAUCUGCCUUUGUCUUCUGGAGCGGCACCGCGUAGUGAAGCUCCAACUGAUCAACCUCUGCCGCCUCCUCCUUCUGUGGCCCCGCCGACUGCUGAAGCCCCGCCUACUACUGAAGCACCACCCGACCAAUGAAUACUAUUAGUUUACAUCAUUGUAAAAUAUUUGUACUUUUUGUUUUUUUUUUUUAUUUUUUAUUUUAUUUUUUUUAUUUUUUUUUAUGUAAUUUUUUUUUUUUUAUCAUUAAUUUUAAAUUUUAUCUUUAUUUUUUUUAUUUUUUUUAUUUUUUUAUUUUAUAUAUGUAAAUUAAUGUAAAGAGACUUUGGUUAACCUUCCCCCACACUUAAACUAAAUAACACAAACUCACAGAAAUCAAACAAAUAACACAACUAACUAAACAAAACAAAAUGAAAGCAUUAAAGAUAAGGGUGUAAAAAUGCAAAUCUGAUUGGGUUAGCGAUUCCAAAGUCUCUCUUCGUUGAAUGCUUGGGUUGCCUCCCAAGAAGCGCUUGAUUUAACGUCUUUAGCCGAACGCAUCUUUCCUUUAAAUUUCCCUCAGCUCCAUUUGUACCUAAAAUCAAAGAAAGAAAAAUAAAUCAAAUAUCAAAAGUAAAAUACACAAACACCAAUAUAAACAUAAACAAAAACAAAAAUAAAAAGAUUAGCAAAGUUACUAAUCCCCGGCAACGGCGCCAAAAUUUGAUGCGAAAUAUAUAAGCACACAAAUUAAACCCUCUUUUUGACAAUUGUAGUAUAGAUGUAAGUAGGGUAUCGUUCUAGCCCGAGGAUUAGGAGGGAUUGCUAAUCUAUUCUAAAUUAAUUUAAAAAUAUUAAAUAAGACUCAAGGACACAAAAUUAGGCUAAAAACUCUAAUAACUCGAAACACACUUAAAAUGACUCAAAAUAAUGAAAACAAUUAAAUUAAACACUAGGAACUGAAAUGGACGGAAAUUAAAUUAAAAGACUAACAAUAAAGAAAACUAACUAAAUAAUAUAAUUUAAUAAUGGAUAGGUGUUUGGUUUUGACUAGAAGUAAAUUAAACUUAAAUAAAUUACAGAAUUGACAAAAACAUGAAAUUAAGGUGAAAGGAUAGUGAUGGAUUAGCUAGAGGGUUCUUCUCUACACAUGACACAUAUGCAACCUAAAUUGAUUUUCAGUUGUUCUUUCAAUAAGUUGUGAAUCUCAAAACUCCAGAUUAACCGUGAACAGCACUUUUUUAAUCUUCAAGUUUUCCUUAAGUUAUUGAAUUGGACGGGAAAACGCAUACAACAAUUCAAAACAUUCUUCAAAAGUCCCCUACGUGAAAAGCACAAUAGAGAUACAAUCAAAGAUCAUUAAACUUUGUGAAAACUAUAAGCAUUGACGAGGCAUUUGUAACUAUGAAAAGCAUGAUACUCUUGCCAAGAAUUCACUUAACACGACUGUGGAUAACAACCUUCACUACUUGUGAAUAUAAGUUCAUAACGAUUAGGUGAAAUUCACUUAUAUUCUAGCAUCAAAUUCAUGCAUGUAAAUUAAGUAUGCAUCCUUAAUCGACAUACAAAAAUAAGUUAUCAAUCAAGCAGUUAAGCAAAUUAAAUCACAACUCAGAAAUCACAACUGAAGGUAAUCAAUUCAUAUUACAAAUAUAUUCAUGGUUUCGAAUUAACCUCUAGCCAAAAUAAAUUUAAUUACACAUUAUUAAAACAGAAAUAAAAUAGAAGUUUGGAAAGAUUAAACCGAAAGAAGGUGAUCUGUUGCUGUGCAGCUUCACUGCGUCGUCAGUACGUGCUCUGUCAGUCCCUCCUCACAUGCGUCUGCUGGUCUCCCUGCACUGUACUGCCCUGUCCGUGUCUCUCCUCUCUCCUGCACGUCCUCUCCUUCUUCCUGACCUCCCGCGCCUCACUUGCCUUGCGUCCGUCACUCCCUUCUCACGCCCAGCUUCUUUUCAAACCUGCCCUCUAUUCUAUUUUCCUUUCCGUCAGUCUACCCGCGUCAACCCCUCUCGCUGCCCAAAGGCAGCACCUCGUCUGGACCCUCUCUCCCCUCGUUUUCUCUCCGCAGCUUCACGCUCCCCGCGAGCUGCCCAAAGGCAGCUCCCCCUCCUUUUUCCUUUCCGCGUUCCCCUUCUUUUAUUUUCUGAUUUUCUAAGUUCUCUGCUUUUGACUCCUUGGAUUCCUUCUUUUCCAGCUGCAAAGCAGCUCUCCCUCUUGGAUCCCUUUCACGUUUUCUGCUUUUCUCUAUUGCUCACGCUGUCUCUCCACUCUUCUAUUUAAUUUCUCAGUGCUUUCCACUUUCUUCUCCUACAAACACAAUAAAUUAAAAGUAUCAUAAAUACUUAAAGCUUUAACUAAAUUAGACAAGACAAGAAAAGAAAUAUAAAAGGAUGAAAAAUAUAGUUUAAAUAUUGGUUUACAUUUAGCGUCACAAUGGGUUGGCAAUAUUGUAAUUUAAAUUUGCUUUUGACGAAUUUAUUACAUAAAAUUUCACUUGUUCUAUUUUUAUUUUCUUUGCAUAACAAAUCCUAUAAACACAAAAAUAACGUAAAUAGCUCAAAAAUAUAAGGAACUAACUAAGAAAAGACGAGUGAAUUCGAAGUAAAAAUAUAUAUAAAUAUGAUCCGAUCAGUGGCCAGGAACCUUCUCACUCCCAAAGAUAACAGACUACUUUCCAAACGGUCUGAUGAGUUGGCUGUUAAGGAUUCUCUGGCUCUUAUUGUUCAGUGUGCAGCUUCUGUGUCUAAUAUGGCCCAACGCCUAUUUGCUAGAACCCGCCAAGUUGAAUCACUGGCUGCUGAAGUGAUGAGUCUCAAACAGGAGAUUAGAGGGCUCAAGCAUGAGAAUAAACAGUUGCACCGGCUCGCACAUGACUAUGCUACAAACAUGAAGAGAAAGCUUGACCAGAUGAAGGAAUCUGAUGGUCAGGUUUUACUUGAUCAUCAGCGGUUUGUGGGUUUGUUCCAAAGGCAUUUAUUGUCGUCGUCUUCUGGGGCUGUACCGCGUAAUGAAGCUCCAAAUGAUCAACCUCCGAUGCCUCCUCAUUCUGGGGUUCUGUCCAGUACUAAGGCUCCGGAUAACCACCCUCCGGUGCUUUCUCUUUCUGGGGCUCUACCGACUGCUGAGACUUCCCCUGAGCAACCUUUGUGAAGGCUCCCUCUUGUUUGUUUAUUUUGAUUCAUGUAUAUGUACAUAUUUGUAACUUAUCGGAAAUAUCAAUAAACAAGAUUUGCUUCAUUUCAACGUAUUGUGUUAAAUACACCAAGGCCUUUUUCACUAAGUUCUUUGAAUUUUUCCUUUUGUUGAAGCUUGUAUGUUGAAACUUUGUGAGUGAAGCAUGUAGGUUGAGGUAGUGCUCCCUUAAUUUCCCGAGUGAGGAAAACUUCUCGUUUGGAGACUUGAAAAAUCCAAGUCACUAAGUGGUCGUGAGACUUCCGAGUAUCAAGGUGCAGUAGCAUAUGGUAGGAGUCCCCAAAGUCUCUGGUCGAGGGAGUUGACGAAUGAGGCAUUUCCUUUCUAAGUGGUAGCCCAAAACUCCUUCUUCAUAUAUAUUUGUUAUGAAAGUUGUUAGGCCCAAAGAAGAUGAGGCCUAGGCAAUUUUUUUUUUUUUUUUUUUGAAUUUUCAAAUUUCCGGAUUUUUGAAUUUUCGAAUUUCCGAAAAAAUAAAAAUUAAAAAUAAUAUAUAUAUAUAUAUAUAUAUAUUUAAAAGCUUUGUAGGUGAAGCUUUGGUGUUGAAGCUUUGUAAGUGAAGCUUUAAGGUUGAAGCUUUGUUGGGCAUCAUGAAUUGAUUUUGCUUCACACUAUCUUGAUGAAGAGUGUGUGAGGCUUUUAUAUGUUUUGGUGUUGAAAUUUUGUAUUGUAGGUGAAGCUUUGGGGUUGAAGCUUGAUAGGUGAAGCUUUGGUGUUGAAGCUUUAUAGGUGAAGCUUUGGUGUUGAAGCUUUAUAGGUGAAGCUUUUGGUGUUAAAGCUUUAUAGGUGAAGCUUUGGGGUUGAAGCUUUAUAGGUGAAGCUUUUGUUGGCACCAUAAAUUAAUUUUGCUUCACACUAUCUUGAUGAAGAUAGUGCAAAGCUUUUGAGAUUGAUAUUUGUCCUCCAUUGAUGAAGCUUUUGUUGGCACCAUAAAUUGAUUUUGCUUCACACUAUCUUGAUAAAGAUAGUGCAAAGCUUUUGAGAUUGAUAUUUGUCCUCCAUUGAUGAAGCUUUGUUGGCACCAUAAAUUAAUUUUGCUUCACACUAUCUUGAUGAAGAUAGUGCAAAGCUUUUGAGGAUUGUAGUUGUGUUCCAUUGAUGAAGCUUUGUUGAAUUUCCCAAUUUCCAAUUUCCUUUUUUUUUUUUUUUUUUUUUUUUUUUUUUGGGAAAACUAGAAAUUUGAAAAUGUGGGAGAGACAACGUAUACAAAUUUUGCUUCCAUACUGUUAAGCGAGAGAUUGUGAUGCAAGCCACAUCAUGUAGUAGUCGAAGGUUUGGAUGAACUAUAUAAAUUGAAUUUGCUUCGAACAGUCUUGAUCAAGAGCGUGUGAAGCUUUCUAUGAGUUGUAGUGUUUGCAUUGUUACAGAGGAGAAAUGUCUAAAGCAGAUGCAAGAGGGCUGAAGAGCUUGAUCUUCGUAUACCAUGCACUGAAGCCAUUGUUGGCUUGCAAUAAGACUUUGUUGGUGACUAUAGCUCUUGUUAGGCAUAAGUGCUCCCCUAGUUGAGUUGUAAAGCUUGAUGGUUUUUUAUUAUUUGUGAAUGCUAAGAGUUCACAUGUACAAGUUGUACCACUCGUCUUCUAGUUAGUGGAAUGAAUGGUGGGUUGCUUUCAUCACUUGGUUGGUGGUACGAAUGUGAAUUCCUUAAUCACCUUUCAUCACAUUUCAUCACCUGGUUGGUCACAUGAAGGAGAGUCCGCGUUGUACAUUUCAUCACCUGGUUGGUGGCAUGAAGGAAAGUACGCAUUGUACAUUUCAUCACCUGGUUGGUGGCAUGAAGAUGAGUUCCUUCUUCACCUGAUUGGUGAUAAGGGUGGCAAGUUUCCAAAUAAUAUUAGAGUACGGGUUGUACAUUUCAUCACCUAGUUGGUGGUACGAAGGUGAGUUCCUUCAUCACCUAGUUGGUGAGAAUAAGGGCAAGGUGUCGAGGCACAUUGUGGCAAAUGUCGAAUGACACAAAGUGUGUUGAACCCUUUCGAAGCACAGUUGGCUUAUGUAUGGAUGUGUUGGAAUGUAUGAUGUUUAUGCAUGAAUGUGUUGGAAUGUAUGAUGUUUAUGUAUGAAUGUAUUGGAAUGUAUGAUGUUUAUGUAUGAAUGUGUUGGAAUGUAUGAUGUUUAUGUAUGAAUGUGUUGGAAUGUAUGAUGUAGAUCAUUUGUAUAGUCUUGUUGACACAUACUUAGAUUUUGUUUUGUAUUGGAAACAUUUGCGUUGAAGCUUCAACACUUGAGUGUUUCAUUGCUCAGAAUGUAAAAGAGUUUAGGGUCGAGUUGGCUAAAUCACCUCUUUAUUGAAUUCAUACCAAAUGGUCUUUGUUACAUAGGAUGCCGAACGGCUGUAGCUUAACACUUGUACAAUGUGAGUCUAUUUGUAAUAGUACUUCAAGUGGUCAGCAUUCCAUGGAUGGCCAAGGGUCUUGCCGUCGGAGUUUCUGAGCUUGUAAGAGCCAGGGCGGCUGAUGCCGAUGACCUCGAACGGUCCGUCCCAGUUAGGACUGAGUGUUCCUUCACUCGGGACCCUAUCACAGAGUAAUCUUUUCUUCAGUACCCAGUCUCCCACUUUGAAAGAGCGAGGUUUGACCCUUGAGUCGUAGUAGUUGGAAAUGCGCUGCUUGUAGGCGACAUUCCUCAGGUGAGCCUGAUUUCUGUGUUCCUCGACUAGAUCCAGGUUGAGGGUGAGUUGUUUUUCGUUCUCACUCUGCAUGUAAUUCUGGAUUCGGUAUGUUGCUUGCUCAAGCUCAACCGGGACAACUGCUUCUGUACCAAAAGCAAGUGAGAAUGGAGUUUCUCCUGUGGAAGUCCGAUAUGAAGUGCGGUAUGACCAAAGAACUUGGGGUACGAAUUCUGGCCAACAACCUUUAGCUUUGUCCAAGCUAGUUUUCAGAGUGCGCUUGAUUAUUUUGUUAACGGCCUCGACUUGUCCAUUAGAUUGGGGAUGGGCUGGAGAGGUAAAACAUAAGUUGAUGUUGAACUUAGAGCAGAACAUCUUGAACUUCUUGUUGUCGAACUGCCGCCCAUUGUCCGUGACUAUCGCAUUGGGAAUGCCGAAUCUACAGAGGAUGUUCUUCCAUACGAAGUCUUCUAUUUUUUCCUCAGUAAUGGUUGCCAAGGGUUCUACUUCAGCCCACUUUGUGAAGUAGUCAACUGCAACGAUUGCAUAGCAGACCUUGCCCUUCCCUGCAGGCAUUGGGCCGAUCAAAUCAAGUCCCCAUUGGGCCAAGGGCCAAGGGCUGAUCAUAGGAGUGAGCGGCUCGGAAGGGGAGUGAGGGAUAGUUGCGUAGCGUUGACACUUAUCACAUGAGCGAGAUAUUCUAAUGGCAUCUUAGUGGAGUGUUGGCCAAUAGUAUCCUUGGCGAAAAGUCUUGUGUGCUAGGGAUCGAGACCCAGCAUGAUCUCCGCAUACUCCUUCAUGUAUUUCCCGAAGGACAAUUUCCGCCUCUGCAGGUGUAAGGCAUCUUAGGUAGGGCAGGGUAAAACCGCGCUUGUAGAGUUGGUCAUUAAUGAUCAGGUAGCGAGCAGACUUGUAUCGAAUCUGCUUAGCUUGGACUUUGUCAUUUGGGAGGGUGCCAUGGGCAAGGAAUUUAUAAAUUGGGGUGAUCCAACUAUCUCCUUGUUGUAAAUUGCACACUUCCGCGACCAUUGUGCUUGGUGUUGCCAACAAUUCGACAUGAAUUUUUCUCCCAAUCUUGUCUUCCACUGCCGAGGCGAGGCGAGCCAAAGCGUCUGCAUGACUGUUUGCCGCUCGAGGAACUUGGGUGAUCUGGUAGUGGAAGUGCUUGAGCAAAAGUCGUGUUUGUGCAAGAUAUGCUGCCAUGGAGCUAUCCUUAGCAUCAAAGUUGUUCGUGACUUGGUUGACCACUAAUUGGGAGUCACUGAAGAUAUCAAUUUGUUUAACUCCAAGAUGCUUGGCCAAACGUAAGCCUGCUAGAAGGGCUUCGUAUUCGGGCUCGUUGUUCGAUGCCUUGAAUUUGAAACGAAUAGCGUAUUUUAUCGCCACUUUGUCAGGGGUAAUGAGGACUAAUCCUGCUUCGCAGCCCUGUUGGUUGGAUGAGCCAUCAACAUACAGACUCCAUGUUGGGGUUGUUGAUCCUAUCUUCUGAGCUUCCGAUGGUAAUGAAGCUAUUGCUUCAGGUGUAGAAGCAAUGUCAACAGGAUAUGUGAAGUCGGCGAUGAAAUCUGCUACUGCUUGACCCUUUUCGGCUGGUUUUGGUUGGUAGGAGAUGUCAAACUCACCCAAUGCUAUCGCCUAUUUGAUCAUUCGCCCAGACGUGUCAGGACUCUGGAGUAUCUGUCGAAGAGGGUGAUUGGUAAGCACGAUGAUGACGUGUGCUUGGAAAUAAGGGCGAAGUUUUCGAGCAGACAUGACCAAUGCUAGAGCUAAUUUCUCAAUGUUGGAGUAUCGUGUCUCCGCAUCUUGUAGGGCCUUGCUAGCAUAGUAGACGGGCCGUUCGACACCACUGUCAUUUCGGAUAAGAACAGAACUGACUGCUGAAGCCGAGACCGAUAGAUAAAUAAUGAGAGUGUUACCAACUUCUGGUUUGGAGAGCAGAGGGGCUUUACUCAUGUAUUCUUUGAGGUUCCUGAAUGCCUUGGCACAUUCCUCCGUCAAUGUAAUGUACUUCUUAUUUCCCUUGAGUGCUUUGAAGAAAGGAGCACAUCUGUCUGUGGCCUUAGAGAUGAAUCUGGUUAAGGCUGCCACCUUGCCAGUAAGGCUUUGGAUGUCUUUUGAAGUUACUGGCUCUUUCAUGUCGAGGAUUACUUUGAUCUUUUCGGGGUUAGCUUCAAUGCCUCGUUGGCUAAUCAUGAAGCCUAAGAAUUUGCCAGAGCCCACUCCGAAGGCACAUUUAUUGGGGUUCAACCUCAUUCGAUACCUCUUUAGAAUGGUGAAAGUUUCAGAUAGGUUGGUGAUGUGUUGGUCAGCAUGUUUGCUCUUGACUAACAUAUCAUCAACGUAAACUUCCAUGCUCUUCCUAAUCUGUUCAGCGAACAUUGAAUUGACCAGUCUCUGAUAAGUUGCUCCUGCAUUCUUUAGACCGAAUGGCAUGACUUUGUAGCAAUAUAGUCCCCUGUCAGUAGUGAAGGCUGUGUGUUCUUGGUCUGAGGGGUUCAUGAGGAUUUGGUUGUAUCCUGAAUAAGCGUCUAUGAAGCUCAAGAGCUCACACCCUGCCGUAGAGUCUAUAAGUCUAUCAAUAAGAGGAAGGGGAAACUAUCCUUUGGGCAUCCUUUGUUUAGGUCGGUGUAGUCGACACACAUUCUCCACAAGACCUUUUGAAGCAGGAGACUUUCCUUGGUCGGAUUUUUCUUAACAAGGACAACAUUUGCUACCCAUGUUGGGUAAUUGACUUCACGGACGAAGCCUAUGUCCUUGAGUUUUUCAACUUCUGCUUUCAUCGCCUCAUAUCGUUCAACAUCAUAAGAUCUUCGCUUCUGUUUUACUGGUUUGGUCUUGGGAUCAAUACUCAAGUGGUGACAGAUGAUAUCGGGAGAGAUGCCCGGCAUAUCUUUAUAUGACCAAGUGAAGACCUCAGCGUUCUCUUGCAAAAAGGAGAUCAGCGACAACCGAAGGGGUGGUGACAAAGUGGUGCCAAUCUUCACCAUGCGAUCUGGAUGGUCUUUGGAGAUAGAGACAUUCUCUAACUCUUCAGCGGGUUGUGCUUACUGGGUGAAUGAGUCAUCUCGAGGGUCGUCGGGUUAACUGUUGCCAUCAUGAAGAUCCGAGUUGGCUUCAUCUGGACUGGUCUUUACUACCUGGUUAUGUAUAAAGAGGGUCUCCUUGGGGACAGGCAGGUGUUGUUGCUUAACUGAAGUGUUGUAACAUGAUCAAGCACUAAGUUGAUCUCCCCUGAUGUAUCCAUUGCCGAAAGGGGUUGGAAACUUCAUCAAUAACAUAUGUGUGGAUACCAUGGCCUUGAGAUCAUUGAUGCAUGUGCGCCCAAAGAUGACAUUGUAUGCCGUCGGGCAAUUGACCACUAGGAAGUUAAUGGUAAUAGUAGCUGUGUAGGGGCCUGUACCAAUGGUAAUGGGUAAGUGUAUACUCCUUAAAGGUUGCACGAUAUCGCCAGAGAAGCUUAUCAGAGGAGAAAUCGAGCGAUCGAGCAAGUGUUCAGCUACAUUAAGUGCCUUGAAAGCUUCAGCAAACAUGAUAUUGACUGAAGCACCUGUGUCUAUCAGGAUUCGUUUCACAUCAAAAUUUGCUAUGUGAGCCUCCACGAUCAGCAGGUCGUUGUGAGGGUAGAUGAUACCUCUUUCUUCCUCAGGGUAGAAACAUAUUGGAUCCCAGUUAGGCUUUUGAUACUUGCCUCCCCUGAUGUCUUCCACGUGAAACACUUGAUGGCCAGGUCUCAAAGUUCGUUCACUGUUUUUCAUGGCCCUAUUGGAAGAUUCAGACAUAGGUGUGUCACCGCUUAUAGAAUAUAUCACAUUCACCUGGCGUUGGUUACGGUUAUCCUUUGGAGGGUGAAGGAGGAACUGAUCAAUUUUUCCUUCACGUGCCAAAGCUUCAAUAUGAUCACGGAGGAUGACGCACUUCUCGCCAUCAUGGCCAUUAUACUCGUGAUAGCAGCAAAACAUGCCCGUGUUUUUCGUGGACUUGUAAUCUGGCUGUCUUGGCUUUGGCUUUGGUAUCAGAUGAGCUAUACUCGGGUAGAUGGCCGUGCAUGUAGCGUUCAAAGGUGUGUAUGUCUCAUACCUCGGGGUAAGGCCUGUCUUGACAUGUGAUUGGCCCACUGCAUUAACUGCCUGGGGACGGGCGUUAUUGUGACGAUAUCCUGAGUUAUCCCGAUAAUGCCCCUUAUUCUUUUUAUUAAAAUGAGAUUGGUGAGGAUGGAAAUCUUUCCUUUUGCCCUGGGAUUGAUAUGUCUGCUGACUUGGCGAAGCAUUAAAUGAGGUCGGGGGGUGUGCUGUUACCGUUUGGAAGGUUGAGGUCUUUUCAUUCGGUUGGAUCUGGCCUCCACUCCCUACUUGCUGAUAAGGGGUGACUGUAGGGGGUUUCCCUUGAUAUGUCCUUGCCUCGGCAGAUGCAUGGUUGUAAGCUUGUGCCAUCACCUCAGAGUAAGUCUUCCAAGUGUUGGCAUUGAUCAUGUACUUGAAGAAACAGUCACGUAAGCCUGCCGUGAAGGCCUUGAGGGCGGUCUUGUCAUCUGCCUCAGCGCAGCGGGAAUACUCAUGGUUGAAGCGGCCAGCAUACUUUCGUAAUGACUCGUCCGGCUUCUGGCGAAUAGUGUACAAGUCAUCUGCGGAAUGCAAGCGAUCGGUCUGGAAUAUGUGUUGAGAGACAAACAACUUCCUCAACUCUUCAAAUGAGUCUACCGUCUCGGGUGGAAGACGGCAAUACCAGUUUAAAGCUCCGCCAGAGAGGGUGGAGAGGAAGAGAAGGCAUCGUUCUUCAUCGGUGUGUCUCCGGUAUACCAUGGUGGACUCAAAGAGGUUAAGGUGUUCAAUCGGGUCUUCCCUUCCAGUAUAGAGUUGUAAGUCAAGCUUCUGCUUUGUCUUCGCUCGGAGGGGGGUGUUGAGGAUCCUUCUUGUGAGGGGGCCAGGCCUGGGUUGGUUCCAGUCAGGUAUCUCGGCUUGACGUUCAGCCUUCAACUUGUUUACUUCCUCCAGGAGCUGUAGGACGAGGGGGUCUUGAGUGGAGUUGUGCAUAACUGAAGUUUUCUUCCGUAAGUCCCCAUCGCCUCUUGGAAGUAGGAAAGUUUGAUCAAGAUAGCAUGAUUUUUCCUUGGACUCGUCACACUGACUCCUAGAGUGAGUAUGUCGGAACAUUUCCGAGUCCUCUGUACCUUCAUGUUCUUCUAGGACUUGUUGCCCAUUCCCUAGAUUAACUGUUGGCCUGGGUCGUGGGAGAGGACCGAGUCUUUCAGAAACUCUUGGGUCAUUGAUCUUCGAGCUUAUGUGGAUGGGAUUCUCUCGACGUUGCUUUAGGGAGUCUCGACAAUCGCGAUAGACGGCUUUUGAUCAUUCCACUCCUUCUGUGAGGAGGUGCUUUCCUCUACUCCUUCUGCUUCGGGUUGAAGCAGCUGGGUUGAUAGAAGUCUCAUGUUGAUUAUCACAUUGAUGUGUAGCUCGAUCCCUAUCAGGGAUGUCCGUGUUGGAUAUCGGUGACCCUCCGUGUUGGGGGGCAUUCAGAUGAUUGUUGACCUCAGCAGGGGCGACGAGCUUGUGUGCUUGAGCAUGCCUAGCCUCGUGAAGCAUCUCGAAAAGUUUUUCAUACUGCUCCUGGAGAACCUCGUUCCUCAUCACUAUCUUGUUGUUCUGAGCUUCUAACUCAUCGACUUUAGCUUGAAGAGUAACUCUAUUUCCUUCCUGCUUUCGUUGCUUCAUACUAGGUCCAAUGGGGGUGUCAUUCUGUGUGCUAUGGCUUCUUUCGCUCCCCAUAUUGGAGAGAGAUGUUUGGCCAAAAGAAAGUGUACGAGCGGUGGAAACCAGCUUAACAAAGCUGAAGAGAGUGGGAGUAAGUGUCUUUCCCACAGACGGCGCCAAAUGUUGAUGCAUAAAAUCAGCGAGGACUUUGGUACAAUAGAAAGUGUCAGGUUUGUAACCUUCGCUUGGUUGCUUCGAUCACUAGUGAAGAUAAGUACGUAAAUGAAUAGGGACAGGGAAGCAAACACAAGAUGUACGUGGUUCACCCAGAUCGGCUACGUCCACAGAGUAGAGGAGUUCUCAUUAAUUGUGAAGGGUUUACACAAAUACAUAGGUUCAAGCUCUCAUUUUGUGAGUUCUAGUGAAUAGUUUAGUACAAAAUGACAUUAGAGAUUAUUGUGGGAGAAUGAUCCCUAUUUAUAGAAGAGAGUUUCUAGUUUUGUUCUAACAUUGACACUUGUCGUGUUGUGAUUGGCUUCUAAUGUUGACACGUGUCGAGCUAUGAUUGGCUUCUGAUGUCGACACGUGUCGCAUUAUGAUUGGCCUCCUGGUUGAAGGGAAGCUCUUCUGGGUCUUUGACGGUAUAACGUUGACCGGUGCUCAGUAGUUUCGGAAUUGGUCAAGUAUGGUACAAACAAUAUAUAUAUAUAUAUAUAUAUAAAUUAUGUAUAUGCUUAUAUUCUGAUUCUGGAAAAAAUUAUACAUGUUUUACGGCGAGGGGUUAGAUAUGUUGAUAAAGAAAAUGAUUUUGCAAAACGUUUGUUUUUGCCCACUUACGUUUUCUGUUUUGCGCCCCUCCAGAUUUUAAGUAAACUUGUUGUUGGUGGCUUGAGGACGUCGGCCGUUCUGACCUACCUAAAUAAUAGUAGGACAUUUCUGGUAUCGUAUAACUAGUACUUGUCCUACUGGACUGCAUCUAGACUUAAUAUGCUCUGAUUAAGAAUAUUUACGUUUGUAACUAACUCCUAUCACUUCCUGUUUAAUAGUGCACUUUAGUAAUUUAGUUUUUGAUUAUUCGUAUAUUUCUUUUCAUUAUUGCUUCCGCACUGUGUACAUGGUUACGUCACUCUCACGUGACGGCCAGCAUGCCUUGAUCUCGGUCGGGGUGUGUCAGUUGCUUUGUUGUAGAUGGGUUUUUGUUUAAAUGUAAAACAAAUUAUAAAUUGUUGGUUCUGAAAUCUCAAGAAUUUUACAAUUUCUAAUAUGGUAGAUGGCACCGAUGGCAAUUGCCAGAAGAAGAAAGGAGGUUGGAUUAAAUACGAUAUUUGAGUAGCACCAACAUACUUUGAACAUGGGGAAGAUGAAAUGUUUAACAAAGAAUAAUAUUAAUAUUUGGUUGAAAUUGAAGUUGAAGCAAAUAAAAUAUUUUGUAAUACAUCGUGAGUUUUUUUUUAAUUAUCCUACUUCUUAGUUAGAAACUGCAUUAAACGCUUCAUUAACUGUGACGUGGCGGUCAUGUGGACAAUGACUGGGCGCUACGUGGGUCACCAUGUGGAUUUUUUUUUUAAAGAAGGGGUUUUCACAUUUUUUUUUAGGGGUUCAAAAAACUUUCCCGCAAAAAAUUUUGAAUUUUUUUUUUCUUCUUCUUCUUCUUCUGGGCAGAAUCAAUUUUUUUUUCAUCUUCUUCCUCCUCCUCCUCCUUCUUCUUCUUCUUCUUCUGGGCAGAUUCUUUUUUUUUUUUUCUUCUUCUUCUUCUUCUUCUUCCUCCUCCUCCUCCUCCUUCUUCUUCUUCUGGGCAGAUUCUUUUUUUUUUUCUUCUUCCUCCUCCUCCUCCUUCUUCUUCUUCUUCUGGGCAGAUUCGUGUUUUAUUUUCUUUCUUCUUCCUCCUCCUCGUUCUUCUUCAUUCUUCUUCCUCUGGGCAGAUUCGUUUUUUUUUUCUUCUUCCUCCUCCUCCUUCUUCUUCUUCUGGGCAGAUUCUUUUUUUUGUUCUUCUUCCUGCUCCUCCUCCUCCUUCUUCUUCCUUCUUCUUCUUCUUCCUUCUUCUGGGCAAAUUCGUUUUUUUUUUCUUCUUCUUCUUCCUCCUUCUUUUGGGCAGAUUCUUUUUUUGUUUUUUUUUCUUUUUCUUCCUCCUCCUCCUCCUCCUCCUCCUCCUCCUUCUCCUUCCUCUUCUUCUUCUUCUUAUGGGCAGAUUCGUUUUUUUUUUUUUCUUCUUCUAGGUUUUUUUUUUUGUUUUUCCUUCUUCUUCUUCUUCCUGAACGUGGAGUCGAAGAUGGUGAUGGGAGGGUGGGCACGGGUGGGAUUGAAGAUGAAGGUUUUGUUUGUUUUUUUUUUAAUAAAUAAAUAUAUUUUUAAUUUUAUUUUAUUUUUUUAAUUUUCACGUGGUGCCCAGUCAUUGUCCACAUGGACGCCACGUCACAGUUAACGGGAGACUUAACAAUUUGACUAACAGAUGUAUGAGACUGUCCCAAAAUUUACACUUUAGGUAUGACUCUGAGACGAAAAAAAUUUGAUGUACUAAAUGUUUAAAACCACGAAACAUGAAGGUAGUAAAUAGUCUUUUGCCCUUAUUUUUAAAAGGAAAACUAAUGAAAAGGGCUUGAAAACUUUGAGUUUUAAUGAUAAUGACAAAAUAAAAGGUAAAAUGAAUAGUACAAGAAUUGACUUUUUAGUAUAAAAAUAUAAUUUUUCGUUAAAAUAAACGGUACCCUAAACUUUUAGUUAAAACUCCUAUUUUUAAAUGGGCACCACGGCAACCAUCAGGCUCGGCGCCAGAUUAAACGUAAAGGAAUAUAUAAAUGUGGCCAGGUCAUGCCCUUUGGCUUUUUCUUUCCUUUCUGCUUCCGCUUUCCCCGCCAAUGCAUUUAUGCUUAUAUGCCCACCUACAACAAUAAAUGAAUAUUAUAUUUCGAGUUUAAAUUUCCAUUCCUUAAUCCAAUUAAUUUCUUUUUUGUAUAGAUAAACCUUAAAUUUUCAUUCCUCAUUCCAGUUAAUUUCAUUUUUUUUUCUUGAGAAAGACUUAAUUUCUAUUUUUACAUAAACUUUUAAACAUUAACGUUUAAUUUUAAUUCCUUAAUCCAAUUAAUUUUUUUAUGUAGAAAACCUUUAAUUUUUCAUUCCUUAAUACAAUUAAUUUCUUGUUUUACUUCAAUUUUUUUAAUAUUUUAUUUUAAUUGAAAUGAGAAUUAUUAUUUUUUAAUUUAGUCAUAAAAUAUAUCUGUUCCAAGUCAAGAGUCUUGUUGAAGGUUCACUUGGCCAAAGGGAAGGCGCCAAACUCCAAACUCACUUCCAAAAGUCAUACUUUUCAAAUUUUCAAAAUUCUAAGAAAAUGCAUAAUGUUCCAACCUGAUAAUAACCACUUAUAAGUGAAAUUUCUAUAACCUCCCUCCAGAUUCGAAGGAAGUAGAAAAUCGUAACUUGUUGUCUCCUUUUUUUUUUUCUUCAUAAAACAAAAAAUCCCACAAGAUUAUUAGUCGCUACCUUCACACCUGCAGUAAAACCAACGAGGAACAAAGUCAGAAAAAUAAAUUAACCAAUAAAUAAUCAAAUAAUUCAAAAGAAUAUACCUUGAACGAAACCAAACGCGACCUGGUAAACCAAUACGACGCACCGAACGAACCGAACGCACGUAACGGACAACGCCGACAACGAAGACCACGCACUGAACGGAACGCACGGACCAGUGACACAAGGAGACGGCACACAUAACGGAACACCCCAAAUGCUGCAAACACAAAUGGAUUGAACUCAACUGCUGUGCCACUAAUGAAUUGAAGUGCUAAUUAAUUGGUCCUUAAUCAGAUUUUAAUUGGGGAUUAGAUUAGAUUGUCCGACAACUGUCCUUCCAAUUAUCCAUAGCACAUGAUUAUCAUUCAACUGUACAAAUAUGCAGUUCUAACUGUAAAACUCGCCGGCUUGAGUCAGCGCCUCCGCUUCAUAACUCGUCCAAGUUGGUUGAAUCGACUCAGCUGUGCCAUCGAUCUGGUCGGAUCGGAUCAAAAGCGGCUGCGAUGUGCGGCUCCGAGUUCCGUCUAGCCGGGUUCAAAGAUCGGAAAAAGAGAGAAAUUACCGGAAAAUAACCAACCAACCUGUGUCCGUUCUGUCACUCUGUAACCCAAAAUUCGUUGUCACUCUGUAAACCAAAAUUCGUUGUGAAUCCCGCCGCCGCUAGUAGUCGGCUGUGGACAUGGCAGAGAGUCUGCUGGGCCGUGGCUGGAACCCGGCUCUCCGCCUCUGCUGGUGCGCACAAGGGCGAAUCAGGGCGGUCAAGGCUCGCUUCACCCACUCGCCUUCGACUCCACUGAUUCGUACCAGCGAGUUCGUCAUAGCAGACCUGCGCAUAUUCAACCUAUUCGACGGGAAGAUCCGGUGUUUUGACUCCCUCCCUGGUUUUUGUGGAGGCUGCAGCGAAAUGAUCCCGGAUGCGACGUCGGCGAGCACAUACAGGUCUUCUUCGGCAUCGAAAUCGGUCCAGUUUUCUUGGAGACGGCGAUGGAUCGAUUCGAAUGGUGGUUGGGAGAGAUCGAACGGUGGUCGAUGGAGAACCGGACGUACCGAGACGGAGAGGAGGAGGUGUAAAGGUUGACACGCGUCGGAGAAGCGGAUCUGUGAUGGUGGUGGUGGUGGUUGAUCUGCUGAUUGUAGUAGUGGUGGUCCUGGUGGAAGAAAGCUGACGCCGGCGACGAGAAGCUUGAGCUCGUCGAAGAAGCGAAACCUGACGCCGAUGACGAGAUCCCGCCAUUGGAAGCGGUGUAGAACCUUUCGGAAGGCGAGAGCGACCGGAGCACAGGGCCGCUUUUGUAGGCCCGGGUUCUCGCCCUCGAUGAGGAAGAUGCGGUCGCCAUUGGAAAGUGCAGAGAGAGAAAGCAAGUGAGAGAGAGAGAGGGUUUUUUUUUUCCUUAAAGGCCCCUAGGGCGUUGGAUUUGGCAAACCUAUCGAGUCUCAAGGGCCGGUUUUAUAGGUUCAGGGAUGGGAGGGCGGGUGGUAAUUGAGAGGAUAUCUGGGGGUAUUAUUGGGAAUCAUAGUUUCGGGGAUUGGUGGUUUUUCUGACGUUGGGAAUCUUAUCCAACGGCUGGAGUGAUGGGGACUGGCCGAUGAGGACGAAGUCGGAGCUGCUUGUCCAACAGCAUUUAUUGGGGCCGCUGUAGAGCCUGCCACCUAUAAAUUCUUUGGAAAACGCUCAAGUUUGAAAGUACGGGAAGCCCGGUAAUCGUCUUUUUAUUACGGCUUGCCAUUGGUUCGUUGGGCGUGUAAUACCUUAACGGACCCCAGACUUUUGGUCUUUAUUCUCCUAGGUCCCUAGGAUUAUUGCUUUUUUUUUUUAUAUAUAUUUUUUUAUAUUUUAUAUUUUAGUACAUUGAUAUGUUUUUACACUAAAAGAAAUAAAAGUUCGGUUAAGUUAUAUAUGGGCAACCUAAUUAGGUAUCAAAUUCGUUAUCUACGAUAUUCAAACUUAAGAUAUCUUACUUCCAAAUGAAAAUGAAUACCAUUAAACUUAAUGUAAGUGUCAUAAUACUUGGAAUUUAAACUUGAGAAUCGGAGCUCCCAAAUUCCAAGAUUUUUUCCACUCUGAAAUUCUAAAUUCUAAAUUCCUCUUUACUUGUAAGUGAAAGAUCUUAUGUUCGAUUCUUGCCAAAGGUGAAUUUGAACCACAUUAUUGCUAGCUCAUUGUGAAGUUAAACUACCUCUUCCCCUUAAUUUAAAUAACAUCGUUCGUUAAAAAAAAAUAGCAAAGGAAUUGGUGCAUGUCAAUUUAAAACUUUUUUACUUUUAUGAAAAUUCUAAGUUUAUUUUAAUCAUCCAAACAUAAUGUAAAUGUCAUAAUCAGUGCCGGUCCAAAGAUUUUUGAUGCCCGGGGCGACGUAAAAAAAAGUGCCCUAACUUCAUGUAAGAAAAUUAUUUAUUUUCACACAUAAGACAUCGAAAAAAUUAUACUUAGAAAAACACUUCAAACUCAAUAAUUUAGAAACACAGAAAGACUAAUUUAUUUUGUAUUGAGAGAGGGAAACAAAAAAACUUCGGGCUUAUAAGUAGAUAGAUGAUGAGUUUUGUUUUCCAUCUGAACUUUGAAUAUGUUUUUGAAUAAAUCGUGAGAUGUUUUGCUCUUAUUUAAUAACCUUGUCAAUAUGAGACUAAACAAUAAUGAUGUUUUCGAGUCUUUAAUUGAUAUGUCUUAUUAAUGAAUGGGUACUAAAUUAAACAUUUUGAUGACACGUCAUAUAAUUUGCAAAUUUGGUCUACGUAUUAUUCUUUGUUGAAGAUUAGACUUGAAUUAAAACGAAUAUUUAAAAAUAACAACCCACAUAGCUACUAGAUAGUAACUAAAAAUAAAUUAACAACCAAACAAAAAUUUGUAAAAAUUGAAAAAAAUAAACAUGCACAUAGCAUUUCGAACGUAAGACCUCUUGUUAAUUUUAAACAACAAAAAUCAUUGAAAAAUGGAAAGUAAAUAAACACACAUGGUGUUUUAAACCCAAGACCUCCUGAUUAUUUUCAAAUGACAAACCAUCGCUUCUAGUUCAAUUUCUGUGUAUGUGAACCAAACUUUAUAAGUUUAUACUCUUAUAAAAACAUAUAUAAAUAUACCACUUUAAUAAUUUUGAUACCCCUAAUUUUUUUAGGCCCUGAACGAUCGUCCUGCCUGCACUGGGCCUGGCCCGACCCUGGUCAUAAUACAAGUAAAUAGACAAUUAAAAACCUCCCUAAAAAAUGGUAACUACAAAUGGGGCAGGGUGGUUCGGGAUAAUAAUGAUGGAGUUGGUCCUUUUAGGUUGAAAUUCAUUUUAUUAGGUGAGUGGGCACUUGGUUGGUCAAAAUAGUGAAAUUCUUCAUCCAUUAUUUUGUUUUUCUUAUCUUUGUCUAGCAAAAAUGCAAAUCUUCAGAAUCACUCAAAGAAUCGAGAAAGAAAAAAAAACAAAAAAACAAAGUUAUGAAUCCUAUAUAUGUUUCGGUGAACCAAAACGUGGGUUGGAGAGAAUUUAGAUGCAAUUGGGUGUACAUAUUUUUAUGCCUUUUUACAUUGAAGUGACAUAUUAAGCCAAAAAUAAGAAUUAAAAUAUUGAUAUCGGUAGAUAUACUUGUACUUCAUAUUCAUAUAUAUAUCAGUGACAUCGAUGGAUAUAUGGACAAGGAUUGUCUGUCCUUCUAUUUUUGGUGCCCUCCCAUGCCCUUCUGUUUGUGUGGUCACGGUUAAGCCACGUCAACAUUUUAUAUUAUUAUUCAUUUUUGUCUUAUUAUCUCUAUAAAAAAAUAAUAUAAAACGUUAACGUGGCUUAACCGUGACCACACAAAACAGGAGGGCAUGGAAGGGCACAAAAAAUAAGAGAGUAGACAAUCCUUGUCCUGGAUAUAUUGGUAAAAAAUUAAAACCAAAUAAAAUAUGUAUAAAACUUCUACAAACUCUAAAACCAACCAGUAGUGCGCCCUUUAACACAUAAAAUAAUAGGAAUUAAAUUGUUUUUCAUUGAGAUUCAUGUGGGUUAGUAGCCCCUUGUAUGAAAUCAAUACUCUGAUUCUACAACACUUUGAUAAACAACUUCAAGAAAUUGAUUCUAACUCAUCUUAAUUCAUUUUGAUCAUUUAAAUCAUUUAUGUUUCGACUCAUCAAUACCACACUCUAUGUAUUGACCCACACAUUAGUUUUGUUCUUUCAUCUAACUUCGUUAAAGUUUUUGUUAAAUUGUUGAUAUGGCAUUCACGUAGGGCCAUAUGCUAAUGAUAGAAUGCCACAUGGAUAGAAAAUAAAAAUCUCCUUUUUAAUUUAAAAUUAUAAAAGCUAAAUUGAAAAAAAAAAGGUCAACUCUCUAAGGUUGCACAAUUGUCAAUUAAAAUCAUUGAUCACAAAACAUACGGAAUAGGCAUUAGCAGUUGAAUAACAAGGAAAGGUAGCACUCUAAAGUGAUAAGGUUUGGUGAUGAUGAUUCUGAGUUAACUGCCUCGCUCAUAUCCAAAACCCUAGCUAAGCCUUGGGGACCUUGUUUUUCAGCUAACUAUUCGGAAAAUUACUUGAAAUGUCAUAUGAACUUAUUCACAUUUUUUAAAUUGUUAUAUGAAUUAAAAUUUUAAACGAUUUAUCAUAUUAACUUUCUAAAAUUAUUAAUUUAUUAUCUCACCCUAACACCAUUAAGUUUUUCAUACAAAAUAAGUUGUGUGCCUCAUGUGGAUGCAAAUUUCUUCCUCCUUGAUCUUGGACAAAAUUGCACCUACAAAACAAUUAACACCUUAGGGUCAAGGCCAAGAGCCUCACGCGCCCACGAUGAAUGGGGGGGCUUUGGCCGAAGAACCUCAAAUGCCAAAGUUAGAAUUUAGAGAGAAAGUGUUUGGAGAGUAUUGGGAAUUUUGCAAGUGUUGGAAUUCUCUUUUGGAGAAAAUGUGAGGUUUUUUUGUAGGAGAAUGGGAAUAAUUGACUAAUUAAUUUAGCAAAAUAGAAUUAUUGCCAAAUUAACUAGCUAAUUAAGGUGAUGAAAUGGGUAAAUAUGAGGAGAUCAACAAGGCAUGGCCGGUUCCUUUUUUAGCAAUAGGUGGCCGGCCCUUUAGUACGUAUUUGGAUAUAUUUUGUGGUUAAUUGGGUGACUUAAUUGGUAUUUAAUGGAUUAAUUAGGUAAUUAAUCCGUUAAUUAGCCAAUUAACAUAUUUUUGGAAUGAAUAUUUUGGAGGUUAUGAUAGCUAAUUGAUUAGCUAAAAGAGGAAAAAAUUAGGCAAAAUAUAUGGAAUGAAAUAGGUUUUAGGAAUUACCUUGUAGAAGGAUUUGAUGAGAUAAAAUUUUGAAUUGUUACCUUUUUCGGACACUUUUGAUUUGGGUGAAGGAUGAUUGCCAACUGCUUGCGUGUAGGAAUCUCGUUGUACCUCAAGGGUAUUUUUGUCAUCUUUUGUCCAAAAAUCCACGUGUCGCCUUGUGAUUAUUUUUGGCUCCACAAAUGCCCCCACACCUGUUGAGCUACUAGUAGGAAAGGGUAGCAGGUAUAGAGAUCAUCUUGCUUUAGGAAACGUAGGACUGCUUCCUAUUUUGAUGUAGAUUCUCUCUUUAAUAGGAAAUUAGGUCCUUCUAGGAAAGGAAAAUAAAUUUCUCUCAAAGCCUAUUUAAGUCCACCUUAAGUGGGUUAUUAAAUCAACUUUGGAGAGCAAUUUAUUCUACCCUACAAGAGAGAGAGAGGGCUUAGAGGAUAUUUGUUCCCCCUCUUCUAGCAAUCUUCUAGAUCUUACCCGUACAAAUGAUUGUCUUUCGUUGAUUUCUUCGUCUUCUCCGUGCCGCAUCGAUGUAAGAAAAAUUUAAUUUUUUCUUGUCUGCUUAUUGGAUAGUGCUAUUGCGGGGCAGCCGUCGGGAUGGUGCGGCACGUCGGCUGGCAGGGGCCAGGAGUCGGCUCGGCAUGGGCCGAGAAGGCGUCGUGGUAGGGGCCACUCCUUAGGCUGUUUGGCUUGGCUAAAGCCAAGGGCAGCUUGUGCGCCCGGGGCCACGAAUUGUGGCACUAGGGCGCAGUGUUAGGCGAGCCACAUGGCUCAUGUCUUUUGGGUUCUUGGACCUUACUUGGGCCAGGCUGGCGACUGAAAGAAAUAAAGAGAUCGUGGGCCUCAUGGGUUGCUAGAAUGUUAGGCAGCAGGCCUCCUGCCUGCUAGAAUGCUAGGUUGAGCUCAUUUGCUGAGUAUCGUGAAUGGUGUUGACUGCUUAGUUUUUUUGCCGUGAAAAAGGUGGGCUGCUCCCGAAAGAGGAGGUAAAGAUGAUCAAGGUGGAUGCAUUGGCUCGUCUAAUCGCUGUUGUGGAGUCUAUUAUGAAUGAAUAUGGAAAUAAGAGAUCUUCCCCGCCUGUUCAAGAGAUGCCAGUCGAGAAAAAUUGAAGACUUUCUCCGCUGCUCAUGAGGGUCUGCCUGCUGCUGAGAUGUUUGUGAUUGACAUAACUUCUUCCAAUGGGAAGAAAAAAAUGAGGCUGCUAAAUUUGAGCCUGUGGCACCUGCCAUUUUGAGAAUGGCUAGUACGAUUGCUGAUAAGAUUGUUCAGCGUAAAGGUUCUGUCAUGCCCCCAGUGUCGAAGUUUGUACCAAGAUGUCUGUUGGAAGCUAAGUCCGGUUCACCUUUGGAGAGGCUUGCUACUAUGAAUAGCGAUAAGGUGGAAUCUACUGCUAAAGUGGCGCCAAGGCCCACUCAUUUUGCUGCUGAGACUGAUUCGCCUGCUAGGAAGGAAGAGACUGCUUACGUGGGCAGUUGUGAGAAAUCCAUAAAACCUGCUUCUGGGGAGGCUGCUGAGAUUUGUGUGCUUUGGAAACUAGAUCUGCUUGAAGACAUGGACGCUUGUGCCAAGUUUGUUGAUGGCGGUAGAAAGGUUGUUUGUCCAAGUUCCUUUGUGAAGCAUACGACCCAAUAUAGAAGGACUGCUCUGCUUGCUAUGAUGCAUAUAUAGCACGGCUGCCAAGGAUGUGGCGAAGACUAUGGUAGCUAAAGCUUAUUCCUCAGCCGAAGAGAUCAAGAGGUUGAAUUCUGAGCUUGUUGCUUUGAAGGGGUCUAAUAUUUUUGCCCCCACUUCUCUGCAGCUCAGAUUCAAGAUCUUGAGUUUGCAGUUUUUGAGCUUCGUUUCUCUGCUUAUGCAAAGGAUGAAGAGUCGAUUGCUGCUUAUAAUCAAGUGAUCUAUUUCAAGAAGGUCAUUGAUAGGUUUGAACCCCAAGUGUUAGAACUUCAAGAUGUACUGAAGAUCAGCGAAAGUUUGAAGAAGGGAAUGGAUGAGCUGCAGUGUGUCCGUGUUUGUCUGCUUGAGAAGAAUGAAUAGCUGAAGGGUGAGAAUGAUGGGCUUGAGGUUUUGAGACCUUUUCUAUUUCUCCGAAAGACUUGCUUGCUUUUACUUUUGAGGCUUCCAUUGGUGAAGUAGUUGGAGAAGUUAGUGCCCAGGCUGGGGCAGCCAGGUGAAGCGUCGGAUGAUGCCACUGCUAAGAGCGUUACGGCUGCUGAAGGUGUGGCGACCAAGUAGUCGUGAGAUGUUUAAGCUGCUGUAGUGUAGUAUUCUAGGCAGCCUUUAGGAUUUUCUUUGUUUUUCUUUGUAACUCUUGUUUUGCUUGAACUCAUUCGGCCUUUGCUAGUUGUUUAUAAACAUGUUUUCCUUCAUUUUUCUUCAUCUUCGCUUCUUUUGUUCAUGCCUUAACCUUUAGACUUGAUAGACCAGUGGCAGACAUGCUACUUUUUUAUAAGCAGACAAGCUCGCGUAGCCUAUGCAGUCGUAUGUGUUGGUGUAGAACUUUGCAAAGUUGUUAGCCAUAAGGUUAGCAGCCGGAUGCCUUUCUUACAGAAACAGACAAGUUCGUGUAACCACUAGGCUGUUAACCUUGACUUUCUCCAAUUCCGUAGGUUCCGUAGCAAGUAUCACAACACUUUAGGACUUGGUGUAGGUUGUUCCACGCUUGGCAGAAGUGAAGCUUAUCGACUACGUAGCAUGUCGGCAGCGGAUAAAACUUCGUAUAUGCGCGCUAGCUUGUUUAACAUUUCACAAGAAUGUGCGGUUAUAUAAGUCUAGUGCGACUUUAUUGCUCGAAGGGCCAGCCGUAGGCAGUCUUCCGGAAAUCGUAGGCUACCUUAGUGCACUCGGUAGCUUCUUUAGGGUUCCAUGGCUGCCGUCUGUAGGGCGUACUGCGUAAUGUGCCCCCUCCGUCUCUAGAGCCCGGUUCCCCGCGAAUUAGGCCAAGAAACCCAAAAUCCUUCAGUUAGCUAAGCCUUGAAAAAGACCAUUGUGGCUACUUCUAGGAAUCCCAGCGUAAGCCAUUGUGCAUCUAGUUAUACUAGGGCAGCCAGGCUCAUCCACGUCUGGAUAUUCAGAGUGUAAAAUUUAUCCUCUCGUCUUGGAGAGCUAACCCAUAUAGGUGUUGGGGAAUUGGUUUACCCUCUUGCAUUGGAGAGCAAUUAGUUUACCCUCUCACACAGAAGAGCAUGGUUGGUCCCUCGGGGGCGUAAUUCCCACGAUGAGUCCCUCAGAAGAGCGCAAUCUUUUUUUGAAGUGUCGGAGUGAUCAGUUGUUGUAAGCAUGCAGCCGAGCCAAGUUGUGAUUACUUUUGAAUUCCUAAUUAAAAAACGAGUGAAACGAACGAGAACUUAGCUGUAAGGUAUGAAAUGCAUAACAACUGGAUAGUCCUCGGCUUGUGAGGUGGUGCCUGUCGAGCUUUUUGAAUCUUCGGGCUUUGAUGUAGUGGGAGGUCACACAUGGCACCUUUUCAGAUUGUAGGCGCUCCACUGCUUUUCAAUCUUUUUUUCGUUUCAUGGUGGUGAGGGUGUAAUUACUUUUGCUGCCUACUCUGCUAAUCUUGUACAGACAUUCCCAGAUGAGAUUAAUCUUUUUGGAGCCUUCUCUGCGGGCAGUGAUAAAGGCUUUUCUUAGAACUAGAUCUCCGGGCUGGAACUGCCGGAUCUUUGCCCUCUUGUUGUAGCUGGAGAUGAGCUGCUGCUGGUAGGCUGUAAUGCGGGUGCUGGUCUGCUCACGCUUAUCCUCUACCAGAUUUAAGCUUGUGACCAUAUCCUUACUGUUCUGUUCAAUGCUUGGUAGUAGAGCGGUGAUACUUGGCUUAAUGACAUUGGGAUGAAUGAUUACUUCCUAACCAAAUGCCAAAAAGAAAUGAGUCUCACCAGUUGCUCGUCUUUUGGUGGUGCGAUAUGCCCAUAGACAUCUGGGGAGUUCAUCAGGCCAUUUUUCCUUAUUGUUGGUGAGGGAUUUCUUGAGGCAGUCGAGGAUCAUUUUCUUCAACCUGCCCAUUGCUUUAAGGAUAUCUCGGCAUAGACAUGUGCUACUUGAUGCCAUAUUUUUGGAAGAACUUUGCCAAAUCUUUGCCCACAAAUUGCGGGCCUUUGUAGGUGACGAUGGAUUAAGGGAUGCCAAAUCGACAAAUGAUGUUCCUCCAUAUGAAGCGCUCUAUGUCCGUUUGAAUCGUGGUCAUCAUGGGCUCUGCUUCUACCUAUUUGGUGAAGUAGUCGGUUGCCACGAUCAUCAUGUCUUUGCCCCCAGUAGUCUGGCUAGUGAUUAGCUAGGAAUCAAAAUGAAUUGAAAGUUUUUUCACCGUCAAGUCUUUUGUCAUUCGAAGGCCUGCUAAUGAGGCUUCGUACUCUGCUUCGUUGUUGAAUGCUUUGUAACCUAAAAUGAUCACCUACUCGGGCAUUGAACCACCUGGGGUGACAAGGACCACGUUUACUUCUGAACUUUUGUAAUUGGAUGUGCCAUCGACAUGCAAAUGCCAGAAGUCUCCAUCGGGUGGAGCAAGUGUGACCAGAGUGUGAUUGGCUACUUCUGGGGCAUCGUUGGGCUACUCUGUUGCGUCAACUAGGCUUGGCAUAAAGGCGCAGUAGGGAGCUCUGGAGAUGGGGCCAUGUCACACGCAACAGGAGAUGCUCAACUGCCAGUAUUAGGCCACUCUAGAGUUGAAUCAUUGAGCAAGGGUCGGCUAGGGCCGUGUGACGGGCAACAGGAGGUAGUGCUCAACUGCUGGUACAUGUUGCUAUUAUGUAGAAUCUUCUGGGGCGACGAGGAUAAAACUUGCUUCUGAGUGUUCCUUCCAGUGUUCGUCUGCCUUUGGCAUGUCUUUUGGGCUGAGUUGUUGCGUUCGUCAGAAAACUUUGCAUCCGCCAGGGUCUAUGCUUUUAUCGUCGCGUGUCUGCAUUUAGCGAAAUAGUGCGUCAUGAUUAUGACUGUGUGCGUUUGAAGGUAAAACUUGAGCUUCCGGGUUACAAUAACUAUCGCCAAAGUUAGCUUUUGAAUUUUUAAUAGCAUCGAUGAGAGCUUUCGAACUGUAGAAUACAGGUAGUCUGCCCCCAGCUCUUCUCGUAUGAUAAUAGAGCUUAUUGCUGCUUCAGAUAUCGUCAAACAUGCGAAUGAGUCCCCCGUUGCUUCCGAUUUAGAUAAUAAGGAGGUGAUGUCGGGUACUUCUUCAAGUCCUUGAAUGUGCAUUGGCGAGCCUUGUCCUAAAGUGCAUGCUUCUCUACCAGAGUGAAAGAGUUUGCCAGAGUUAGAUCUUCUUUCAUGAUCAAUUUUCCGAAUAGCAGGUGGUAUGUUGGAAGUCCUUUUUGGAAGACUGCUCUAGCUAUUGAGUCGUUGCAUCUGACUAUCUUUGCCUUCUCUACUUUGAACCUCCUCACAUAGUCAUGAAGCGACUCCCUUGGGUUUUUCUUGACGUCGAACAAAUGGUCUGACUUUUUUUUUAUCGAGCGAUAGGAUGAAUAUUCUUUGGUGAAAACCAAAGAAAGUUUGUCAAAAUUGCGGAUGAAUUGUGGCAGCAGGGUGUAGAACCAAUCUUGCGCCUCGCCUUGUAAAGUGGUGGUGAAUAUCUUGCACAUGAGAUCAUCGUUAUUUCGAUAAAGGAUCAUUGCGCUUCGAUAGUGGUUUAAGUGUCUCUCCGGGUCUUCAUCCCUUUGAAAGAUGUGAAAUGUGGCAUGCUGAACUUGCGUGGAGGCUCUGCCUGCUUGAUCUCGUUCGUGAAGGGUGACCUGCUUAUGUUGGUCAUGUUCCGUCGUAGUGCCUUGUCGGUGAACUCGUUGCGUUGGAAAUUACGUAAUCGCUUGGUCAAGAGUCUUUCUACUUCUUCCUGAAUUUGCCUUUGUUGAGGUAGAGGAGCUCUCGGCUGCCCUCAACCGUGACUUGCUGGUCUAGGCUGCUCUUCCAUGUGUUUGGCUCAUUUAUGUCGCAGAUGCGGUGCGUUCCUAGCAGGCGUGAGAGUUCUUAGCAGGCUGCCGGUUGAACUUGAGCCGGAUUGAGUGACUGCUUCUCUCCGUCCGUCAUGCUGCCUACUCUGAUGUGAGGUGAAUGAUGCUCCUUGUGGGUUUAACCACGAAUGAACAAUUCACUUGGAAGGUUGCUCAUGUUGACUAUCGAAGUGUGACCCUAACUGUGAAUGUAUGUUCAUUCGUGGGCCUAAUCGAGAGUGCACGCUCCUCUGCGUGCUAAGAUGGGAGUAUACGUUAUCUCGAGGGCCCAGUCGGGAGUGUACAUUGCCAGAACCCUUGGUUCGUAGCUGGUCGAGUGGCUGCUUGCCGGGACGUUGCUGGAGAGGUUUUUUGUCUGCCCUUGUCCUACUUCGGGAGACCUUGUCUGGGGCACGUUGCAUCUUGGUGCGUUGUAAGAGUUGGUUCACCAAAGUCGUCUGUUGUGCAAGGGCGCUCGUCAACUCUAUGACUUGUCGAGACAAUUGUUGUUCGCCACUUGGAUUGGAAGAGCUUGGAAGGAAUGUGCCUCCUUGGGCAGUGGAAGGGUGGUAGACUCCGGGCGCGAGAUUUGAGUUGGGAAAUGUUAAAUCCGCGAAAAAAUGUGGUGAGAAUAUCCCCAGCUCGAUGGUAGGUCCAGAUUGUUGAGAUAGUCUUGGGCUGCUUGGAAAGCCAUAGGAGCAGAUUGGGCCACGAGAGCAGGUUGGGUCGCGAGAGUGGGCUGCUCGACGGGAGCAGGCUGGGCCACGGGAAUAGGCUGCUCAUCGGGAGCAUGCUAGGCCACGGCAGUGGCUGCUCGUCGGGAGCAGGCUGGGCCACGGGAAUAGGCUGGGCCACGAAAGCAGGAUGCUCGGCGGGAGCAUGCUGGGCCACGGGAGCAGGCUGGGCCACGAGAGCAGGCUGCUCAGUACGUGAUGCAUGCGAAUGCGAGGCUUGGGCUCGGGCCCGUGCAAGCUUGGAUGGCAAGGCAUGGCCCAUGGUGGAACCUCGUAGUGGUGGUACCACUCCGCCUAUGACUACAUUUAGCCUCGUGGAUCGUCGCGGUCCCAUUUUUUUUUGUAUUAGAAUUUUCACUUGUGGAAUUUUCUAAAUUUCUAGCCAUUAUAUUUUUCUUAUACGUUUUAUCAAAGAACCUUUGCAAAUAAAAAAUUCUAAUAAUAAGAACGUAUGAAAAAUAUUCAAAUGGACUAGAAAAUAGAGAAAAACCUUUUUAUGCGAGAGUCUUCUACGAGUAUGGAUCUCAACUCUCAAUGAAAGCACCAAUUUGUGGAUGCAAAUUUAUUCCUCCUUGAUCUUGGACAAAAUUGCACCUACAAAACAAUUAACACCUUAGGGUCAAGGCCAAGAGCCUCACGCGCCCACGAUGAAUGGGGGGGCUUUGGCCGAAGAACCUCCGAUGCCAAAGUUAGAAUUUAGAGAGAAAAGUGUUUGGAGAGUAUUGAGAAUUUUGCAAGUGUUGGAAUUCUCUUUUGGAGAAAAUGUGAGGCUUUUUAUAGGAGAAUGAGAAUAAUUGAUUAAUUAAUUUAGCAAAAUAGAAUUAUUGCCAAAUUAACUAGCUAAUUAAGGUGAUGAAAUGGGUAAAUAUGAGGAGAUCAACAAGGCAUGGCCGGUUCCUUUUUUAGCAAUAGGUGGCUGGCCCUUUAGUACAUAUUUGAAUAUAUUUUGUGGUUAAUUGGAUGACUUAAUUGGUAUUUAAUGGAUUAAUUAGGUAAUUAAUUCAUUAAUUAGCCAAUUAACAUAUUUUUGGAAUGAAUAUUUUGGAGGUUAUGAUAGCUAAUUGAUUAGCUAAAAGAGGAAAAAUUAGGUAAAAUAUAUGGAAUGAAAUAGGUUUUAGGAAUUACCUUGUAGGAGGAUUUGAUGAGAUGAAUUUUUGAAUUGUUACCUUUUUCGGGCACUUUUGAUUUGGUUGAAGGAUGAUUGCCCGCUGCUCGCGCGUAGGAAUCUUGUUGUACCUCAAGGGUAUUUUUUUCCAAAAAUCCACGUGUCGCCUUGUGAUUAUUUUUGGCUCCACACCUCGCACAUGGCACAUGACUUGUGUUCAAUAUAUUUUCAUAUUCUUGACCUCCAUUUCACAAGUUCAUUGCUUCUCCUUAGUUCAAAUCCUUAAACUUUGGCUGGUGAAAAUACAUGUUGUAUUCAUUUGAAAAGCUUAUCUUGACUAUUAAAAAGAACAUUAGACUUACUAACAUGAAGUUGUGGAUAAUUGCAAGCUUCGAAAAUUCAACAUGGUCAAUCAUGUCCAUAACAAAAACUUGGACAAUCAUGCUCAUCUCUUUCACUUCAUUGCUACCUGAUCGUGUUCAAAAUCAAAGAUACUAAGUAAUGAGAAAACAUUGCUUAAAGUUCACUACAUUUUCAAUAGAUUUCCUUCAAAUUCUACAGUUUUCAAGGAAAACUUAACGGAGUUAAGAUGAUAUGACAAAUUAACCAUGAGAUUAAUGGAGUAAUGAGGUGUUGAAAUGUCCAAAAUAACCCUAAACAUAAGUCAUGACUUAUUUUGGAUGGAAAACUUAAUGGAGUUCUAGUGAGAUGACAAAUUAAUGAAUUCGGAAAGUUGAUAUGACAAUCGCCUAAAAUUUUAGUCCAUAUAACUGUUUGGGCCCAAAUUUACACCAUCGGCCCGAGUAAUCAAGGCCGUUGAGUAAGCACGUUUCUACACCGUCGAUCGAAGAGUGAAGAUAGAGGGAUAAUAUUAUGAUUUUUAUCAUAAUCAUUAUUUAUCCUUUUCUUAUACGGAGGAAUAAAUGGGAUUUUCAUUAUCUCCAAUGAAAGCAACAACAACAGAGUUUGAAUUAAUUGUGGUUAUGUAAAAUACCAUGCAGCAUUAAAGUUCUGUUUGGUAUACAGAACCGUGGGGAGCAAUUCCACAAUGUAAUGGGAUGAUCAGCACAUUGAGAUGAUGUGGGGAGUAACCAAAACAAGGUGAUGUGAUAGGAUCAUGGUGGUUUUGCAGAUAAAGCAAAAACCAUUAACCAUUUGUUUUAAUUAUCAUGUAUGCGUGGAUAAAGCAUAUGUGGAUGGGUGAAAGAUUAGGAUUGACCAAGCAAGAGUUGGUGAUGUUUAUGGUAUUGUCUGACAGGAAGUAGAGUUCCAAGUGAUAUGGUCUCUUUUGGGCAUGCAAAAGAUAACAAUUGAAAAGCAAUCCGUGGGGUUGUUGAAGGAAAAUAUUCUGAGGAAUAUUAUUUUGAUAGCUUGGAUGCCGCGGCGGAUAAACUUCAACAUGGCUAGUAAAUAGUAUUAUAAAUACAUGAGGCUGUACAUCGUUGAAGAGACCUCCAAUUCAACACACAAAACUGCCCUGCGCAAACUCUCUUAACAAUUUUGAGAUUUUUUAUUUUCUCUUUUCGCUGACACAUCUUCCGUUGGCAUCAACAACACUGUGAAAGCAACCGGUGAUAUCUUAAGUCGGCAUAGAUAGCUCUGUCACCGUAGAAUCAGCCAGUCUCGCAGCAUCUUCCGUUGGCAUCAACAGCACUGCGGCGAGGACGGUUAAUUACCUAUCCAAGUCUCGGUCGAGAUGGAUUUCUGACUCCUUAUUGGUCGAGGUCAUCUCAUCAGCCUUCUCGGCAAAGUGAGGUGUUACAGUUAUUACAUUCGGCACAUUGAAAGCCGAAUUUGAUAUUGAACUUCGUAAGAAUAGUAACCUUGUCUUCAGGUUCGAGAGCCCAAGAGGCCGAGACGUGUUCCUUUCUCGGCCGCAAUCGCAAGACGCAGAAGUCAGCCGCGCACCCAACCCAACAUUAACAAAAUUUACUCCUCGGCCGAGCUCGGCCGAUGAGUUGGCACGCCCCGCAUUCACCGAAGGACGUAGUUAGCUUAUAGAUUACUCGGCCUGCGCGCCACGUAGGCUUGGUAGUUUUUAGGGUCAACAAUAACAAAUGGAGAAAAGUGUAUAAGUUCAUAUGAUAUCUCAAAUUUUUCUUCUAACUAUUUUUAUCCCACUCGCAAGAAAUUGACUAUAAUUUUAUCUUUUGCUGCAGAAUUAACUAUUUUGAUUAUUAUUUGUCUAGGUAUGAAAAAUGGAGUUUAUUAUAUCCAUUUGAAAUCUUAGAAAAGGUUAUUUACCUCCUUCCAAUGGACCAUAUUGCACUAAUACUAAAUAUAUCAGUUGGCAUUUGUAAAAUGUUGAUCAAGUGAGGUGGAAAAAAUAAUUUUAAAAUAGAUUUUGUGCAUAGACUAAUUAACUUGGUACAUAUAUCUUUAUGUCUUUAUAUUGUCACGUAGUGCACUUCACAGACAACGUUGCAGAGCUUAUUAUAAACUAAAUAAAUAAUAUCCAGGCCAUCAUAAUGACAUAUUAAAAUAUUAUGGAAUAUAUAUCUUAUUGAAAUGUGACAGCUGUCGAUGACCAAAAAUGAUUAAAUAAAGCAAGGUUUAUUUUUAAUUAUUGCUUAGGAGCAUAGGCAAGCUAAGCUACAAAGUCGUUGAAGAUGAUUCUUAAUUGGGUUGUGUGCUUGGGUUCUAGAACAAAAAGAAAGCAGCCUUUUUCUUUCAAGCAUGACUUUUUUUUUCUUUUCAAAAUGGGACCAGUUAGUAAUUUAUCUUUUAAGGGGUUAGGAAGACUCAUAAAAACAGUUUAGCUUUUUUCUGACUAUUAUCGUAUGAUUUACUAGCAGCAGAAUUCAAACUCAGGAUAUGCCGUGUGAAAUACGGGCUUGGAAUUCAAGCUCAAUUAGUUGGCUUGCUUAAUCAUGAAAUUUGUUGCUUAAGCAGUCAUUCUAGCUUCUCCAUUCCAGCAUCUUUAGCUACUUAGCUCUCCGAGCGCUAAAAAGAGGUUGUGACGAUACAAGAAAAUAAUUUCCUUUCCUCUUGAUGACGGGGGUUUCAGCGAAUCAAAAAGGGCUUUGGAGAAGCGGUAUCCAACUCCGUCCUUAUAGUGCUUUCUAGUAAACCUCUUCUUCUUUUGUUUCGGUGGAACUUCCUUUUUGGGAAGGAGAAAGGAAGACUCAAAAUAUGAUAAAAGAUAUAUUCAAGGAGCAUGGAGCAAGGCUGGGCGUGCGAUCCAUCAACCUACUUGGAAAAGGGGCCCUGUCUUUUUUCCAGAAUUAGAGUUCGACCAGGGUUGCCCUCGUCUCCAACCACUAGGUCACCCCAUGAUGGUUUUUAUGUUGAAUAUUUCAAGAAUAUAUAUAUAUAUAUAUAUAUAUAUAUAUGUAUAUAUUUCAUGAAUAUAAUAAUAUAUAUGUAUAUGAUUUGGUGCUGCAUUGUUGUGCAGCAUGUGUACAGUCGGCACAAAAGGUUGGGUUUCAUUCAACUCUUGUAUAUUUUGUUGAAUGGUUGCAACUUUUGAUUAAAAGACAUGAUGCUUACUCAAAUUAUAUGAGUAUAAUUAAAAGAUAUAAUUAGUCAAUAUUUAUUUUCUGAAAAUUCUAAAUAAAAGAUAUGUCUUUUGGAUCAACACUUUUAAGAAGAGUAGUAUAUCUUCAACUAAAUUGAAAGGAAUCAAUGAACGGGUGCAUUAAUGCCUAUAAAUACCUAUUAUGGCAUAAUGUUUCAUACACAAUUUCAGAAAUUUAUUUCUACAUUCCUUACUCUCUAUUUUCUCCAUCACAUUCAUACAAUUUCUUUCUAGUUAUUUCUAAUGGAAUACAAUUCGGUUUUGCUAAUCAAAUAUUUCAUACUUUGUUGUAUCCUGAAAGUGAUUUGCCAAGAACCCUUUAGCAAACUCAUUCAAGUGGGGGCAAAUAACACUUUAAGGAAACAAUUCAAGUCGUACCUUAAAGUCAUUAUUCGGAUUAUUCUAUAAAUUUCUACAUUUGCUCAAACAAUCUUAAAGUGUUAUUUUCGUCAUGGAUAACAAAUCUGAUAACAUAGCUUUGAAGAUUAUCAAUCAAGAUGUCUACAAGUUAGACAAAUUUGAUGGAUCAAAUUUCACCCGAUGGAAGGGCAAGAUGCGUUUCAUGCUUACCGUUCUAAAUGUCAUAUAUGUGUUGGACCCGAAAUUGGAGCCUAUUUGUGAACCAAGUGACAAAGACUCGAACAAUAUAGUUGCCGAUCGAAAGAAGCGUGAAGAAGAUGAAUUGGUAUGUCGAGGACACAUCUUGGACACAUUAUCUGAUCGUUUAUAUGACUUGUAUGCACACAUUCAAUCUCCAAAGGAAAUUUAGGAAGCACUUGAACACAAGUACACAACGGAAAAAAGAGGUACCGAUAAAUUUUUAAUGUUCAAAUAUUAUGAAUUCACUAUGUUUGAUAACAAACCCAUCCUAGACCAAGUUCAUGAAUUAUUGGUCUUGGUCUUAAAGCUUCGUGAACUUAAAAUAGUUAUUCCGGAUCAUAUGAUAGUUGGGGCUAUUAUGGCAAAAUUACCCCAAACAUGGAAUAACUAUAGAAAGAAACACAUGGUGGAAGAUAUUAGUUUGGAGGAUUUGCAAAAAGGUAUUCAAAUUGAAGAGGAAACUCGAAAUUGUGAUAAGAAUUUUGCAAAUCAAGAUUUCUCUAAAGUUCACAUUGUUGAAGGAAACAAAUAUAAAAAGAACUUCAAAGUCAAAAUUGACAAAGGGAAGUUUAAAAAGACAAAUUCCAACAACAAUCAAAAGAAUGCAAAUUGGCUGCUACUAUUGUGGAAAGAAAGGCCAUUACAUUCGUGAUUGUAGAUACAGGAAAACAAGUGAGGAAUAUGCCAAUAAAACCAAUAGCGCAAAUAUGGUGGAAAACUCUGGAAUUGAUAACAUUGUUGCAAUGGUAUCAAUGAUGCAUAUUGGUAUGAUUACCGAACUAAAUAUGGCAGCAGCAAUAAAAUCAUCUAAUUGGUGGCUUGACUCAGGAGCUACUAUACAUAUGUGCAAUGACAAAGUACAAUUCAAGACAUAUGAAGCAUCAAUGGACAAUCAAGAAGUUUUAAUGGGAAUCAUAAUUCCGCCAAAGUUCUAGGAAAAGGAACCGUUGAAUUUCAAUUUACUUCUGGGAAGAAAUUGACAUUGCUUAAUGUACUGCAUGUUCCAGAAAUUAGAAAGAAUCUUGUGUCUGCAAAUUUAUUAUGUAAGAACGGUAUAAAGACUAUUCUAGAGUCCGACAAGUUAAUAAUGUCGAAAAAUGGGAUGUUUGUUAGGAAAGGGUAUUCUUGUGAUGGGAUGUUCAAAUUAAGUAUUAAUAAUAAAGUGAAUUCUUCUGCUUAUAUUGUUGAAUCUUCCUCUCAUUUAUGACAUUUACAUUUAGCACAUAUAAAUUUUAGAUCUUUAAAAUACAUGCGCACACUUGGUUUUAUUGCUUGCAAUGAUGAUUAUAAUGAUAAAUGUGAAACAUGUAUUCAAGCGAAAAUGACUAAAAAACCUUUUCCAACUACCGAAAGAAAUACAAAUUUAUUAGAUUUAAUACAUUCUGACAUAUAUGAAUUUAAUGGUGUUUUAACAAGAGGAGGAAAAGAUAUUUUAUCACAUUUAUAGAUGAUUGUUCUAAGUUUACUUAUGUUUAUUUAUUGUCUAAUAAAGAUGAAGUUUUUGAGUGUUUUAAGCGCUAUAAGGCUGAAGUUGAAAACCAAAAGGGAAGGAAAAUUAAAUGCCUUCGUAGUGAUAGAGGUGGUGAAUAUUUUUCACAUGAAUUUGAUAUUUUUUGUGAAGAGCAUGGUGUUGUACAUCAAAGAACUGCACCCUAUACAUCACAACAAAAUGGUUUGGUAGAAAGAAAAAAUAGGACACUCACUAAAAUGAUUAAUUCUAUGAUGAUUAAUGCUAAUACUCCAAAAUAUUUAUGGGGUGAAGCAUUGUUUACUGCAUGCCAUAUACACAAUAGAAUUACAUCUAUGAAGACACAUGUGUCACCAUAUGAAAUUUGGAAGGGAAGAAAACCAAAUUUGUCAUAUUUGAGAGUAUGGGGUUGUGUAGCUUUUUAUAAGGCAAUCGAUCCUAAGAGAUCCAAGUUGGGUCCAAGAGGAAUUAAAAGCAUAUUUGUAGGAUAUGCAGAAAAUUCAAAGGCAUAUAGGUUGCUUAAUUUAGACUCAAACACAAUAGUUGAGUCUAGAGAUGUCGAAUUUAUAGAAAAUAAAUUCUAUAAUGACUACUCAGUGUCUGGAGUAGAGAAUGAUCAAACACCUUUCUCUAAUCCGUCUACUAGUCAUUCUUAAUGUGAGAAAAGAAAAUAGUCUGAAAUUGUUAAUGAACCAAGGAAAAGCCAAAGGGUAAGAAAAGAAAAGACUUUAGGCUCUGAUUUUAUUUCAUCUCAAUCUAUUGUAUUUUUAGUCGAAGGAAAUAGAACAAAGGUUUUUAAGAAAAUACCCAUAUUGUUGAAUGUUGAGGAUGAUCCUAAAAGUCUAAGCGAAACAUUGACUUCAAGAGAUGCAGCCUUUUGGAAAGAGGCUAUAGAUGAUGAAUUUGAAUCAUUAAUAUCUAAUCAGACAUGAGUUUUAGUAGACUUGCCCCAAAGAUCAAAAGCAAUAGGUUGUAAGUGGGUAUUUAGAAGAAAAUACAAUACAAACGGGUCCAUUCAGACAUUUAAAGCCAGACUAGUUGCCAAAGGUUUUAAGCAGAAAAAGGGAAUCGACUAUUUCGAUACAUAUGCACCAGUAGCUAGGCUCACAUCAAUUAGAAUAUUGUUUGCAUUGGCAUUUUUAUAUAAUUUGCAUGUGCAUCAAAUGGAUGUGAAAACGGCCUUUUUAAAUAGUGAUUUAGAUGAAGAAGUCUAUAUGGAACAACCAGAAGGGUUUGUUCUCUCUGGGAAUGAAAAGAAGGUUUGUAAAUUAGUAAAGUCAUUAUAUGGAUUGAAGCAAGCACCAAAACAAUGGCAUAAAAAGUUUGAUUUUGUCAUUUUAUCAUAUGGAUUUAGACAUAACAGUGCUGAUAAAUGCAUAUACUCUAAAUUCACAAAUGAUUAUGGUGUUGUUAUAUGUUUAUAUGUCGACGACUUGCUAAUCUUUUGUACAAACAUGAAAGGUGUAUCUGAAACUAAAGAGUAUCUAAAUUCAAAAUUCAAGAUGAAGGACUUGAAUGAAGUAGAUACUAUCUUGGGAAUUAAAGUAAAGAAGCAUAGUGGGGGUUACGCUUUGUGUCAGUCACAUUAUAUAGAAAAAUUGCUUCUUAAGUUUAAGCAUCUACAAAUAAAAGAAGCAAAUACCUCUAAUGACCCUAGUGAAACUUUGCUUAAUAAUUCUGGCAGGUCUGUUGCACAGUUUGAGUAUGCUAGUGUAAUCGGUAGUUUAAUGUAUGCCAUGCAUUGUACCAGGCCAGAUAUCGCAUUUGCAGUAAGCAAACUUUCUAGAUACACUAGUCAUCCAGGUACUGCUCAUUGGAAAACAAUAAAUAGAAUUUUUGGUUAUCUUAAAAGAACUAUUAACCUGAGUAUAACGUACUCUGAGUUUCCAGUAGUACUUGAAGGAUAUUCAGAUGCAAUGUCACAGCCCGUCCCGAAAUUUCAUUUAUCGUUGAUGUGAGCUGACAGAAUUGCCCUUAAAGGUUGCUAAGGUAUGUGUGACUUAUUUAUUUGAAUAAAAAAUACCUUUCUAAGUUUUUGGAAAGUUAAGUUGGAUUAAAAAUUAUGUACAUUUUGUGUGGUUAGGGUCUUAGAAGGACCACACAUCACCUAAAGUACUUCUCUCUCUUCCGUGGACUUCCUCUCUCUCUCUCCCUUCUCGGUUUCUUCUUCCCGUGCACUGUGCACGUACGGAUAAAGGUGGAACUUGCUCAUUUCUUCUCAGAUCGAGACUGAAAAUGUAAGUUUUAGAAUCCUUGCAAGCUUGUGAGUUUGUUGGUACCAUUUUUGGAACUUAGAACCUUUGAAAUCAUUGUGAAACCCUAAGCCCGAAAAUGUGCACUGUUCAUGCACACGUUAUAUUGAACGUUUAGGAGGUUACCAGCUUGUAGGAAGCUUUGGGACCUUCCUACAAAGCUCGGAGAAGAAGAAUCGAAGGAUUUAGACGUAAGGAUCCCUAGUUUUUCUAAUCCCCGAAUUGGUCACUAUUUACAAACUUUUAAACCCUUAAGUUUUUGUGAAUAGCAAGCUCUAGGAGGUUCUCACGAAGCUCAGAGUGCUUCGUUGGACAUGUUUUGACGUCAGGAUCACGUGGUUCGAAGGUGGCCGAUUUUGGUAGAAAUUUCCCGAUGAGUUUUCGAAGGAUUUGGAAGUUUUAAAAGGUAUAGCCUUCUUCCUCUCGUGAUUUGUGACAUUUUGGUGAAAAUUUUGUGGAAAAUGGUGCAAAAUCGAGCGAGAAAAGGGAAUUUACAGGUUUGCCCAAUUUCCGGCGCCGGUGAGAUUUUCUGGCGCUGGAGGUAGGGUAUGACGCGCGUGGGGGCGCGUAGCACCGUGCCUCUCCUGCAUGUGGGGGCGCGUGCGGCAUUGAAAAAUUAUUCUAAAAAUAUUUCGACGUCUGUGACGUCGAGUAGGUCACUGUGGUAUAUUCAUAUACCCAAAUUGAGCAUCGUAUGAGAAGUUAUUACGUAUUGUUGGUUAUGUGCUUUAAAAUAACGUUUUUAUAGUUGUUUCGCAUAUAGUUGAGACCUAUCUCGAGGACGAUCGCAUUCAAGGGCGUCACGGGGGUUACGACCCUUCAACUUACCAAUGAGUGGGCAGUUAUUUUCUGUAUAUACCUAUAUACUACUGACUUUUCCCAUAAAUUGAAUUUAAAUAAUAGUAUGUUUUAAAAUGCCAUGCAUGCAUAUUAUAUGAAAUAUAUGAACUAGUAUUUGAUGCAUAUAUGUUAAAUGGUGAUGUGGACGUACAUGUGAGUAUCAAGUGAGUUUCAUGUUGUUCAUGUGAUUUAUUGUUUGAUGUGAUUUAUGUUCAGAGCUCAUAACAUGCACCCCCGGUCUUAGUGCUUAUAUUAUUCACCCCACACCACACGCUCACCUUGGAUCCAAGUAGGUGAAUGUCGUACAGACCAUUAGAGGUGGUUCCGACAUGUUGUACAUACCAUUAGAGGUGGUUCCGACUUGUAGGUGACUUUAGACUAUUAUACAGUUGUUGAUGAGAGAAGCACUAGAGCGUAUUCUUACACCAUUCUUGUCGUACAGACUACUUCAGAUAGUUCCGACUUGUGUGCAGAGUAGUGCGGUACAGGUCACAGUUGGUGAUUCCGGUUGGAUUGGGUAUUGAGCCAUAGAAUUAGCCGUACAGGACAGUUGCAGGGUCUCCGGUUGAUUCCUUAUUUCACUUGUUAUAUUGAUGCAUCCUUAUUAUGUUUUGAAGCAUAGCAUGGCAUAUUUUCCUGAAAAGUGUUAAAGACUUGUGAUUUGAGUUAUUUGCUGUUAUAUAUGGUUAUAUAUAUACUAUUUUCUGGGAAAGUAUACAGGUUUUACAACGAGGGGUUAGAAGUGUUAUUAAAUGAAAUAUUUUUGAAAAGCUUUGUUUUACUGACCCACUUAAUCUUGUUUUGCGCCCCUCCAGGUUCUAGUUAGCAGUGUUGGUGGCUCACGAGGAUUUCCACGGUGUUCUGACAAACUACUUAAAUGUAGGACUUACCUUCGGGUGUUGUAAUUUAGUAAUGGUCCUACUUGACUGCACCUAGUACUUAUACUCUGAUUAUGUGCGUUUCACACUUAAACUCACUCUAGCAUGUUAGUUGGAUAUUACUGCUAGUAGUUGGUUUUUAUUCCUUCGUUUUUCUUUUACCUUUUUGCUUCCACGUCGCACUUUUGGUUACGUCACGCCCACGUGACGGCCAACACGCCCUGAUUUUAAGGUCGGGGUAUGUCAUGCAAGUUGGAUUACAAGUGCUGAUGAUAAUAAGUCUACAUCAGGGUGGAUUUUUACAAUUGCCAGAGGAGCAAUUUCUUGGGCUUCGAAGAAGCAAACAUGUAUAGCACAUUCAACUAUGGAAUCUGAAUUUAUAGUAUUAGCAGCAGCAGGUAAAAAAGCGGAAUGGGUUAGAAAUUUGUUAUUGGAAAUAGAGUUGUGGCCACAACCAAUGCCAUCCAUUUCUUUAUAUUGUGAUAGUGAGGCUACUUUGUCUAGAGCAUACAAUAAGGUAUACAAUGGAAAGUCUAGACAUAUUAGCUUGAGACAUGAAUAUGUCAAGCAAUUAAUAACUGAUGGAGUUAUUAAUAUUGUUUAUGUUAAAUCAAGUAAUAACUUGCCGGAUCCGUUAACGAAAGCACUUUCAAGAGCUUUGGUAGUUAGUACAUCUAGUGGAAUGGGGCUAAAACCCUUUACUGAAAAUUAGCCACCAAUAAUGGUAAUCCGACUUUGUCUAGAACAUCACUAGUUUAAAAGUUUAAUGGGUAAUAACAAGUUAUUGUUAAGUGGUUGUGAAAGCACUGAAAAUUAUUAUAUAGCUCAUUCCAAGAUGAUCAGUGCAAGAUUGCUACGUUUAGGAGGAUGAGUUUUAUCUCUUAAUGAGGUUAUUUGUAGUUAUGUCUAUAGUAGGAGGGACAUGGGAAAGAACCUCACCUAUAUGAACAUAAGAAGUGGUGCCACUUCUACCAAGAGUUGGGUUUUCUCUUGUAAAUGUUCAUAAAACCAGGAUGAAGCACAAGGCUAUAAUAGUGCUUAAUUAGUUUAGGAAUUUCUUUAAGGAAAUAAGACAUAAUCAUAUGUGUAGUGAUUCCGGUUUUAACAUAAGAAUAGGUGGUUUAAACUUAGGUCGCCAUCACAUUCGUUAUAACUUUGAAUUACUUACACUAAUUAAAGGUUUAAUUCGAAAGACACCUUUAUUGUAUGCAUGAUUAUAUCGGUAUGCUUGUGAUUAAUUUAACAAAGAGAAGUAUUGUAAUACCAUUUAUUAUAUAUUCUUAAAAUAGGGAAGGAUUGUUGAAUAUUUCAAGAAUAUAUAUACCAUUUAUUAUAUAUAUAUAUUUCAUGAAUAUAAUAAUAUAUAUGUAUAUAAUAUUUCAUGAAUAUAUUUUAUAUAUAUAUAUAUAUAUGUAUAUGAUUUGGUGCUGCAUUGUUGUGCAGCAUGUGUACAGUCAGCACAAAAGGUUGGGUUUCAUUCAACCCUUGUAUAUUUUGUUGAAUGGUUGCAAUUUUUGGUUAAAAGACAUGAUGCUUACUCAAAUUAUAUGAGUAUAAUUAAAAGAUAUAAUUAGUCAAUAUUUAUUUUCUGAAAAUUCUAAAUAAAAGAUAUGUAUUUUGGAUCAACACUUUUAAGAAGAGUUGUAUAUCUUCAACUAAAUUGAAAGGACUCAAUGAACGGGUGCAUUAAUGCCUAUAAAUACCUAUUAUGGUAUAAUGUUUCAUACACAAUUUCAGAAAUUUAUUUCUACAUUCCUUACUCUCUAUUUUGUCCAUCACAUUCAUACAAUUUCUUUCUAGUUAUUUCUAAUGGAAUACAAUUCGAUUUUGCUAAUCGAAUAUUCCAUACUUUGUUGUAUCCUGGGAGUGAUUUACCAAGAACUCUUUAGCAAACUCAUUUGAGUAGGGGCAAAUAACACUUUAAGGAAACGAUUCAAGUCGUACCUCAAAGUCAUUAUUCGGAUUAUUCUAUAAAUUUCUACAUUUGCUCAAACAUUUUAAGCAUGACUUUUUUAAUCAUGUUUUAUUUUUGUUUAUGUAAUAUUUUAUCUGAAAUUAAACUAAAAAAAAGGGGAUUCGAAUUAAAUUUAAAAAGAAGAAAUCAUGUGCUCUACCCAAUAAGAUUACAUUCACGACCACAAUGGCUGCAAUCAUGUUCUAAUUUUUAAGCAACAAGCAUUUAUCCCCUUCUCUGAUAGUUCAUAAUAUGAAUAACAUCAUUAUAUGACUUGAAUUUUGCUAGGUUGGUCCUUGAUUCUUGGUUACUUGUGUCUUAGAGUUCCAUAAUAAUUAAACAUUUUUUAAGAACAUCUUUAAAGGAGUUGUCAAAUUUAGACAAACAUUCUAUUUUUGUUUUACAAUUUUUGAUGAUGUAAACUCUUUGACCUCUCCUAAGGGAGAUGCUCGAAUAAGUCAGAAUGUCCAUGUUUGAAAAUUGAGGAUCCAAAAUAUAGUGGUAGAUUGUGCAGUUAGCUUAAAGAUUAAAAACGUUGCACCAAUGGUAUCAUAAUUGUAAUAUAGUUACACAAAUAGUGCAGUUAGAACGUCCGUCUUUAGUAAUUAUGAUACACCGAUUUAAUCAAAUGCCUAUUAAAUUGAGAAUAUAUAGACUUUAGUCGUAACUUGUACACAUGUAGUCCAUUAAGCCAAGACCAAAGAGUAGUACUAUUCACAUAUUUUUUUUUACUUCCUACACAUCUUUAUUAAUUCUUGUCCAUUUGAUAUGUGGAUAACACCACCCUUAAGCCAAUUAUUGACUCUAAUUUUGUGUGUGUAUUUUUUGAACAUGUCAAUGGGUAUGCCUUGGUUCUCACUUUGCCCUUUGGCACGAUCGUAGGGUCAUAUGGCUCUCAAGUUGAUUCCAAUCGUAUUAAGAAAUUGCUACAAGCAAAGAAAACUUUGUACCAUUUCAUUUGCUACAUCAUUAUCACCAUCACAACAUAGUUGUCGUCCAUAACAUCUAUAUCUUGCAAUUUAAUUGAAUUAAUAAAUACUCAACUCAACUGUCAAAUUGUUAGUAGUCAAUUUGAUUGAGGAAGAAGAACGAAAUUGUUGGAGAUAUAUCAACAAUCUGUGAUAAAUUUAUAUAUGUUAAUAAUAAAUGCGAAUAAAUAUUUUACAGAGUAUAAGCAAAAUGACAUAAUAUUUAAGCAAAUAAAUAAAAGAUUGAGGUUUGCGUACUGCAAUGUUCUUGAAACAAAAUUUCAUCCCGACUUUAUGCUUGUAGUUCGAUGGACGUCUGCUUCACCAGGAUUCAACAAUCUAAGUUGAGAUUCCAGCACCGAAAAACUAGACAUCUGGCGAAUUUAUUUGUGGCACUCUCAGUAUGCUGUAUGGAUUGAUGAUUUUCAGCGAGUUGAAUGAUAUGCAGAUGCAUGUAUUUAUAGUGAUCAUAUGUUUGUUCACAACAGACACGUUUUUGGGAGGCGAUUGUUCAACGCAAAGGGUGUGUUGCUCCAUCUUUUUCUCAGGCUUUUUCAUACGCUCUCAUACUUCAUCUAAAAAGAUGAUUCUGUUUGAAAAAAAUAAAAAGAUUAAUUAAAUCCGAAAUUAAUUUAAUUAUUAGAGCUCAAGCCCCAAAGGCCCAUCUUUGGAUAAUUAAUUAUAUAUAUUAAAUAUUAAUUAAUUAUCACAUCCCAAAGCCCAAAUCCAAGGUUGAGCCCAAGUUUACUCACUAAGAUCCAUCACUCCAAUCACUUUCUAAUAAGGACAAAUCCUUAUAAAGUGAGUGAGCCUUUUGGUGGUGACCAAUGUGGGACAAUGUAGAAUGAUAUUUCUACUCAAAAUUUCCAACAAAAAUAUCCUUUGUGGUUGGUAUAGCUAAUUGGUAGCCAAAUUGUAAAAAGGCCAAGUGAAGAAACAACAUUAUGAUAUUGUUGACUUUAAAAAUAAUAAAGCUUACGUGGUGCACAGACUGAGUAAUUAUUGAGCUAACUACGUUUUUUUAUUUUUUUAUUUUUUUAUUUUUUAUGAAUGUGAGCAUGCCAACUUGCAACCAAGUUCAGUCGGGCGAGUAGAAAUAAAUUGUCAAAUGCAUUGACUUCUACACCUGAGCGACUAGGGACAUGGAAGGAACACCUUUCGCCCUAGGGUUCUAGAACCUGGAGACAAGGUUGCUUAAUCCAUUGUGAAGUUCAGGAUCUUGUACACUGGGUUCAGCUCUAUAUUUGUGAGAAUAUAAGUGCGACAAAUCGCUAUUAAGCUGUAGGGGCAAAUGUACUCAAACGAGAUGAGUAUCUUUAUAAUGAACGUGGUUCAGCUCUUAAUUUUGUCUGUUAUCCAGCUAUCUAGGCAAGCAAAUUAAGACAGCUCACAUGGGUCAUCUAACUUCUUUUUUUUCUUCGGAAAAUAGAUUUUCAGCCUUAGAUUUUUUCAAAUUGAUUUUACACAUGACACGUGGCUUUUCAUCCCCUUUCUUUGUCUAAAACUCAACCCUCUUUAUUAAGCCAUUCUAGGGUUCAUUUGUUGUUGGGGUUUGAGAUUGGAAAAGUUUUUUAGAGUUUUAUAAAACCAUUAUGUGAACUAACCUGUUUUGGAUUCUUAUCAGUUUCAUCUUUCAAGUGUUUGACUAAUGAAAUUGACUAGACAUCGAAUCCAGAUUUGCAUAUCAUUGUCAUAUCAUAAUAUGCAUAGUUUGUGUGUUGGUCUUGGUGCCACAAGGUGAAGAGUUCAAGAGGAGCUGUCAUCUUGUGAAGACUGGAGACAACACUAUUUCGGUGCCACAAGGUGAAGAGCUCAUGAGGAGCUACCACUUCGUGAAGACUGAAGGAAUCCAUCUCUUGUAAGGCAAGGUUGCACAAAGGUAAAACUGCUCCAUAGAUAGCGAUCUAGGAAUUGAGCUUGUGUGGUCUUUGUAUGAACCUUGAUUAUACUAGUGGAUUGGACUCAGUGGAGAGUUCUUGAUUUUUUAGCCUAGAGGUGGGUUUUUACGGCCAAAAAACUCCCUUGUGUUUAAUAUUAUACAUAGCAUUCUUUCUGACCAAAUAACCAUUGCUAGAGAUAAACGUUGUAGAGUUUGCUAGUAUUGACAUGUUGUUAACCAAGUAAACAUAACUCAAGAAUCAAGGCUAAAACAUAACUGAAGAUCACACUGUAUUGUUUUAGCUUUAUAAGUUUGCUUGGUUUAUAUGCUUGUGGGCACCUAACAAUUUGUAUUCAGUUGACUAGUACGUUUGACUAGUCAAUACAGUUGAUUUCAAAGUUUACACUGCAUAUUAUGAGCAAUGAACUGAAUUGUUGUUGACUAGGAUAACUUGUAAUGAACUAAGUUUGAUUUGCAGAUUUGCGUUUGUUUAACUAAUACGAAUCUGUACUUAGUUAGCUGGUGAGCUUCACUAGUCAUUCCAACAUGCUUUAAUUCAUAAUUGCUUUGUCAUUGCUGUUUGUGAAAGGAGCAUAUUUAUGCGACUUAGUGAGCUUGUUCUUGUGCAUUUAUGUUGUGUUUUCUUAGUUAAGUUAGUCUUUUAAGCCACUUUCAUGUGUUUUCAGGUUUUAAGGGCAAAGUAUGCAAAGAAGUGUAUUUUGGAGCCUUUUGGAGCAAAAUUGAGCUUGGAAUGAAUGGCACGUGUUUGGAACAAAAGAAAUGGACAAAAUUGAAGAGUUGAAGAUGUGAGGAGUCCUAAUUGAAGAAGGAUUCCUAAUCAACGAAGGAGUCCUAAUUGAAGAUGGAUUCCUAGAAGAAUGAGGAUUCCUACUCAAACAAGGUUUCCUACUUGAAGUAGGAAAGUUAAGCCUAAAGUUUCCUAUUUUGGGUUGAUCUUUCCUAAACCUAAAUGGCCUUAAGUUCUAGCAACUUUGAAGGUUCCUAAGCAUGGGAAGACACAAAACAAAAGUUCUAGAACACCUAGGACCCUUUGACGUACCUAUUCCCUUCUAGAAACCCUUUUCCUUGCCUUGUAAAGCUUUCUAGAAGCCAUAUCCAUAUCUGCCGCACCUCCUAUACCUUUUCCCUUGUGGAUUUUGAUUGUUUGGGCCCUAAUCCUUAUUUUCUGCUAAGUCCAAGUCCUAACCUGAUUUCCCUAGGAUUUUAUGUGCCUAUAUAUACUCAUAUUUCAUUCCUUUGCCACACCACCACCCCCUAUAUACAUCAUUCACGCCAGAAACCCUUCUUCCCUUCUCUGCCGCAGCCAUCACCACCAAUCUUCCAUAUUUCCUAACCCUAAAUACAUCUUGCCGCAUCUCCCAUCCAUUCUUCCAUACACAUAACCCCCAAAACCUGUCCCCAAGCCUUGUGCCGCAACAAAGAGGAAGGAGGGAAGUUCGUAGAUGUACUUGAUGUUCAGUUUGGAUCGCUGGAGUGUCCAGGUGUUUUCUUUCUUUUGUUUUCAAUGUCUAAAUUUGUUUAUCUUUGCUUUGUAAGUAUGAGGAACUAAACCCCUUUUAGCUAGGGGGAAUUCGAAACCAUGUUCAUGCUUACAAUAUGAUUUGAUUACUUCUAGUUGUGUUUCAUAAGUUGUGAAUUCAAUUUACUUAUCUAUAUGAAUUAAAACUGAUUUAUGUGUGUUGGUUGAGAGUGCACGCUUUAUUUUCAUGCAUAAAUCUAAUGCUAGGAUAUAAGGGAGUUUCACCUAAUUGUUAUGAACUUAUAUUCAAGAGUAGUAUAGGUUGCUAAUCACAAUUGCGUUAAGUAAAUUCUUGGCAUAAGUUUCAUGCAAUUCAUAGUAACAAGUGCCUCGUCAAUGCUUAUGAUUUUCAAAGAACUUAAUGAUCUUUGCUUGUAUCUCUAUUAUGCAAUUCAUAUGGGGAACUUGUGGGGAAUACUUUGGAUUGUCGUAUGCAAUCAUCCAAUUCAACAACUUUAGGAAAAUCUGAGGGUUAAUUAGUGCAAUUCACGGUUAAUCUGGGGCGUUGGGAAUUCAUGGUUUAUUGAAAAGCAAUUGGAAAUCGUUUUGUAUGAAAGUGUGACAUGUGUAGAGAAGAACCUCCUAGCUAGCCUUUUAUCCAUUUAAUUCACUCAAAUCCGUCCAGAUUUCACUGGUUUUUUAUUUUACUUGUUUUGUUUUCAAAUUCGUCAAACCCAAACCCUCCUUUACUUUGUUGAGUCAUAUUAGUUAGAAAGUGAUUUCGUUUGUGUUUUUAAGUGUUUUGAACCAAGUUAAAACCUAUUUUCGUCCAAUUUCACUCGUAGUGGCAGAUUUGAGUCUUUUAGCUUGUUUUGUGCUGUUUUGAGUCUUUUGAGUUGUUUUAGUGUUUUAUAGUUUCGUUUUGCAUUCUUUGAGUCUAGCUUAGUGUUUUAAACUUUGUUUUACGUUUUUGAGUCAGUUUUAAGUGUUUUAGCAAUCCCUCCUAAUCCCCGGCCUAGAACGAUCCCUACUUACAUUCUUUACUACAAUUGAUAAAAAUAGGGUUUAAUUUGUGUGCUUAUAUAUUUCGCAUCAAAUUUUUGGUGCCGUUGCCGGGGAUUAGCAACUUUGCUAAUCCCUUGGAUAUUUUAUUUUGUUUUAAUUGAUUUCAGAUUCUGACCUUGUUUUAUUUCUUUGUUCUUAGGUACUAGUUUAUGACUCGGAGUUCUCAUCCGGUUUGUGAACAUAUCUUGGACUUUGACGAUGAUUUCGAGCGAGAGUUGAGACGAAAGAGGAAGAAUCCAGAACCUAGUGAAUCAAGUUCAAAUUCAGAGGCCGAAUCUGAGUUUGAGGAGGAAGAACCCACGACAAGGGUGGGUGAAGUAGUGCAAGACAUGGCAGCGGACAACCGAACAACCAAGGAGCUUUCCGCUUUGGGAUUGGACAAUGCAGCACCCCUAUGCAUCCAAUAGCCCAUAGCUGCUCAAGGCAAGACCGAGGAGUUCGAGUUGAAGUCAAGCUUGUUGCACCAUAUUCCGAAGUAUCAUGGGUUGUCCAUGGAGGAUCCCAACAAGCACUUGAAAGAGUUUGAGGUGGUGUGUUCAAGCAUGACUCCCAUCAACAUCGAUGGGAGCAUAUUGAAGAUGAAGGGCUUUCUCUUUUCUCUCUUGGAAAAGGCGAAAGAUUGGUUAUAUGAAUUAGCUCCCGGAACUGUCACAUCUUGGGAGAGCAUGAAACGGGCUUUCUUGGAGAAGUUUUUCCCAACUUCUCGAGUUAUCCUUCUACGAAAAAGGAUAAGUGGAAUUCAGCAAGAUGAAGGUGAAUCAUUUCCUACUUAUUAUGAACGUUUUAAAUCUCUUGUUGCUUCAUGUCCAUAGCAUCAAAUGAAGGAAGAGCUUCUUCUGCAAUACUUCUACGAGGGGCUUCUACCAAUUGAACGUCAAAUGCUAGAUGCCUCUGCGGGAAGAGCCUUGGUGGACAAGAACCCCACGGCUGCAAAGACUUUGAUUGUUAAUCGAGCGUUGAAUGCUCAACAAUACGAAGGUGUUGGACAAAGAAGCACCCCACGACAACACCAAGUGAAUGAAGUAAGUGCCAUUUCCGAACUUCAGAAUCAAAUGGCUAACCUUGCUACUUUUCUUUCUCAGGUUGUGGAAGGACCAAAAGUACAAAAUGUGGCUGCUUGUGGCGUGUGCUCCAUGCAAGGACAUCUCACGGAUAAGUGCCCACAAUUGAUUGAGAACGGAGGGUGGGAGACCCUCAAUGCCGUGGGCUUUGGGAAUCAAUACCAACCAAGAAAUGAUCCAUUUUCUAAUACAUACAAUCCAGGGUGGAGAGAUCAUCCAAAUUUCAAAUGGAGAGAACCCCAACAAGGCCAACAACAAAGUGCAUUUAGGCAACAACCGCCGGGUUUCUAUCAAAAACCAUUUGCACCCACACAACCUCAAGCACAACCUGCCCAAAACAAAUCAGGUUCGUCCAUUGAUAAUGAUCAGAUUUUUCAAUUACUAACUUCUAUGGCGCAAGGUAUGUAAACUAGGGACAAAAAGGUGGACGAGUUGGAAAAGCAAGUAGGGCAGAUUGCGGAGUUCAUAGGGCAAUUCCGAGAGUAAGGCAAGUUGCCUAAUUCAACCGUUGUCAAUCCAAAGGGUGGAUUCGAAUCUGCAAAAGCUAUGAGUUUGCGAAGUGGGAAGCAAGUCGGAUCAGAUCCCCAACCUUCCAAAUCACAUUCCAACGAGGUGGAAGAGUUGAUAAUUGAAGAGGAAGAGCAAGGCAUGCCCACAGCAAGGGUAGAAGCACCCUUGCCGCAACCACCUAAGCAAUCCAACUCGGCCAACAAAGGAAAGGAAGUUCCAAUUGUGAUUAAUUCUAACGUUGUUCCUCCAAAUGUACCUUUUCCUCGUAGGUUUAUGCAAUCAAAGAAGGAGGAGGUUGAAAGGACAUUUUGGAAACGUUUAGAAAAGUUCAAGUCAAUAUCCCCCUUUUGGAUGCAAUUAAGCAAAUCUCGAGGUAUGCCAAGUUUUUGAAAGAACUUUGCACCACUAGGAAGAGGAUUUCGACCAAAGAGGUUGUAAAAGUAGGUGAAAAUGUCUCAGCUAUCUUGCAACGCAAAUUGCCCCCUAAAUGCAAAGAUCCGGGUAGUUUUACAAUUCCUUGUGUCAUUGGUAAUACUCAGUUUGAAUCUGCCAUGUUAGACUUAGGUGCAUCUAUAAAUGUCAUGCCAUAUUCAAUUUAUGCAUCUAUGAACUUAGGAGAGUUGAAAAAUGAUGGUGUGAUCAUACAAUUGGCCGAUAGAUCUAAUGCCUAUCCAAAGGGAGUUUUGGAAGAUGUUUUAAUGCAAGUUAAUCACUUAAUCUUCCUGGCGGAUUUCUACAUGCUUGAGAUGGACGAGUCGGACCAUGCCCCUUCAUUGCCCAUCCUUCUUGGAAGAACAUUCAUGAAAACGGCCCGGACAAAGAUUGAUGUGUUUAAUGGAACAUUGACGAUGGAAUUUGAUGGGGAAGUUAUUAAUUUCAAUCCUUCUGAUUCUAUGAAGUAUCCUAGUGAGAAUCAUUCAUGUUUUGAUGUAAUUGACUCUUUGGCGCAUGACCAUUUUGAUAAAUUGAAUGACGAUGCACUUGAAUUGGUCAUUGCACGAUGAAUAGACAUGCAAAACAUUGAAGCAGUAACCAUGCACACCCACGGCAUGCAUGAACUUUCCCUUGCCGUGCCCCCUAGUGAUGAUGUUAUUGAGAUGGUGGCUGCCCUUGAAUCAUUGCCACCACAAUCUGGUAAGUUGUUGGACCCAAUUUUAAGUUCAGUUUCGGCCAAUAAGAUGCUUCCCUCAGUUGUGCAGCCACCUACACUUGAACUUAAGCCACUGCCUAGUCAUUUGAAGUACGUUUUCUUGGGAGAUGAUGAGACGUUGCCCGUCAUCAUCUUAAGCUCACUCACGGCACAAGAAGAGGACAAAUUAGUGAGGGCGCUAAAGGAGUACAAAACGUCAAUUGGAUGGACAUUGGCCGACAUAAAAGGAAUCAGCCCUACUACGUGCAUGCAUCGCAUACUUUUGGAGAAGGGGUCUAAAACAUCUCGAGAGGCUCAAUGCCGACUCAACCCUCCUAUGAUGGAAGUUGUGAAGAAGGAAAUCAUCAAGCUUUUAGAUUGUGGAGUAAUCUAUCCAAUCUCGGAUAGUAGGUGGGUUUCGCCCGUUCAAUGCGUUCCAAAGAAAUGGAGUGACAGUGGUAGCAAAUGCUGAAAAUGAGCUUGUACCUACUCGCAUUCAAACCGGUUGGAGGGUGUGUAUCGACUAUAGGAAGCUAAACGUACCACAAGGAAGGAUCACUUCCCCUUGUCAUUCAUUGAUCAAAUGCUUGAGAGGUUAGUGGGUUAUGCUUUCUAUUGUUUUCUUGAUGGUUAUUCUGGUUAUAAUCAAAUUGUCAUAGCACCCGAGGACCAAGAAAAAACCACGUUCACAUGCCCUUUUGGUACAUUUGCUUAUCGUCGCAUGCCUUUUGGUUUAUGUAAUGCACCUGCCACAUUUCAAAGAUGCAUGAUGAGCAUAUUUUCUGAUUAUGUUGAGAAAAUAAUUGAAGUUUUUAUGGAUGAUUUCAGCUUUUUUGGUGAUUCUUUUGAUGGUUGCUUGCAUAAUCUCAGUUUAAUCUUAAAACGAUGCGUUGAAACUAACCUUGUUCUUAAUUGGGAAAAAUGUCAUUUCAUGGUUAAGCAAGGCAUAGUUUUAGGUCAUAUCAUCUAUGAAAAUGGUAUUGAGGUUGAUAAGUUAAAGAUAGAUCUGGUACGUCACUUACCUUCUCCUACUUCGGUUAGAGAGGUUCGUUCUUUUCUUGGCCAUGCAGGUUUCUAUUGUAGGUUCAUCAAAGACUUCUCAAAGGUUGCCUAACCUCUUUGCCGACUCCUACAAAAAGAUGUGGCGUUUGACUUCAAUGGGGAAUACACGGCAUCAUUCAACCAACUCAAGGAGUUGUUGACCACAGCACCAAUCAUUGUCCCACCUGAUUGGAGCCUACCUUUCGAGCUUAUGUGUGAUGCGUCCGAUUACGCUUUAGGGGCUGUUUUAGGACAAAGGAAAGACAAGAGGCCGCAUGUCAUCUACUAUGCCUCACGGACGUUGAAUGAUGCUUAAUUGAACUAUUCCACUACGAAAAAAGAACUUCUUGCCGUUGUCUUUGCUUUAGAUAAAUUUAGAUCAUAUCUAAUUAGUACUAAAGUAAUUGUUUUCACUGAUCAUGCAGCUUUGAAGUACUUGCUCACCAAAAAGGAAGCCAAGCCACGGCUAAUUCGUUGGAUGUUGCUACUUCAAGAGUUCGACAUUGAGAUUCGAGACAAGAAGGGAAGUGAAAACGUGGUGGCUGACCACCUAAGCCGAAUGGUGCAUAAUGAAGAGUCCCUACCCAUUGCUGAAACAUUCCUUGAUGAACAAUUGUUGUCCAUAAAGGUAAGUGAGCCUUGAUAUGCCGAUUUGGUAAACUUUUUGGUGUCAAAACGAAUUCCAAGCACUUUCACUAGGCACCAACGUGAUAAGUUAAAACAUGAUGCACGAUUUUAUGUAUGGGAUGAUCCAUAUUUAUGGAAAUUUUACCUUGAUCAGAUUGUACGUCGAUGUGUGCAUGAUUCUGAAUUUCAUUCAAUUUUAAGCUUUUGUCAUACGUAUGCAUGUGGUGGGCACUUUGGCACACAAAGAACAGCACUUAAGGUGUUACAAUGUGGAUUCUAUUGGCCUAGUAUCUUUAAGGAUGCUAGAACUUUUUGCUUAACAUGUGAUAAAUGCCAAAGAAUGGGUAACAUAGGUACUAGGGAUCAAAUGCCGCAGGUUUCCAUCCUCAAUGUUGAAAUUUUUGACGUUUGGGAUAUUGAUUUUAUGGGUCCCUGUCCUUCCUCGUAUGGUUUCAUGUAUAUUUUGCUUGCGGUUGAUUAUGUGUCAAAGUGGGUGGAAGCAAAAGUCACCCGGACUAAUGAUUCUAAAGUGGUUGCAUAUUUAUUAGAACUAACAUAUUUGCAAGGUUUGGCAUGCCCCGUGUAAUCAUAAGUGAUGGAGGGUCUCACUUUUGCAACCGGACCAUUGAGGCGUUAUUAAGGAAGUACAAUGUCAACCAUAAGGUUUCUACACCUUACCAUCCUCAAACAAAUGGCCAAGCCGAGGUGUCUAACCGAGAGAUCAAGCAAAUCCUAGAGAAGACCGUUGGGCCAACAAGGAAGAAUUGGAGCUUACGGUUAGAUGACGCACUGUGGGCAUAUCGUACGGCGUACAAAACACCCAUUGGGAUGUCCCCAUUUAGGCUCAUUUAUGGCAAGCCGUGCCAUCUUCCCGUUGAAUUGGAGCACAAAGCUCAUUAGGCCAUCAAGAAGUUCAACAUGAACCUAGAUGCAGUAGGAAGUCAUAAAAAAUUCCAAUUAAAUGAACUUGAUGAGAUAAGGCAUGAGGCGUAUGAGAAUGCUAGCAUUUACAAGGAGAAGACCCAAGCUUUCCAUGACAAAAUGAUUCGUGGCAAAACAUUCUCCAGAUGGCAGAAAGUGCUAUUGUUCAAUUCCCGUUUACAUUUGUUUCCCUGUAAGUUACGUUCUAAGUGGAUUGGACCGUUUGUUAUUACUAAUGUUUUUGUUCAUGGUGCAGUCCAAAUCCAAAGCUUGAAAACGGGACACGAAUUCAAGGUGAAUGGGCACCGAUUGAAGCCCUAUUAUGAGAACUUUGAGGAGCAUGUCAUGGAUGACAUCUCCCUGCAUGUCGUGGGCUCCAAUGGGGAGUGAAUGAGUUCUUCGUCCAGCUGCACGACGUUAAAGUAAGCGCUACUUGGGAGGCAACCCAUGCAUUCAACAAAGGAAGACCUAGGAAUCACUACAAUUCCAUAUUUGCGUUCCUAAAACCCUUCACUUUGUUGUUAUUUCGUUUCUGCCAUGUUGAGUUGUUUAGUUGCUGUUUGUUUGUUUAUGUGUUUUUUUGUGUGAGUGUAUGCUUGAAACAUUGAGGAUAAUGUUUGAUUUAAGUGUGGGGGGGGUAAAUAAGUGUUUUAAUGCAAAUUCGUGGGGUUUUAUCACCCAUAACUUCCAAUGUUGUUCCUUGCUAUUUUUAAGUGGUUUUAAGCUGUUUUAGAGUGUUUUAAUGUGUUUUGACAUAAAAAUCCGAAAAUCUUAUAAAAAUUUGAAAAAUUGUUUUGAAAAACCCAAAAAGAGUUGUUUUUGUGUGUUUGUUUGUGUCUUAGGGUACCUUCCAACACAAUGAUGAGGAGUCGGUUUUUAAUUGCAUGACUAUUAAAGAGAGUUGUAAACAUGGAUGAAAGUUUGUUUACUCUUUGGUUUAUGCUUGGUCAUGGUUAUAACUUAUGAAUUCACAUGCAAUCAUAAAUGAAAAAUCAGUUUUUGUAACAUGCUUGAAGGAAGGAACUCGAAUUAAUGCUACAACCUUGUGAAACUUGAGCCUAAACGUUUAUUUGGAGAGUUAAUAAUAUGUGCAUUGUUGUUUUCUAAAGUCGUUGCAUGAUCUCAUUAUUCGUUGCUUGGUUACUACUUAGAAGGCGUUUCAUCAUUUAGUUCCAAAUGCUAGAACUCAUGCCUAUUUCAUUCAAAGCAUGCUAUUGAUUUGCAUAACACAUAUUCAAGAUGAAGUUGUGUAGCGACCACCAAAGCCAAAUUGCCGUGAACCCUAUUUCAUAAUGAGUUUAAGUUUAACCCCAUUGAGCCUUGUGUAGCCUAUGUUCUUUGAUAACCCACGUUAUCCUUACCUAGCCUAGAUUAGGACCAUCCAUACCCUUGUUCUUGAAGCAUAGUAAAGCAUAAUUUAGAAGGAAUUCCUUUUGUUGAACUUUUGCAGAAAAACAAGUGUAGGGGAAGUGAUUCUUGUGUGGGUGUGUGUGCCAAAGUCCUUAAUAAGGCACGGGUAGAAAACAAAAAGAAAAAUUCGUGGAAAAUAGAAUGAAAAGAAGAAAAGUUGUGAAAAGUAUGAAAAAGAGUUGAAAAAGAUGUGACAAAGAGCUCUAAAGUGUUGAUUGUUGAAGUAAGGGUCCAAAACAUUGAAUUCGGCCCUAAGUGUUGCAUGAAUCUUCCCUUUGUAUUUAAAGGUUGAUUCUGCAUUCUAAAGUGAAUUCCAAGUGUCGAUUUCAUUGCUUUGCUAGCUAUCGCUUUAAGAACGUUUGUUCCUAUCCUUUCUUUAUUUGCCAUUAUCCUUAGCCCUGUUACAACCCUUGACUUCAACGUUGAGUGUUGUGUGUUUCAAUUUGUGGAGUUUGAAAUUGGUAUGAGCAUAUGAUGUCAUUGGUUCUCGCAUCUAAGUAGUAGCAUUCCAUUCAUGAGAUCAUAUGUAAACAUGCUUAUUAACUUCAGAAAUUGCUGUCUUUGUUAUACAUAUAUGUGAGCGUUCGUUUUCAUGUCUACACCAAUCUUCUCACAUAUAACUAGUAUAGGGUGCGUAGUCAGAAAAUCUAUGUGAAAAUUGAGUGCAUAUCUAGUAAGGAAUUGAGGGAAUUCUCUAAGGCAUGUUACUACAUUCAAAACUUCGUUUUAAUUGGUUAAAUGUGAACUAGUAAGUGGUGACUAUGAUUAAGUAUGUGCUCAGUGUGAAGAUGACUAAAACCUGUGGGGAUGAUGAUUUUUUACUUGUUAUGUGCAUUGGAAAUCCAUGAGGCAAACAUUGGAAGGUUUAGGUUGUGUUUUGUUUGUUUUGUUUUGUUUUGUUUUCUUGAGUUCGUUUUAUUUUGCUUGAUGAAUUUGAUAGGAGCAUAUUUAUGCGACUUAGUGAGCUUGUUCUUGUGCAUUUACGUUGUGUUUUCUUAGUUAAGUUAGUCUUUUAAGCCACUUUCAUGUGUUUUCAGGUUCUAAGGGCAAAGUAUGCAAAGAAGUGUAUUUUGGAGCCUUUUGGAGCAAAAUUGAGCUUGGAAUGAAUGGCACGUGUUUGGAGCAAAAGGAAUAGACGAAAUUGAAGAGUUGAAGAUGUGAGGAGUCCUAAUUGAAGAAGGAUUCCUAAUCAACGAAGGAGUCCUAAUUGAAGAUGGAUUCCUAGAAGAAUGAAGAUUCCUACUCAAACAAGGUUUCCUACUUAAAGUAGGAAAGUUAAGCCUAAAGUUUCCUAUUUUGGGUUGAUCUUUCCUAAACCUAAAUGGCUUUAAGUUCCAGCAACUUUAAAGGUUCCUAAGCAUGGGAAGACACAAAACAAAGGUUCUAGAACACCAAGGACCCUUUGCCGCACCUAUUCCCUUCUAGAAACCAUUUUCCUUGCCUUGCAAGGCUUUCUAGAAGCCAUAUCCAUAUCUGCCGCACCUCCUAUACCUUUUCCUUUGUGGAUUUUGAUUGUUUGGGCCCUAAUCCUUAUUUUCUGCUAAGUCCAAGUCCUAACCUGAUUUCCCUAGGGUUUUAUGUGCCUAUAUAUUCUCAUAUUUUAUUCCUUUGCCGCACCACCACCCCCCAUAUACAUCAUUCACGCCAGAAACCCUUCUUCCCUUCUCUGCCGCAGCCAUCACCACCAAUCUUCCAUAUUUCCUGACCCUAAAUACAUCUUGCCGCAUCUCCCAUCCAUCCUAAACACUACCAUACCAUCUCCCAUCCAUUCUUCCACACACAUAACCCCCAAAACCUGUCCCCAAGCCUUGUGCCACAACAAAGAGGAAGAAGGGAAGUUCGUAGACGUACUUGCUGUUCAGUUUGGAUCGCUGGAUUGUCUAGGUGUUUUCUUUCUUUUGUUUUCAAUAUCUAAAUUUGUUUAUCUUUGCUUUGUGAGUAUGAGGAACUAAACCCCUUUUAGCUAGGGGGAAUUCGAAACCAUGUUCAUGCUUACAAUAUGAUUUGAUUACUUCUAGUUGUGUUUCAUAAGUUGUGAAUUCAAUUUACUUAUCUAUAUGAAUUAAAACUGAUUUAUGUGUGUUGGUUGAGAGUGCACGCUUAAUUUUCAUGCAUAAAUCUGAUGCUAGGAUAUAAGGGAGUUUCACCUAAUCGUUAUGAACUUAUAUUCACGAGUAGUAAAGGUUGCUAAUCACAAUAGCGUUAAGUAAAUUCUUGACAUAAGUUUCAUGCAAUUCAUAGUAACAAGUGCCUCGUCAAUGCUUAUGAUUUUCAUAGAACUUAAUGAUCUUUGCUUGUAUCUCUAUUAUGCAAUUCAUGUGGGGAACUUGUGGGGAAUACUUUGGGUUGUCGUAUGCAAUCAUCCAAUUCAACAACUUUAGGAAAAUCUGAGGGUUAAUUAGUGCAAUUCACGGUUAAUUUGGGGCGUUGGGAAUUCAUGGUUUAUUGAAAAGCAAUUAGAAAUCGUUUUGUAUGAAAGUGUGACAUGUGUGGAGAAGAACCUCCUAGCUAGCCUUUUAUCCAUUUGAUUCACUCAAAUUCGUCCAGAUUUCACUAGUUCUUUAUUUUACUUGUUUUGUUUUCAAAUUCGUCAAACCCAAACCCCCAUUUACUUUGUUGAGUCAUAUUAGUUAGAAAGUGAUUUCGUUUGUGUUUUAAGUGUUUUGAACCAAGUUAAAAUCUAUUUUCGCCCAAUUUCACUCUUAGUGGCAGAUUUAAGUCUUUUUGUUUUGUGUUGUUUUGAGUCUUUUGAGUUGUUUUAGUGUUUUAUAGUUUAGUUUUUUAUUCUUUGAGUCUAGCUUAGUGUUUUAAACUUUGUUUUACGUUUUUGAGUCAGUUUUAAGUGUUUUAACAAUCCCUCCUAAUCCCCGGCCUAGAACGAUCACUACUUACAUUCUUUACUACAAUUGAUAAAAAGAGGGUUUAAUUUGUGUGCUUAUAUAUUUCGCAUCAGUUUGCAUAAUGAACUGAUAUGUAAAUGUGUUUAAGCAUAUGGAUUAUUGUCGUGAAACUAAUCUGGGUAGACUUUGAUUAGUUGAACCUUUUGGCCAGUUAAGUUUUGCUCCAGCAAUUGCACUGUUUAUCAUUGACUAACUUGCAACUAGUUGACUAGCUCAUUUGACUAGUUUACUGUGAAAAGUUAAAUUUUUAUUUGCAGGAGAUUCCGUCUAGUACUUGAUUUCACUAGUCCCUUUAUGCACUUAAUUCAUCCUCAUCUAAUCAAGAAUGAGUUUUGAUCCCUAGAAUGGUUCGCAUCUUAUUAGAACAUCCUGAUUCUUGGCAAUUUUAGCUCACUUAGACUCGACCAAGCCACGCCUGAGCAUCAUACUUUAAUAGUUAUACUCUAACAUGGACUCAGUCAUAAUAGUGCUCUCUAGGGCUGAAAGCCUACUGGCAUAAGGAAUCAUUACUAGGCCAAGAAUUAUGGCUUCUCAAAUCAGGUUAACCUUGCUCAACCCAACCUUUAUUUCAGGCCUAAACAGAUGCUCCAUUUUCCUCACAACCAAUAUGUAUAAACGAGAUUCUAACUUUGAAUAUUUUUCAAUAUUAAGAAAAGAAGUACCUUCGAGGCAACAAUCCUUGUAUUAUUCUGACUACUCAAUUCAAAUGCCAGCAAGGUUGAAUUGGUGUUAAUAUUUGAUUAUAUAAGUGACAAUGACUUAUAAUAUAAUGGGAGAAGCCCACCCUCCAUGUUUCAAAUUUGAAGGACAUGGAAUUGAUUGAAGGCAACCAUAACAUGUAACAAUUAGUGCAAAAACUGCUGAAAAGUAACAUCUUAAAAUAAAGAAAGCCAACCACUUUGCAAAUCUCCAAAAGCAAAGUAAGCAAUGUAAGGUCAAGCAUGUGGUUUGAUAUCUUAGUGGAUAAUGUGUCAGACUUUCACAUGUGCGUCCCGAAUUCAAAACUCUCAACUCCUUUAAUCACUUAUUCACUACAUUCAAGGAAGAUCUAAGGUUGGUUGGAAGUCGAAGACUCUGAUUCUGAACAACAACAUCUCAUUGCUUCAUUUGAAGAUGGAUAACUUAUUUGGCAUUAUUUCAUCACAAGACAGCAAUGUAUCUUGCACACUUACACAAUGCACAUUGAAAACUAAUCAUGGCAAAUCAUUCUACUCAAAAGCUCACCUUUAAGCAAAAUAUACAUAAUAUAAAAAGAAACGCAAAGACCUACUCCAACUCUUGAAGUAAAACUCAAAUUUUAGGUUGUAAAUUGUGACAACCUGUCCCUAGUUCUCACUGUAAUUUCUUUUCUGUUAGUCUAUUUUGAUGAUUUUACCCUUCUUUGGAAAAAAGUGGAGUCUGACGUGGAUGUAGUUUUUCGACUGAUGUUUCUUUUUCCUGGUUUUGUAUUUAAUUAGUACUCAUCGUUAUGAACGCGUGAGCGCAUGUUAGACUUGAAUCGGAUUUGUAACGAAAAAGUUACGCUUCGUUAAAGUACGUUAACCAUGGGUAUUUUUGUACACGUGCGUACAAAUUAUCAGUUUCGAAAACACUGUCAAGGAGACAGAUUUUGUACAUUUAAAAUUGUACAAAAUCCAUCCAUCCCUUCCAUAAUUGGUGGAUCCGGUCUCCCAUUUCAAAUCCCACCAAUCACUUUCCUCAAUUUCCUCUCAUCCACUUAUUUUUCCCCUCAAAAUCCUCACAGCCAAUCAAGUUCUCUCCCUCAAAUUUGGCACUAAUCAGACUUCACUUCACCCUCACCACUCAACAAAUCAGAAACCACAAUUCUCUCUCUAACCUGAACUCUCUUCUCUCUGCAACUAGCAAGAUCAAUGUCAAAGCUCACGUAUCAAACCUUCAAACCACAACGAUUGUGUCCAUCUCCUCACCACGAACGCAACCAUACCCCCAAAUCAUGAUUUGGAUGAGUUUUGACUCACCAACUCGGAAGGUCCGACUCGUUUCAAAUUUUCCCCGACGAGUUACAAGCGAGUUACAAGUUUUUAGGAAGUCUAAAGGCCUCCCCUCAACCCCCUGAGGUCUUUAGUGAAGGUUUUGAAGGAAAUUUUGUGAAAAACAUGUUGAUUUAAGCAACAUCUAUAGCAUGCAAUUAACAUUUAAAGGCGGAAUCAUGCUUGUUUGCACUCAAAAACAAAACAUUACCCAUGAAAUUCAAAGCCUAGUAGAAAGGUGAACCAAGACUCAACUCAAGAACAAAGUGAGUUGAGAGAUUUUAUACCUUUGUUGAUUCCUCUUUGCAUAAGCAAAGCCUAAUCAUCCAAGGAGAGGGCCUUCAUUCCUUGCUUCUUAGAUCCAUGGAUUUCUUGGAUGAGGAUGGUUGAAAGGAUUAUCCAAGUUCCCAAAAUUGAGAAUCUCUAAUUUUUCCACACCAAGGAAGGACUUGAAUAAGAGAUGAGUGACCUUGGAGGAUGAGAGAUUGCUAGCUAAUCUCCUCCAAGGGGGCCGACCUUUUAAAGAGAAAGGGAGAGACAUGGUGUUCUCAUCUUUUCUCUAAAAGAAACCCUAAGGAUGAAAUGGCUAUAAAGUUGUCUUUAUACCACCUCACAAUGGAGUGGCAAACUUGCAAUUAAAGCAAGUUCACUACCCUCCUCUAUAUGGCCGGCCUUAAGGGUUUAUUGGGCUUUCAAGCCCUUUGUUUAUUCAAGUUGUCAUACAAGUUGAGUUAAUGGGCUUGACAUUCAAAUCCCAUUGGGUCUUGCGGCCCAAAACUAACCCGAGGUCUUUAACGAACUUUAUUCGUUUGAUUAAUUAACAUAUUAAUUAAUCUUUGCCAUAAAUAAUUAAACCAUUUAAUUAUCCUUACUCAUCUCCGUUGUUUCUUCAAUCUCUACCUUACACGGUGUACGAUCCAUUAGGUUCCUUUUAGCGAGGCAGUGGGUGAUUAGAACUCUUUCAAAUCGAUUGUGAAUUGAAACUUACUUUCAAUUCUCCCUUUAGUGAUUAUACACGUUUAGAGCUUCCACAAACCAUGAGUGACACCUAGCAGUAUGUCAUGGUUACCCAAGUAAAUCAGAAGAGGUGGAGAACCUAUUCAGUUUAGGAUUACAAUGCAAUACGGUCUUUCUCUAAUACAAUACUCUUGACCACAUUGUUUGGUUUGAUAGUUUAAUCAUGUCUAUUAUCCAAUGUGAUUCAUUUACUUAUAUGAUUACCUUGAAUGUGAUUUGGAACGACUUCUUAAAUCUCAUUCAUACUCUGGCCAGAGAUUCUUAAUCAUAUCAUAGAGUAUUCUCCCUCAAAUGGUUUGAAUGUUAGAGAUCCCUUGUUGCACAUUCACUUGCCUCCAUGGCUAAGUGACUUAACCCCAACUAUGCCGUGGACACCCUCUGACAGAGUGACUUUGACACAGUCAAAGAUCAAGGACCUAACCACAAGACAACUAUGAUGCCUCAGGUCAAAGGACUACUUUGCAUUAUCCCAACCAUGAGUUCUCAUGUGACAUGAGUAUGAGAACUCCUCGUUGAUCGUGUUCAGUGGACUCAUUCUCUAUUGAGCACCUACAUGCUUGUCUUGGUGUCAAUCACACCAAUGACUCGAGACCAGUCACUCUCCCUGAGAGAAGACACAACACGUACUGAUCUUAACGGACUGUCAAUGCCCAAUUGGCAAUCCUAUGAUCGGGAACGUUUAAGAUAUGUAUACGAAAGAGAAUGGUCUCAUGAAUCUAACUUCUUUAAAUUACAUUCUCCUAAUUACAUAUUCCUUGGACUUAUCGUUUAAGCAUAUAACAUUUAUAUGAGACGGCUUAAAACAAUAAUCUUUGCCCUUUCCAACAGGUUUAAUAUGUGAAAUGUCCGUAAAGUAUCAUCAUAUGAUUGGUUUUAGGGCACAUUUCCAACAGGUUUGAAGAAGAAACAACCUCAAAACACAAGGUUUCGAGAAGUCAGAGUUUAACUCGAACCUUUCAAGCCAUUUUCAGGCCACCUCAGUCCAUUUUUUGGACUUCCAAAAGGUACAAUCGUGUUCUACUCUUCAUAAGCUUUCAUUUCCAUUUAAAUUUGGUGAAAAAUGGUUGAGAAAUGAAGAAGAUAUGAAAGUUUGAAUUUUUCCCCAGCUUCCGACAAAAACAGAUGGAGGAUGGCGGCAGCCAGUGAGGCUCGCUGGAGAAGACGACGGAAUAUUCCGUCAAAGUUGAUGGAAUAUUAUAACGGUGACAGGUAACACCGUUAACUUCUGUUAGUAUUUAACGGAAUAUUCCUUUAGUUUUUACGGAAUAUUCCUGAUGGACGUCAGGGUUUAGCUUGUGCGUGGUGGCGCGUAUGGCUGUGCCUUAGGUGGCGCAUGGUGGCGCGUCCAACCUCCGAUUGACUUUCUGUUAAUUUGUGUGGGUCCGUGACGUCGAGUAGAUUGUUUUCAUAUAUUUAAACCCUAUGUUUGAGCAAACUACGAAGGUUUUAUUUAAGUUUCCGUAUAUGUGUUAUCAAACUAAUUAAAGUAGUAAUUUCAUGUAUAGGGGAAACAUAUCUCGAGGACAUACGGUUAAGUAAGACUCGGAAGCUUCGUUCCAACUGCGUAUCUGUGAGUGGGCACUUUGUUUUCGUAUAUAUAUAUAUAUAUAUAUAUAUAUAUAUAUAUAUAUAUUGUUUCCACAAAAACUUUUAAAUUGAUUUAUGUAUACAUGCCAUGAUUUAUUAAUUUAAAAAUGCUGUUAUAUGGUUGAGAUUUAUAUACUAUCAUGGCAUAUUCAUAUGCAUUUUACUUGCUCAUGAAUAUUGUACUGUUGUGAAAUGCUAAAGUAAUUCUACGGCAUGCACAGGUAAGUUCAGGUAUGUUUAUAUGUUGAUUGGAAAUUAUUGCAUCAUUAUGGCAUGCUCAUAUUCAUAUAGUUCGCUCAUCAUUACUGCACCACAGUGUUAGUGCUCCCGCCCCAGGCCAGGGCCAGUCCUUCACGUGUAUGGUCACCUUCCACACCGCACGCUCGCCUUAGAUCUAAGUAGGUGCCAAUCCUGUCGUACAGGUCGCAUUAGGCGACUUCGACUAGUAGGUGACCCGCACAUAAUGCCAGUCUUUACGUGAUCAUAACGCUAGAGCGAUUAUUACACCUAGUCUUGUCGUAUAUGUCACAUUAGGUGACUCCGACUCGUGUGCUAGCAUAGACUGAUGAGCAAUAUGUGCAGUCAUACAGGUCACAUUAGGUGACUCUGACUUGCGUGCUAGUAAAUAUUGUUGAGUACAUGAUUAUAUUGAUAUUGCCGAUCACAUAUUAUGUUGUGGCACAUUUCUAGAUUUUUAUUGUUGGCAUGCAUUUGAUUUCAUACUUAUAUGUAGUAUGAUUUUUUGGAAACUAUACUUGUUUUACAGCGAGGGGUUAGUAUGUUCAGAAAACAAAUGGAUUUUAUAAACCUUUAUUGUUGUGCCCACUCACGCUUCUGUUUUUCGCCCCUCCAAGUUUUAGUAGCUGAGCUUACAUAUCGACGAGGACUCAUGGAAAAUCUCGGUAUAAGUGGUUAUCUUCAAUGGUAUAACCCUCACCCUAUUUACUAUAUUGUUCUUAUGCUCUGACGUCAUGUGUGAAAUGGGUUCAAUCCUGUGCACCAGCUCACUCUUUUGAUUAGGCACUUUCAGGUUUAAAUUUAUUCACAUUUUCCACAUCACUACACUUUAUGGUUUCGUCACCUUCUAGGUGUCGGCCAACACAUCUCGAUUCGGAGUCCUAGUGGACAUUGCGGGUCGGGGUGUGUCAUAAACCCACUCCAACUUGCUCCAACCCUUGGGCCAAAUAUGAGUUUGAACCCAAAACUUAUUUAUGGGGCAAAUUUAGGCCAAAAUUUCCCCAUAGGUUAGUAUCUGCCCAUCAUAUAUGUGUAUUUUUUUAGUUUUAUAUUUAUAAAUUCAUUGAAUUGAACGGCUAAGGUCUAAUAUGAUAAAAUCCAACGGAAAAAAAAGAAGAAAUCUAACGGUCCAAAUUUAAAUCCAACAGCUAAAAUAAUUAAAAAAAAAUUCACGUGUUACGUAUUCUUUCAUAGUGUUUCAUGAGUUUCAUGGUGUCGGUUUAGUGAUUUUUCAAUAUUUAUUGAAAUUUUAAUAUUUUUAGGUUAAAAUGUUCAUAAUUUAAAUUAGCAUAGUCUACGUAAUGUUUAUUUUUUUUAAAGUUACUUUAGACCAUCUCCAACCUUGAAUUAAAACCUUAAAUUUUUAACCCAGAAAAUUUAGAUUUUAACCUACAAACAUGUUUCCUGGUCCAACCCUUCUAGGUUAAAUUUUUAGUCUGAGAUCAUUAAAUAAGGAAUUUAGGAUUCUUAAAGUAAUUAAAAAAAAGAAAAAAAAUUAUGUAGACUAUCAUAAUUUUAUUUAAUGAACAUUUUAACCUAAAAAUAUCUAGAUUCCGAUAAAUAUUGAAAAAUACUAAACCGAUACCAUGAAACUCAUGGAACAAUAUGAAAGAAUAUAAACACAUGAAAGAUUUUUUUUUAAUUAUAUUAACCGUUGGAUUUAAUUUUGAACCGUUAAACCUUUUUUUUUGCCGUUGGAUUUGAUCAUAUUAAAUCUUAGCCAUUGGAUUCAUUAAAUUUAUAAAUAUAAAAAGAAAAAAGUACACAUAUAUGGUGGGUCAGCCCACUAACUCGGGGGAAUCCUGGGCUAAAUCUACUCAGAAAUGAGUUUAGGGUUAAAACUCAUAUUUGCUCAAAUGGUUAAAGUAAGUUCGAGUAAAUUUAGAACCUAAAAUUUGAGUUUUACUCCCACGGUUGGAGUAUGUGUUAAGAAAAAUAUUAUCCUAAAUUCAUUUCUUAGUAAUCUCGGACUAAAAAUUUUAACCCAUAAAGGUUGGAGCAAAAAAUGGGUUAAAACUUAAAUUUUCUAGGUAAAAUUUUUGGGAACUUUAACUAAAAGCUCCUAGUACUGUUCACUUUAACGAAAAACCACAUUUUUACAAUAAAAAAUCAUUCGUGGUACUAUUCACUUUACCCUUUAUUUUGUCCUUAUUGUUAAAACUCAAAGUUGUCGAGCCAUUUUUCAUUAGUUUUCCUAAAAAUUUUUAGGUUUUAACCCAAGGAUUGAAGAUGGUCUAAGGGACUCUUCAUGGACUUUCUGUCACCUCACAUUUUAACGUCAAUUUUCAUGCCAGUAUUAUAAAACAUUUUUAUUCUAUUUUGUUUUCAAUUUUUUGUGACAAAAUUAUCCUUGCUAUUUUAAUUGCAUUAUUUUUUAGCAAGUUGUAGAUUUUUUUUUUGUUUUAGGGGUGUUUUUGUCCAAAUUUUUUUGGUGAAGCCUUGAGACACCAAAAUUCAUUGCUGGCUUUCUAAUAUUAGAGAUUGUGCUAAAAAUAUAAGGUAACAGAAAGUCCAUGGAGAGUCUCACUUUUGAAAGAGUUCCCUUAGCAUUUCUCUAAUAUUAAUUGUGGAAAAAAAGGAACUAAAACAAUAACCUUGUUGUAUCAAUAAUUGGUCUAAGAAAAAAGCCGUAAUAAUCCGGGAAUAUUUGCUUAUCACCCUCCGUUUCCUAUUUAUCAUUGUUAAAUAAGUUUAAAUAUCAAGAAUUUUGUAAUGGAUAUACACAAGUCAAAAAAUUUAAACUUAUUUAAUGGUAAUAAAUAUGGUGGUGAACAUUACCACCGGUGAACAAAAAUGCACCCUAAUAAUCAAAAUUAAUUAUAUUAUAAUUGCCAAUUUCUAAUUUGGUCAAAUCAACAUUGAGGGAAGGAAUUUGCAUCUGAGAGUGGUUAAGCUGCUUCUACAAACGUAUAUUUUAAUUCCACUAAUCAUGAUUAGGCUGCUGUCUUUCAUCCAAGUCCAAGACUGAUUCUCUUUCGCCUCCACAUGUUGGAGCUGCAAAUAAUGUGGAAAUUUGUUGAAAAACUUUCAAAGCACAUGGAUAUGGCUGCUGUGUGGGUGGCCGUUUGAAGCUUACAGCUAGGAAGUGCAUCAGUUUUCUGAAGAACCAAAGUUUGUUCAGUAAUCUCAAUCGUGUCAUCGCUUUUAAAAAGAAGUUAGGCAAAGAGCCUAUUGAGGAAGGGCGCUUUGCUUUCCUGUGAGUGGAUCCCCUCAAAACUAAAGUUUUUAAAUUAUUAUUAUAUGUCAAUCCAUAUGAAUAUUAUUAUUAUUAGUUAUUGAGGAAACUUAUAUCUAGUUAAAUUACUUUGAUAUUUUGAGUUCAUUAGUGAUUUAUUUUCACCACAUGGUCAUCAUACAUAUUGUAUAGUUAGCUAUGGCAGUAGGUUAUUUGCAAGUACUUAUUUUCUAGUAGAGGCUAGAAACACUAGUAGACACUAGUCAUCGAUCAGGUCGACGCCACUUCACCUGCUUGCUAUACAUUUGAUUUAUUUGAUUUUGUGAUUGUUAUUACUUUCUUUGAUAUGAGCGUGUUUACUAUUAUGGUAGUAUAUUAUAUGUAUGUAGUUUUUACCAUAUAUGUGAUUUCAAAACGGGAGUUAUUAUAUUCGAAUGAUGUUAACUAGAUAAAUUUGAUCCACUUAUGUUUUGUUUUUCGACCCCUUAGGACAUAACGAGAAUAAGAAGAACCCCGAAGGUGACGAGUGAGCUUGGUAGUGAGACAUUUAUCCUCUGGACUUUGGGUGAUGAUUCCUUUACUGUAGUUUAUUCUAGUUUGUAAUAACAUGAUCAUUCUUUCGAUUAUGCAUAACAUUUCACUUUUAUAUGUUUACUGUUGUGUAAAACUUCUAACUGCUCUAAUGUGACGUGAUAAUAAUGAAAUCUUAUCCAUGUACUUCUGUCUUUAAGUGGGGAGGUUGAUUAGGAGACUUUGUAGCAGCUUUUAUUCUAUUAUUAAAAAACAUUUUGGUUCAAAUUUUCUCACAUCAUAAUUAUCUUACUAUGGUUUCAUUAUUACGUUAGCUCGUAAUGUCAUCUCUCGAUAGGGCCAUGUGGUCAAUUUAGUAACAACCAACACAUCACGAUUUCAUAACUUGUGUUAUUUGGGGUUGGGGUGUGUCAAAUAACACUUUCAUGAUUUAAUCCUCAAUUAAUACCACUAUGUCGUUGUCGCUUUUGGUUUUGCACCGGGGAAUGAAUAUAUUCACUUGAAAUAUAGACGACGAGGUGACGGUCAGAAUGCUCAAUCUUGAUUUUGUUUUUUCUAAUACUAGUGGAAAAACUUCAAUAAAAGCUAGUCAUGGAAAAAUCAUGCAAUUCUCUUGAUUUUGUUUUUUCUAAUACUAGUUGAAAAACUUCAAUAAAAGAUAAUCAUGGAAAAAUCAUUCAAUAAAUUAGUCACAUUCAUUUUCAAAGAUUAAAUUUGUAAAAUAAAUUCAUUUAUCAACGUAAAUCAAUCAUUUACGGUUCGAGAUGUGUUGUUUUAGAAAGCAUUUUUGGUCAAAUUGCUUAUCUUAAAAACAAUUUUAUCAUAAGCAUGUUGAAAUUUUUAUCAAAAUUUAACAUGGUUCUUAGAAAUUAAAAUACAUUUAUCUUGAAGAAGCACAUUUAACUUAGCAUGUGAAAGUGUUUACACAAUUUUGACUAUCUAAAAGUUUUUAACUAUUUUAAAAGUAGUUUCAUACAAGAGUGAAAAACUGAACAAAAUCUUUAGACAAGAGAUGGUUGUUGCAUCACAGUUCUAAAAUUUAUCAUGGAACCUUAUACUUUACAAUUAUAAUUACAAGUUAUUUAUUACACUAGGAUUUGAUGACAUUUAUGUAAAAAAAGUAAUAAAAUUGUCAAUGAGGGUUGUUUGAAUUAGUAAGGAUCGUUCUCUUCACAUCAAGACCUAGGUUCGAGUUCAGUUGCAUGCAAUCCCUCUUAUUGAGCUAUCUGUAAGAACUAAAAUAGGGGUUAGGAUCCUAUUGACCCUAAAAAUUACAAAGCAUACGUGGCUCGCAGUCCAAGUAAAUAUGAACUAACUACGUCAUUCUUGUGAAUAUGGGCUUGACAACUCACAACCGAGCUUCGUCGGGCAAGGAGAAUAGAUAUGGUGGCAAUGGUGUCGAAUGCACUACUAACUUCUACACUUGAGCGAUUACGGCCGAGAAAGAAAAGCGUCUCGGGCUUGGGUUCUAGAACUUAAAGACAAGGUUGCCUAAUUCACUGCGAAGUUCAAAUAUCCACUUACUUAUAUUAUGACACUUAAUGUAUUGGUCCGGUGUUCCUGACAAACUGAAAAAUCUCUCCAUCAAGAUUUAACAACUAGGACUUAAAAUCCACGUAGGACCACAAUCUCAAGUUUCUCGGCUCUCUUUUUCCCGCCUAAAUUGUUUGGGCCUCAAAUUUCCACAACACACGAGGCUGGGCUUUUAGUAGUUUGAUAUCAUUUUUAAGCUGGGUUAAACCCACCAAUAGGCUAUGAUAUCAAUGUUGUAUGCAAGAGCGUGCUUGCGGAUUAUGGUCGUUUUUGUAUUGUAAGUCACAUAUGCAUCAACGAGUAACAAGCUAUGUGAAUUGGGAUGUAAUGAGUCCAAUCAAACUGAAAAGGAAAGUACAUAGUUUAGACCAUUUAUCUCGCUUAUGAAGUCCAUCUUCGAUUUCCCUCGCUCAAAUAUAAUUUGUGAUACUAGCAAUGCAACCAAUUAUGUGUUUAAAUAGUAGUAUUGUUGAGUUUAACUUCAAUCUAAUUUUGUCAAAUUUAAUAGGUUUGCUUAAACUUGACCAAAAUAUUGUUGGGUCAAUUGGCCAAUACAAUGUAGGGGUGGGUUCAAAAAACCGGACCGAAAUAAAAAAAUCAAAAACUGGAAAAAAAAAAACCGAACCGAAUUGAACCAAUAAGGUUUUUUUUUUUUUUUUUUUUUUUUUUUUUUUGGAGGUUCGACAACCUAACCAAACUGAAUCCCUUUACACUUUAUAAAUGUAUGUCCAUGAUGUUUUUUUGUGUGAAACUUUGUUGCCAAGUUUGAAACUAAGCCUAGGGCUUUUUUAAGGAGCAUACUUAGUUCAAUUAUGAAGGAUAUUUCAUUGGUUAUGGAGGAAAGUUUUGGAAGACUUUGGAACUUGGAAGAGCUUCUGUAUUUGUUUGUUUUUUGAAUGGUUUAUAUGAUCUUGUAUAUGUAUAACUACCUUCCCACUUUUCCACUUUUUUGAGUAACUUGAGAAAAAAAAAAAAAAAAAAAAAACUUGCAAGUGGCCCUUUACCACAGUGGUGGAAAAGUGUUAAGCCCUGACAUAACGGCGUGAGUUCGAACCCGUCGGUGACUAAUCUAACAAAAUCUAUUGUUUGACAAAAAAAAAAAAAAAACCAUAAACCCUACUAUUUCAUUUGAUUACGUGGCAUUAUCCACACAUUCUUGUCUCUUCUUAUCUUUCUUACGUGAGCCCAAAAGGCCCAAGUUUUCAUCAAAAGAUUAGAAAGCCCAAGAUUUCUAAUUAACCUUUUGGCAGAUCUCACUUAAACGGACCCAAGGAUAUUUUAGUCAAUAUACCAACUAGGGUUUCCACAUAUAUCCGUCUCCAGCAUCGCCCACUUCCUUUCCGCAUAGAUUAGGGUUUUUGCUCAUUCGGUAACUCUGUGCUUAAGGCGUCGGCUUCCUCCACUCUCCUCGAACCAGCUCGAAAAUGGCGGAACAGGUAGAUCUCUCUCUCUCUCUCUCUCUCUCUCUCUCUCUCUCUAACUUUUCCGUUUUCUCAAUUCAUCGUUUCGUGCUUGUUUUUGUUGCAGACCGAGAAGGCUUUCUUGAAGCAGCCUAAGGUUUUCCUCAGGUAAAAAAUUGAUUUCAAAAUCUCACAUUUUUCAAGCUUUUUUUUAGAUCGGAUUUGGUUCGUGUAUUUGUUCAUUUGCUUCUGCUGAAAUCAAAGGAUUUUGUUUGUUUAUUUAUUUAAUAACGUAAUAUUAAUGGGUAUAAUAAAUGGAAAUUAUGAAAUUUUGCAGCUCAAAGAAGACAGGGAAGGGAAAGAGGCCUGGAAAGGGAGGCAAUCGCUUCUGGAAGAGUGUUGGGUUGGGAUUCAAGACCCCCCGAGAUGCUAUCGAAGGUAUAUUUUACUGUUUACUUUUAUGGUGGUGGUUAUUCAUUUUAUUAGAUAUUUGCAAUGUCAAGCAUAUGGGUUAUGUUGUUUAAUUAUUAUCCAUGGACCCCUGUUUUAUCCAAAUCGUGUAAUCGUUACAAAUUUAUAUUCUUUUUUAGGUUGAGAUUAAAGUUCGGAAACCUAAAUGAUGAAUAAUAUCUUACAACUGUGAUACUUCGUGUAUUUUGAUUUGAUUGUAAUAUCGUCAAAGGCUCUCAGCUCAUUUGCUUGUAUGAUUAAUUAGAGAUGCCGUGAAAUGCUUUGAGAUUUAUUGUUGCUUGUUGGCAUUUGUCAUCACAUUUAAUGAUUCAGUGAGUUGAGUGAUGUGGGGAGGCAAAGAACGCUUGAAGGAGUUUUGUUAACUGUAAAUGGUACAAUGACUUGUGAUUUGAAGUUUGGUGGUCAUCUUUUACAUAAAAGAACUGCUUGCAUAUAACUGCAGGAACAUACAUUGACAAGAAGUGCCCAUUCACUGGCAACGUCUCCAUCAGGGGUCGUAUUCUCUCUGGGACUUGCCACAGUGCCAAGAUGUCAAGGACUAUUAUCGUUCGUCGUAACUACCUGCAUUAUAUUAAAAAGUACCAGAGGUUUGUCAAAUUACUAUGAGAAAGUGAAGUUUUCUUCUGUUUCUUAACAUCAGGAUAAUUAAUUUUUCACUUACUUGUAGAUACGAGAAAAGGCAUUCUAACAUCCCAGCUCACGUUUCACCUUGCUUCCGUGUGAAAGAGGGAGAUUAUGUCAUCAUUGGGCAGUGCAGGUUAGAUUUUAUUCAUGUUGCUCGUUAAUUUUGUUGAAACUGUUACUGAUUGGUCUUUUAAUGCUUUAGUUUGUUUACCCAUUAGCAGUCAAUUUGUAUUUUUGUUUAAUCAGUGAUUCUGUCCGAAUUUUGUAGGCCUUUGUCAAAGACAGUGAGGUUUAAUGUGUUGAAGGUGACUCCAGCCGGUUCAUCUGGAACUGGGAAGAAGGCAUUCACUGGAAUAUGAUUUUGCUGUUUUGGGCAGUAUGUUAGUGUUACUUUUGUGCAAGAAGUACAUUUAGAUUGAGCUACUCGUGACAGAUGAACUGUUUUUUGGCAUUUUAUUUGCUUUUAAAAUAUUCAUCAUUCUAAGGUGAGUUUAUGGUAUUCAUUGAACCAUAUCCUGAAUUUUGCUAUCCAUAUUCUCAUUUUAUAUUCAUAUUGUUGUGAUUGUGUGGGUCUGCCAAAUUAGUGCAUUCAAACAUAUACUAGCUAGUCUAGUGUCGGUUGCAGAUGGUUAUUUGUUUAGAGGGGGUCAGAAGGGAUUAGACAUGAUUGAAAUUUUAAUCCUUUACGCCCCGUUUGGUUGGGUGGAUGGUAUAGGUUAUAUCCAAUUAGAAGGGCCGAGUCCAAUUCUCUGUUUGAUGGUGUUAAAUGCGUCUUGGACAGGAUAGGUUAGGAUAGGUUAUGUGUGAAAUAUAUUGGUUAUGUAACCCAACCUCGCACACAAGUUAUACAAUUGAAGGAUGCGUGGGUUGAGUCGGAGCAACGCCUUCUGUCAUCUUCUCAUCAUCGUUCUCCCAACAUUUUCCCAUAUCAAAAUGAAGAAAUACUGAAGUUUGUGAUUCUCUCUGUGAUGAGUGGGGGGUCGACUGGUCGGUGGUGCAGGUCAAUUGACAAGCACUUGUGAUUUCUCCCCCAUCUUUGCGGGGUUUGGUUCCUAUCGAUGAAGUUUGGUAAUUGAAAUGGUUGCGACAGGCUUCCAGACGGCAACGUGUGAUGUUGGCUCGUACCAUCAGAUCAACGAAUCUUCAAAUUUUUCAUAUGGUUUACGUUUUCAUAUUGAUGUGUGUCAAUUGAAUUUCCAGGCAAUUGUUCGUGUUUUGGAAUUUUUUACAGGUGGGUUGGAAAUCUGUGUGCAAAGAUGAUUUGAUUAGCGAUUCAGGGGAGGAAGUUGGGAAUUAGGUAGGGCUGGUCGGAUCGGGACCUCGAACCGAAAAUGAGAUACUGAAUUCCGAACUGAUCCCUUUUGGGAAUGGAAACUGAUACCGAACUGGAAUUUUGGUGUUCUCGAAACUUUUUCGGUACGGAUCAGGACUAGCCAUCUUCUCUUUUGUUCACAGAAAUUCUUCACCCGAAAUGCAAUCCAUACAAACAAUUCAUUCACAGAAAUUCUUCACCCCAGAUGAAAUAUACAAAUAUACAAGUAAUUUAUGCUCAAAUCCAAACCCCUGUUUUCCAGUUUCAUAAUCCCAAAUCUAAAUCCAGAAAUAAUCAAACAACCCUCAAUUUUGUGAAACCCUAGAAAUACCCAGAAGAACAGAAAAAAAAACCCCCCAAAUAUUGUAAACAAAUUUUAAUUCGAAAAUAAAUUGAAACAAAACCAUAGAUUUUGAACAAAUAGCUCGAUUUUGGGGCUUGAUCAAGGAGAGGUAAAGGCGGAGAGAACAAGGAGAGUACUCGUGAAAGAGGGUUUGAGAAUGCUGAAUGAUAGAAUGUGAGAGACUGAGAGAGACACUGAACCCUAAGUUAGGCUCGAUCAAGGAGAGGUAAAGGCGGAGAGAAGAGUACUCGUGAGAGAGGGUUUGAGAAUGCUGAAUGAUAGAAUGUGAGAGACUGAGAGAGACACUGAACCCUAAGUUAGAUUGGAUGUUUGAGAUUAAAUCUCAACCAAUCCAACGGUGCACAUAAUUCCUAAACCUAAUUUACAAUUAAAUAUAUAUCAUAAAAUGUGUCUCGGUUCGGGAUUAACGAACAGAGGCAUAUAUAGGAUCUUGAAUCCCAUACCUAACUCUUUGGGAUUGGUUCGGUUUUGGGUACUGAACGGUUUAGGAUUUUCGAUUGGGAUGUUUUCGGUUUGGUUUCAUGACAUUUUUAGUUCGGUUCGGGAUUUUCAGUAUUUUUCUCACCCCUAGAAUAAGGUAGUUGCAGGGUCACAAGUCCUGGGUGGUUUGUCUACACCAAACAAAUGACUCGACUCCCAUCCUAUCCUGUCCAAAGUACCGACUCCCAUCCAGUUUUGUAUGCAUAACAGAGGUAUUUAUUGAAUAUAGCAAAAUAUUAGCUCUUAAUUUAAAAAAUGUUAAUUUUUUAUAUAAAAACUUUCAUAUAUAUAGACACAAAUACCCUUAAAACUUUAAUAAUAUCUAGUUGUUGAUUAAAAGAUUCUUUUGCUAUAAUCAAGUGUUGCUUUCACCAGUAUCUUGUCUCUUUUUAUUUAUUUAUUUUUUAUUUUUUAUUUUUUCUAAUUUUCUUUGUCAAACGAAGACCAUAGAUUUCUCUUAAUUUUAUUUUUUAAUAAAUAAUCAAAGAAAGGGGUAUUAACAUCCUACUUGUCAGAUCUCUUGUUCUUAUACUGCCGGCAUAUGCAACUCUUUUCCUCUAAAUUCAACUUCAAAAUGAGAUCCAUCGUAUACAUGAAAUGAGUAAGUUUUGAUGGGCGAUACUUGUAUGUUCACAUACAUAUAUUACUCAAGCAAAAGAAGAACUAAACAACCAAAAAGAAAUCCGCAUAACUUGUUGACCCUAAAAACUAAUUAGCCUACGUGGCGUGCAGGUUGAGUAAUUAAUAAGCUAACUACAUCCUACGGUCGAAUGCUGGGCAUGCCAACUUGUCGCUUGAACUUGGCUGGGGAGUAAAAUGAAUGUUGAUGUGGCGUUUGGUGUGCUGCUGACUUCUGCGUCUUGCGAUUGCGGUCGAGGAAGGAACCGUCUUAACCUUUGGGUUUUAGAGCCUGAUGACAAGGCUGUUAGUUUCUUCGAAGUUCACGAAUCAUCGGUAUCGGGUUCAGCCUUAGUAAUUAUAUUUGUGAGAAUAUAAGUACGUCAAACUGGUACUAGACUGUAUGGACAUAAAUACUCAAAAGAGAUAAGUGUCUUGAUUGUAAAUGUGGUUCGGCCGUCGGAAUGCCGAACUCUAAAAUGUACUUGCGAAUAUCCAAUCAUAAAAUGAACUCAGUUUCAAUGUGUUGAGCCUGGUAACACCUCACUUUACCGAGAAGGCUGAUGAGAUGACCUUUUCCAACAAGGACUCGGAGAUCCUUGUUGACCAAGACUUGGAUAGAUAACCAGUUGGUCUCGAAGUAGUGUUGUUUAUCCAAAUUGAAAGUGUUCCUCGGUCGGCUGAUUCUACGGUUCCAGUGUUGUUUAUCCAAACUGAAGAUGUUGCCCUUCAUAGUACUGUUUAUUCAAACUGAAGAUGUGCUGACGGGAAAAAAGAAAAUAAAAAUCUCAAGGUGUUUGAGAGGUUUGCGCAGGGCAGUUAUGUGUUGAAUUAGAGCAGAAAUGAUGCAUCUCCCUCUCUAUUUAUAGUAGCGAUUUCCCAAAUAAUCGAAUUAGAAUUUCACUCACACUGAAAUUCCUCAUCUUAAUCUGAUUCUGUCUUGACCAAUCCUAACCUCUAUAGGACUAUGAACUAAGCUCUUUAAUCAUUCGAAUUCAUCCCUUGAAGUUUGACAUCUUCUCUAACUCAGAUUUUUGUUUAAACUCUAAAGAGUCUAUCUUGUAUUAGGAUUUGACCAUUUCAUCUUGAUUUAGGCGGAAAUCACAUUUUGAUAGGACUCUUCCGAACUAUACUGGGCUUGACCCAUAGCAGAAUAUUCUUGAGACUCCUAAUUGGACCGAGAAACCCGGGCUCGGCCCAAAAUAUAAUUUUGGGACCAAACAUUACCCCUUCGCUUAUGAGGUUUUUGGCCUACAAAAUCUAGCCGAACUUCGACCUUGAAGAAAUGACCCAUUAUCAAAUGUCAGCCUUCAUAAUGAUCGUGUCUUAAAACUUGCCGUCACAUGCAAUCGUGUAACCCCGAUUUGAGUGUAUUUUGGCAUUUCCACCUGGAUUUUUAAAUUUUGUAAUGAUUGCAAAAUAUUUCGGCUAGAUUUACCCCUCAACUUUUGAAUUUGAAAUCAUCAAUCUUUUUCUCUAGUUGCCUAUAAAUAUUACCUCCGACCUCAUUCCAACUUUACGUUUCCAAAAUUCUUAAGACUUUUGCCAUUUUGCUAUGAGCUUUCGCAACCCAGAAAAGACCAACCUUUGAAACCCAAACAAAAACCUCUGAACUUUUGCUUUAAUGGCUACCAAUACCUUCAUCACCAAGCUCACUGAAGAAUGUGACAUGUGUCGCAAUUUUAUUGACCACAAUGCCAUCAAACCACUACGCUUUGAAGAAGAUGUGGUUGCCACUUACCAGAUCUUAGGCCCUUUAUUCAAUGAUGAGUUUCCAGAAAUCAUCAUUGAGAUGGUGAAGGCCUAUUGCUUAUGUCCUCUCGCCUAUGGUCAUGAUUGGUCAAAAUGAGAGUCAACCAAACCACAAAGAGCCUGGCCUUCGACCCCUGUGGCCUAGGACGCUUGGGUUAAUCGACUAGAGGCCCACUUCGACGAUGCCUGGAAAUCACUCGGCAUCUUCGAUACUAUCAAGCUCUCGACCAUCGGAAUUAGCAUGGAUCGAGAGCUCCUGAUAGUUGUUCUGAAAUUCUCAUGCUCGAUCACCAACACUAUGGUACUUCCUUUGGCCCUAUCGGACCAACCGUCCUUGAUAUAACAGCCAUCAUCGACACAUCUCCGUUUGGUCUUCCAGUUGAUAUUGACCUCUCUUAGUAUCAAUUCAACUUAGACCUAAAAAUGGUCUUCGAAGAGUGCGCUGUUGAGGUCUUGAGGAAAAACACUCAAGAGGAAGUACCGAAGGACGAAGUGAAAUUGCACAAAAAUUUCUUUAAUUACAGCACACCUAUCAAUCAUUUUGCUGGCCGAGAAAUAGAAAGCCUCAAGAAAGGAGAACACAAGGCUUUCUUGUUCUACUGGUACAAUAAGUUCAUCUUUUGUACUAAGUCGAACAAGUGCCUCGCUGAGAAUAUGCCAGUAGCUGAGGCCCUGGCCAGUGGUUAUCUCCUGGCCCUUAGUCCUACCAUCCUUGCCAACCUCACUUAAUGUUUGGCUGAGGUUACUGUCGAAAAAAUCGACCCAUAUAAGAAUGGCCCAUUAUGGGUGUUUCAACUCUGGCUGCAAGUCUACUUUGCCAGUCUAAGGCUAGAAAGCUUUAGUUUUGAUUCCUCUGAUGUAAUGGACCUCCAACUAGCAACAUGCCAUACCCUAGCUCACUCGGCCGAAGAAAUUUUCAAAUUCUUCUUCGGUCUCACAACCUCACUAACGACGAAUUCUUAAUAUGUCAUCGAAGGGACUACCCUUCCUCCCUUAGACUUCCCACAUCUACAUGGGAGGUAACAUAAUACGCUGAUCUUCGACAUAACUAGGAAUCGUUCGUACUGGCCCACGACAUCUCCUUUAGUUGCAACGCUUAACGGGCCAAUUGGGAGGUCUACUACCCCUACUUCUUGGCUCGACAGCUCAAUUAUCUCCAGGGCUGCCCAAUGCCUUUGUUUACUUAUCACUCUCUUUAGAGCCGAGAACAAAUCUUUGGUUCCUCCGAGAGAGAAUGUGAAGAUGUAGAGGAGGAGUUUCAAGAGCGGUGUAAAAAAUUUCGCCUUUGGUUGAACCUUCUUGAUAGGGGUGGGAAAAUAGGGCCCUGGGAAAAUAGGUGGUCACGUUUAGGAAGAGAGUCAGGAGACGAUGGCGAUGAUGGUGUUCACAAGAUGACUCGACUCAAGUAUGCCCACAAAGCCACUCAUUUGAUGUAAUAGCUUUUGGAAUACUUAUUGUAUUAAACUUUUAUAUGUUUAAUGAAGGGCAAAGCUUAUUGUUAAAUCACUAUUUAUUGUAUCAUGUGUUUAAGCAAUAAGGGAAUCCAAGGAAUGUAUUUGAUCUAAGAGAUAAGUGAUUUAAGUAAGUUAGAUUAUCGAGACCUUUCUCUUAUGUUCAUUCCUAAAACGUUCCUAGCCAUAGGAUUGCCAAUUGGGCAUUGACAAUCCGCUAAGGUUAGUAUGUGUUAUGUCAACUCAAGCGUGAGUAUGACUAGUCUCAUGUCAUUUAGUGUUGGACACUAAGGCAAACACAUAGGUGCUCAAAAGAGUGAUCGAGUACACUGAACAACGAUCAAAAGAGAGUUCGAACAUACAUGUCAUGUAAGAACUCGAAAGUUGCAAUAUGCAAAGUAGUCCUUUGACCUGAGGCAUCAUUGAUGUCUAAUGGUUAGGUCCUUGAUCUUUGAUCAUGUCAAAGGCAUUCCAUUGGAGUGUCCACGAAAUUGUUGUGGUCAAGCUACCUAGUCAUGUAGGCAUAUGAAUGCACAACAAGGAAUCUCUAACCUUCCAUGGUGGAAGGAGAAUACUCUAAGAUAUGAUUCGAGAGUCUUUGACCAAAGCAUAUGAAUAUGACUUAGGAAGUUUGUUCCAAAUCAUAUUCAAAUGAAUCAUAUAGAUAAGUAUCACAUUGGAUAGUAGACAUGAAACAAACUAUCACCUGAAACAAUGUGAUUAAGAGUAUUGUAUUAGAGAAGGAUCGUAUUGCAUUGUAGUUGUAACUGGAUAGGUUAUCCAACCACUUCUACUUAGCUUGGGUAACCAUGAUAUGCUGCUAGGUGUCACUCAUGGUUUGUGGAAGCCCUAAAGAUUAGCAAACACUGAUUUUAAGGGAGAAUUAAAAUGUGGUUUCAAUUCACAAUCGAUCGUUAAGAGUAACAAUCGCCCACUACCUCGCUAAAUGGAACCUAAUGGAUCGUACACCGAGUAAGGAUGUUGGUGAAGAAAUUAAAUGAAAUGGAUAAGCAAUUAAAUGGUUUAAUUGAAGAAUGGUCAAGGUUAAUUAAUUAGUUAAUUAAUUAUACGAAAUGUUCGUAUUGGGCUUAUACGGUUUUGGGUUUCGGGGCCCAAAAGCGUUUUGGUCCACAAGGCCCAUUAUGUUUAAGUUGUAUGACAACUAAAACAAAAUGGGCAAUUAGCCCAAUCAAUUUGAUAUGGCCGGCCAUUAGGGUGAGAAGUGUCAAACUUGGAUUAAUUACAAGUUUGCCACUCACAUGUGAUGAAGUAUAAAUUCAACUUUAUAGCUUUAUUUUCAUUUAGGGUUUUUCUUGGUGAAAUGAGGUGAAACAUUUUCUCUCAUUUUCUCAAAAGAGGCCGGCCACCUAGGGAAGGAAUAGCUAGCAAUCUCUUCUUCCCUAAGUCAUCCAUUUCAUCUUCACAUCACAUCCUUGGUGAAGAGACUUAGAGACAUCAAGCUUUUGAUGUUUUGGAGAACAAAUCCUCAAAUCCUCAAAGAAGCAAAGGAGCACUAAAAGGAGGAAAAUCACAAGGAAGAUCCAAGAAGCAAGGAGGUGACUUGAAGGCCCUCCACUUGGGUGAAUCCCUUGUGUAAUCAAGGAUGAGCUUCAAGGGUAAAGAAACUCUAAAUCUUUCAUUCUCUUUAAUGUUGUUAAAGAGUUUAUUGGUUCACCAUAUACUGGGCUUUGAAAGUCAUGGGUUUUAUGAAUUGUUUUUGAAUGCAUGCCUACUUUAAUGUGUUAAUAGUUUGCAUAUGUAUUCAAAUGUUCUUACUUGUUCUUAGCUAGGGCAAAAUGUUUCCUUCAAGUGGUAUCAGAGCCUAGGCCUAGUUUAUGGUGAAUCCUUUUGGGUUUUGUGAUUUUUCAUGAUUUGUGAUUUAAAUGUUGUAAAUGUUACAAGCUUUGUUCUUGCUUUGAAUAUAAAUUUUGCUUGAAAAUUUAGCAUCUCAAAUGUUGUAGAUGUAUAUCAUUUAAGCAUGAAUAUUGGAACUAAAAUUUGGUGCCAUGUUUGUUGGGAAAUUCGUCCAAAUCCAAAGGGUGGUUUUUUGGGUUCAUGUUUGUCUUGUUAAAAUGGUUUUAAAGUGACUUUUGGAACCCCUAAGUACCCUAGGAUAUUAACCCUCUUUUGUGUUGUGAAAAUUUGAGUUUUAAUGAGUGAAAACAUUCAUGGAGCUCUUAUGAGUUUUCAUGUGUGUUCUUCAAUGUUCUUGAGUUUCUUACCAAGAACAAAAAGGUUUGGAUUUUUGAUUCAAAGUGUUUGGUGUUUUUCAUAAAGUUUUGUUUAUUUUUUAUGGGUGAUGGAUUAUUGGUGAGGAUGAUAAAUGCUAUUAAUGUUUCACAAAACAUUUCUCUUAUAACCCAUCUCAUUCACCUUUAUCCUCACCCACCUAUUCCACUUGCAUAUUGCACAUGCAUGCACCACUUGCACAAAAUCCAUUUCACUCCUUUUCACUCUAAAAACCGGCCAACCCCAAGUGGGGGUGAUUUUGGGCCUUUUGUGCAAUUACAUAAAGUUUUGAUACUUUUGUGUUUUUGUAUUUUGGUCCAAAAGUUUACGUUUUUACGUUAAGGCCCAAAAACUCUAAAGGACAAAUUGUUUUGCUCCUUUAAUGAUGUUUUUACAUUAUUAAAAUUUUGGGUUCUAGUUGUAAUUAUAUGAAGUUGUGGACUCUUGUGUUUUUACAAAGUGACCCCAAAAGUUUUUGUUUAUUAAAUAAUGGCCCAAUUGUUGAGGUCAUUGUUUUUGGCCCAAAUAAGAUGAGAACAAAAUGGUUUUGUCUCUUUAAAUGAGAAUUGGAUUUUCAUUUUAUUUAGUUCCAUUUAAAUCAAUUCUAUGAAUCCGAAAACCAAUUGUUUAAGUUGCUUUCUUAGUUAAUGUGAUUGAUUAAGAAAAUGGUGAUUAUGAACCAAAGGCCUCGAUAAUUGAGCUAUGUGAUUGGCCGCUUUACAUUAUGAAUGUUUGGGUUAAGUAGUUUAGAUUUGAAUGUAAUUUGAUUAAUUUAAUUUGUUGUAAAUGGACAUAAGUCCAUCAUUUGUGUUGUAAAAGGGCAUAAGCCAUUCUUAUUAUUUCAUGUAUUCCUUUUUGUUUAAAUGUAUGCAAAUUGGAAUAGUUGGGUCCAACGCCCAAUAGGAAAUAACGGUUUGAUUAGAUUAAACGCGUAACUAAAAUCAACAACUAUCUACCUUAAACCCAAGGUCCAACACAAGGCUCAUGUUGGAUCAAAUCAAACGGUUCAUAAUCAUCCUAAAACCUAAUAUGACUAUAUAGUCCAUAUGAGGAUGCAAUGCGUUCGUUAGUAGUUCCAUAUAGUCUCGCUUGUUUCAACGAAACAGUGGGAGUAUUAUAUGCUACUAAUUCAUAUUAACUUGGACCAAUAGUUGUGAUAGGCCCAAGUUCUUUUAAUAAGAUUAAAAUGAUUUUGAUGUAGCCCAACACCACUCCCUCAACAAAACGAAUAUUAAGUUGAUAAGCGAGAGAUGUUUUGAACAUCUCUUCGUAGGCCUUCCACCGUGGUGGGCUCCAAUCGUUUGUGACUCAUACACCGGCUUUACCCUAUAAUGGGGAAGUUCAAAGUAUGUGCUUACAUCCAGGAGGAGUCCAUAAACAUAUAUGAUAAAGUGAGUGUAGACAACGAGUAUGACCAACAUGAUAUAAUUCUGAGGUUGUGCUUGAACCCCUACAUCAACUAGCAUGGUGGGAAUGACUUAACUAAGUGCAAUGGUGCCAAAAUGAUAUAAUUCUGAGGCAAUCAUUCUCUAGAGGCCAAAACAGAUGGGUAAUUACAAAAGUUGUAAAUGGCUAAGAGUUAUACUCUCAUCAUUAUUGUUGCUAGCCAAAAUAAUAUAAUUCUGAGGUGGGCUUGGUAAUGAUGAGCCUCCCAUACCCCGCUAAGAGUUCAUCACAACUCUCGAAUUCUAUUGAGGGAUGUGGAAUUUGCCAAAAAUAGUGGGUGGUACUAUUUGAUUUAAGACCCAAUCAAGUAGUUUUAAAAUCAACAAUCUAAUACGAUUUCUGUUAUGUUAUGUAGUUAACGACAUGCCUAAAAUUACACCCACCAUUAUACUUGACAAAAGGGGCCUUAGGGGCCAACAUUUCCUUGCUUGGUAUCGCCAUAUUGAGAAUGUCUCAAAGGUGAUAGACAUAUUGUAUGUGCUUAAGCAAUCCCCUCCUUAUGUACCUCCUACGAAACUAGCUUCAAAGGAGGAGUGUGAAAAUUAUGACAGACACUAUGAGGAUGACUUACAAGCCAAAUGCUUAAUCCUCACUUCACUUAGUAAGGAGCUUAUGAAGCAACAUGAGCACAUGGACACUUCUUGUGCCAUGGUUGAAAGUUUGCAUAAGAUGCAUGACAUUGAGACUAGUAAUGUACGAUUCUCAAAUGUUUGUAGUCUAUUGAAUGCCAAAAUGGCAAAGGGGGCAUCGGUUCAUAAACAUGGACAAAAGAUGGAAAGGAUCUUUCAAGAUCUUGAAAGUUUAGGAACUUCCAUCGAUGGGAGGCCGGCCACAUCUAGUGGUCUGUACGACAUCCACCUACUUGGAUCCAAGGCGAGCAUGCGGUGUGGUGAAUAAUAUAAGCACUAACACCAGAGGUGUAGGUUAUGAGCUCUCAACAUAAUUCACAUAAAAUAAAUCGUCUGAAUAAUGUAAAGACUCACAUGUGCGUCCACUGCGUCAAUUCACAUAUAUAUGCAUCAAUUAUCAAUUUAAAUAUCUCAACAAUUGCAUGCAUGGCAAUUUAAAUCAUAUUUUCAUAUAAACGCAUUUUCUGGGAAAACAGUAGUAUAUAGGUAAUACAAAAACAAAACUACCCACUCACUGAUAAGUCGAUGGGUCGUAACCCCCGUGACGUCCCUGGAUGCGCUCGUCCUCGGGAUAGGUGUCACCUAUAUGCGAAACAACUAUAAAAACGUUAAUUUAAACACAUAACCAACAGUUCGAAAUAACUUCUCAUACGAUGCUCAAUUUGGGUAUAUGAAUAUACCACAUCGACCUACUCGACGUCACGGACGUCGAGAAAUUUUUAGAAAAUUUUUGGAAGCUGCACGUGCCCCCACGCGCCGGGAUAGGCACGGGGACAUGCGCCCCCACGCGCAUCAUCCCUAACCUCGGCUCGCCGGACUGAACUUUCCGGCGGCCGAUUUCCGGCCAAAUUUGAAAUUCCUUGUUCUCCUUCGUUUCUCAACCAUUUUCUUCGUAUUUUAUAUCAAUUUGAAGCCUCAAACAUGUAGAUUCACGAUAUACUACUUUAAAGCUCUAAAAACAACUAAAUCUCACUGGGAAAAUCCAAGAAAAACCGGCCAAACUCAAACCUAGUGAUCCCGACGUCCAAAACCUUCAAACGAAGCACUCCAAGCUUCCUUGGGACCUCACUAAGCUCACUAUAAGCUUAGAAUUCCCUGAAACACAACAUUUCACGUGUGCAUGAACAUUGACACAAAUUGGGGGGUUCGGGUUUCCCGUUAUAUCGAAGGUUUCACUAUCUAAAAUUAGUACCAUUCAACUCAGGACGACGAAAGGAUGAAGAAUCUUACCUCAAUAGCUUCGAUCCGCUGAGUUUUGGAGGGUUUUGGGUGAGGUCCGUACGAUAUGGGUGAGAGAGAGUGAGAGAAUCGUGAGGGAGGAGAGAGAGAGUUACUGGAAAGAGGGAAAGGACAGGGAGUGUGUGAGGUGUCCAACACCAAUCCUCACCAUCCAUUUCAUCUAAUUCCCUAACCACAAAAUUAACAAAAGCCAAAAUUUUAAUCCAAAACUUAUAAUAAGUUAAACCAAAUAACGUCACACACACAUACCUUAAUACCCACUAAGGGUAAAUCCGUCAUUUCACGCUCCCGAUAUAAAAUUUUCGGGACGGGCUGUAACAUGCAUGCAGACAUCCUUGACAUUUGAAAAUUAAAAGUGUUUACAAUUUUUUAUUUCUUUGGGUACAGUGUGAACUCAAAGAAAGCUUUUGACUAAGAGAUUGUGGAAAUUCAAAGCUUGGAGCCUUUUCUUCCUGCGGAGUCCAUGUCUUAUAGAGUUGGAAAAAGACUUGGAUGAUGACUUGCUUUAAAUCUAGUCUUUUUCCAACUAUUAAAAGCAAGUCAUCAUCCAAGUCAUCAUCAAUGUCAAAUUUAUUUUUAAUUCAUUUUAAUAGUGGAUUCCUUAUUCUACUAACAUUUCAACCAAUAAAAAUUUGACAUAAAAAAUCCUCCAACCGAAAUGUUAUUUGCUGACUAGAUUUAAAGACAUUGAUGUCAAAUUUGACAUCAAAUUACUAAGCCUUCAAAUCUAGUAUUUUUUCCAAGUAUUAAAAGCAAGUCAUCAUCCAAGUCAUCAUCAAUGUCAAAUUUAUUUUUAAUUCAUUUUAAUAGUGGGUUCCUUAUUCCACUAACAUUUCAACCAAUAAAAAUUUUAUUACAACAUUUUUUAAUAAUUACAAUCAUUUAAAACUCCAUUUAAAUGAUAAAAUAACAUUUAACAAUUCGGUUGGAGAAUUAAAAAAUUUCACAUAAGGCUUCAGAUUGCCGCGUCAACCAUCAAUUGUAAUUUGACUGUUAUAAUUUGACAUUUCCUUUGGAGAUGGUCUAACACGUUCAAAACAUCUUAAGAGCCGUGUAAUGCCGGUUAUAAAAAAAAGUUUUUCGCACGCGGAUAAUAAUGUGAUUAAAUAAGUUGUUUAUUAAAUAUUAUUUUUUCUAUUUUAAACAUGCUCAAAACAUCUUAAGAGCCGUGUAAUGCCGGUUAUAAAAAAAAAUUGCACGCGGAUAAUAAUGUGAUUAAAUCAGUUGUCAAAUGAUUGUUUUUUUUUAACAAACGAUAUUAUCUACACUAAGGGGGAGGGGUGGGCUUAGCCUCACAAUGAGUUAGCAAUAAUGUGAUUCAAUCCGUUGUUUAUUAACUAUUAUUUUCUCUAUUUUUAAACACGUUCAAAACAUCUUAAGAGCCGUGUAAUGCCAGUUAUAAAAAAGGUCAUUCGCACGCGGAGAAUAAUGUGAUUAAAUUACAUUAUAUUUGUUUGGGCCCAAAAUAGCAGUUUGGGCCGAGGGAGGUAUCACUUUCGGCCCGGGAAGACUACGGCGAGAAAGUCAUGGGGGCUUCAGCUCAUGGGCUUCUAGGCCUAGGUCGGUUAAAUCAGAAUGCAAGUCGAGUCCUAAUACAAUAGGGACCCUCGACGAGAUCAGUAAAACUAGAAGGCGAAUCCGGCUCAGUUAAGGACUAGAUUCGUAGUCCUAGCAGAGGUAGGACUGAUUGAGGUAACGUUAAUCCGGAGAAGGAAACCUAGUUCGAAUAGGAUUAGAACUCGGGCUCGGUGUUCUGCUUCUAUAAAUACAAGACAUUCAGCAAUAGAAAAGCCCCCACAAAAAUCAAUACAAAAUUGCCCUGCGCAAACUCUCACAACUUGAGAUCUUUUUCUUUUCCUUUUUCGCUGACACAUCUUCCGUUGGCAUCAACAGCACUGUGGAAGCAACCGGUGAUAUCUUAAGUCGGCAUAGAUAGCUCUGUCACCGUAGAGUCGGUCGGUCUCGCAGUAUCUUCCGUUGGCAUCAACAGCACUGCGGCGAGAACGGUCGAUUGCCUAUCCAAGUCUCGGUCGAGAAGGGUUUUCGAAUCCUUGUUGGUCGAGGUCAUCUCAUUAGCCUUCUCGGCGAGGUGAGGUGUUACAGUUAUUACAUUCGGCACAUUGUAAGCCGAAUUCGGUUCGUGAACUUUGUAAGAAAUAGCAGCCUUGUCUUCAGGCUCGAGAACCCAAGAGGCCGAGACGCGUUCCUUUCUCGGCCGCAAUCGCAAGACGCAGAAGUCAGUAGCGCGACCCAACGCAGCAUCAUCAAAUUUACUCCUCGGCCGAGCCUCGGCCGACGAGUUGGCACGCCCCGCAAUCACCGAAGGACGUAGUUAGCUUAGAAUAUAUUCGGCCUGCGCGCCACGUAGGCUUGGUAGAUUUUAGGGUCAACAUUUUGGCACGCCCAGUGGGACCCAGUGCUAAAACUACGAAGUUCAUGCCAAUUGAAACGCGAUCGGUAAAAAAGAAAACAGCUAUGGGAAAAUCAACAGCCGAUUUACCGAUUCAGAACGUAGGACAAAGUGUGCCACAGGCGCAGAAUCCCCUUAGCGCCGGGACACCUGAGUCCACAAGUGCGACUCGCCGAGAAAGGGAAGUUAAUCUCGGCGGUCAACACCGCAGUCUAGAAAUCCCUAACAGGAACACUUGUGUUCUCAAUGAAGGGAUAGUGGAGGAUUGCGACGAGGAUGGCGGUGAAGGAUCUGACCCACCAAACAAGGUCGUUUCUUCGAAAGCGACUCGACGAGCAGUCUCGGUCAGUUGAGCAGACGUUUAGCCGAGGUAUUGACAAGCUACAUGACGUGAUACUCAAUUCCACUGAGCAGCAAACCAGACUGCUCGAAAUGCUGGUUAGUAAAUUCAGUGACGGCAGGCCUUUCGAUCCUCUCCAGCGCUUGCCACCAAGAAAUAAUCCGUUACCAAUGGUACAGGCCGAGCCAAUUCCUGCUCGGCCCAAAACCAAUUGACUUGGAAAAGGUCGGAGGGUCAAAUAGUAGGUCGGACGGAAUCGACCAGAGGGUCGAAGCAACACCUGUUGAUAUGACCGAGGUUCAGCGGAUGAUCGACUCGGCCAUGAAGAAAGGGCCGAAGUUUCCUAAGUUUAUCCAUCCGUACCCGGCCUACAUAGAAACGUUCGGAUAUCCGAAAGGUUUCAAGAUUCCGGAUUUUAGCCUUUUUGCCGGUGAAUCGUCCUUGUCUUCGUUGGAGCACGUGGCUCGUUUCACCGCGCAAUGCGGCGAUGUUCAUAGUGAUUUCCAUAAAUUACGGCUGUUCAACUUCUCGUUGACCGGCUCGGCAUUUGCUUGGUAUAUCAAUCUCCCUCCUAAUUCCAUCCAAAAUUGGGAGGAGUUGGUCGAGAAAUUCCACGAGCAGUUUUAUCGACCAGGGUUGGAGGUGUCGGUUUCUUCAUUAGCAAGGAUGGCUCAGGCAUCAGAUGAGUCCCCAAUGGAUUAUCUUACCAGGUUCAAAUCAGCCAGGAAUUGGUGCCGAGUACCCUUGCCCGAAGUCGAGUUCGUCCGGCUUGCUUUGAACGGCCUCGACGUCGAAUACAAAAAGAAAUUCUUGGGGGCAAAUGUUCGGGAUAUGUAUGAAUUAGCCCAACAUGUCGAACAGUAUGAUUAUUUGCUCCGCGAGGAAAAGAUUUCGAAAACUCCGUCUCGGGGGACGAUUUACAAGAAUCCUACCGUCAGUUAUGCGUCAACCGAGGAUGAAUGCGUUAGUGUGGAUGCGGCUGAGAUAGUAAUAGAUAAGCCAUACGUUUGCAAGGCCUUGACUCAAGUUGACUCCAGGGAAGUCAAAAGCCGCUCGGCCACUGAAGGAACAUUGAAAUCGUCAAAAGUAUAUACUUUUGAUAUUACAAAGGCUGACGCAAUUUUUGAUCAACUGUUGUCAGCAAGGAUCAUCAAACUUCGGCCUGGUCACAACAUUCCCAAGGCCGAAGAGCUUAAAGGAAAGGUGUAUUGCAAAUACCAUAAUUCAAGUAAACAUACGACAAACAAUUGUGUCGUAUUUCGAGACAACGUCCAGAGCUGGAUUGAUAAUGGAAAACUGAAAUUUCCAGAGAAGAAGAUGAGUAUUGAUGCUGAUCCUUUCCCCACAGCAACCGUGAAUAUGGUCGAUGCAUACCUACCUAAGGACAAAGGAAAAGGGAAGGCCGAAGUUGUUGCGACGCAAGACUUUCGUACUCAGAAUUCUCGGCCACGUUUCAUGGCCGAUUUUCGUUCGAACAAACCACCUACAGCUUUAACAGGACCUGCUAUUGUUAAACCUAUGAGGGAUUAUAGCACCGAUGAAGAUAGUGGGACGGCGGUUUUUUGCAGUAAAUGUAGAGCGAAGGUCGGCAGUGAGCCAGAGAAGAAAACCAUCUUCGCCUAUCACAGAACGACCUACGGCCGCAAUUCAGCAAAAAGCAGCCGGCGUCGGCCGACACCAAGGGGUUUUUGAUAGGCUCGGCCCAAAAGUGAAGAUGGAAGAGACAUCCUCAGUCAGGCGGCGCCUCGAUUUUUGGCGCUUCAUUUUAUGACGAGGACUAUUAUACGCGUAAUUCUGGUAGUUCGGAAUCGUCGCGGAGUCAAAAAACCUUCAAACCUCCCGAGCCUAAAGAUCAACGUUGGUACACGUAUCAUUCUUCGAAAGGCGUCUACACCGCGUUGUCCAAAUCCCAGAAACGCCGGCACCAGAGGAUAGAUUGCAUGGCCCGUCGGCAGGCAGCCCAAGAAACUUCGGCCCCUAAAUGGCGGCCGAAGGACACAGUUGCUACUGGUGAUGAACGACCAUCUCCAGCUAUUAUGACAGAGUUGGGUCAGGGGAAACGGUUGGUCGAUCGAGAUAUCGAGACCACGUUCGAAGAAGCCGAUAAACGGAUCAAACUUCUUCUUCGCCCAGGGGAGAUGAAGGCACGCCUCGAGCAUUUCAGGCAAGAGGCCGAGAGCAAAUUAGCCCAGCCAGCUAUACAAGAACCGUUGAUUAAAAUUCGACGGAAUUUGCAUCCACCAUUCCUUGGGGAGGCUUUAGAAUAUAUGCGCGAAUUCCAUAAGAAACAUUCGGCCAACGAUCUGUAUGGUUUGCCGAAAGCAUGCCAGGACACCAUUGAUCUAGUCCUGACUUGUCCGGACGCCGAGCGCGUCAUCCAGAAGACCUCUGACCCGGGAUUGAAGGCAAGGUUCCAGCACAUACGAGAAGCCCGUGUCCUUGGAUUUGAAGUCGACCCAUACACUGAUAUCGUUGCAGCCGACCUUCCUUUCUCAAUGGAGGAUCUUCAGUAUUUACGAUAUCACUUCGAAGUAUUUUCGGCGGUUUCUCUCUUCGGCCUCACGACCGAUGAAGUAGCACGUGUUGCACGUCUGGAUGCUUAUCUCGAUACCAGAGAUGCCCGGCUACACUACCAAGAGCAGGUGCAGGUCCUGACCCCAAGCACACUGUCGAUCUCAACCUCGCCUGCGGCGGUCACACAGAACCAACAAGCUGCCGAAGCAGCACCGCAGGUUCAAACCCUCGAAGAAGGGACAGAGGAGUCUUUUUGUCCAACUCUGACAAAAACAGAGCCCGCAGUCGUCGACCAAACGAGGGAUGAGGUUAGCAAGGAGGGUCCCAACCCGAUGGGCCCGUCAGUCUUGGAUAACAUGGAAAUUAGUAUGGUCCAUGUGUGUUACCUGCUGAUUUUCAAUCAAGCACGGCUCAACCGAAUUUCCUCGAUGGUGAUGUAGUCGCCGAGGAAACUGGCCAUGUGGAUUUUGUGUCUAUUGCUGAAGAUGAGUCAACAACGAAAGAUGACAGUCUGAAGGCCGCUUUGACCGAAUUAUUUCGUCGUUCGUCAUCGGCCGCACUCCACCAUUUAAAGCCAUUGUAUGUGACGGCCCACAUCGAGGGAUAUCCCGUUUCUAAAGUUUUUUGUCGACUGUGGCGCGACCGUCAAUAUCCUGCCUCUGAACAUCAUGAAGGCCUUGCGUCGCUCGAACGACGAAACUUAUUCCGUCAGGGAUCACAAUGAGUAGUUUCGUCGGCGACAAAUCGCAAACCAAGGGUGUACUUCCGUUAACUGUGACUAUUGCCGGUCGCACUCACAUGACCGCUUUUUUUGUAGUUGAUUCCAAAACCGAGUAUAAUGCACUGCUCGGUCGAGAUUGGAUUCAUCAAACCAGUUGUAUUCCUUCCUCAUUGUAUCAAGUGCUUGUUUUUUGGGACGGCAAAUCGGUCACUGUUCACCCAGCCGAUAACCAGCCCUUUGAAACUAACAUGAUCCAAGCACGGUAUUAUGAUGACCACGUCGGCUACAUUACUUUGCAAGGCUUCAAUGAUGAAGGCCGGCCGACUCGGAUUUCUGUACAGAAAGCUAUCGAGGUUGGCGCCGAGACUGUCCACCAGGAUUCGGCGAGACUCGGAUUAGCCAAUUUCCUCCCCGAGGCCGAUGUCUGACACCGAUCGAGAAGCACGUAGGGCCGCGGUUUCAUCUACUAUGGAACGACUGCUGGCCCAUUGGUAUACUAUAUCUAAACAGCCAAAUUCGGGCGUUAACCUCGUCGAGUUCCUGGCCGAAGGAGAUAAUGGUCCUGUUUUGUCUCUUGAUAAAAUUCAAGCCGCCCCGGCCGCGCUCGAAGACCAUCGGCCCCAAGUUAAGGAUCCCCUGGAAGAGAUUAAUGUUGGGACGGCCGAGGACCCACGGCCUUUGUUUAUUAGUGCUUUACUUCCCCAACAAAUGAAAGAUGAGCUUCGUGCCUUGCUUACGGAGUUCAAAGAUUGCUUUGCUUGGAGUUAUCAUGAAAUGCCCGGCUUAGAUCGUGCUUUGGUCGAGCAUGAAUUACGUAUUAAGCCCGGAUUCAAGCCUUUCCGUCAGCCACCUCGUCGAUUCUCGACCGAAGUACAACUCAGUGUUAAGGACGAAUUAGUUCGGCUUUUGAAAGCCGGGUUCAUUCGGACAGCUCGAUAUGUCGAAUGGUUGGCGAAUAUUGUUCCUGUAUUAAAGAAAAGUGGUGCACUGCGCAUCUGUACCGAUUUUCGCAAUCUGAAUCUGGCAACGCCCAAAGAUGAGUAUACAAUGCCGAUUUCAGAUCUGUUAAUCGAUGCCGCGGCGAAUCAUGCGAUCUUAUCUUUUCUGGAUGGACAUGCCGGAUAUAACCAAAUAUUUAUUGCCGAAGCCGAUGUGCACAAAACUGCUUUCCGGUGCCCGGGGGCACUCGGCACUUACGAAUGGGUUGUCAUGCCAUUCGGCCUCAAGAAUGCCGGCGCCACAUACCAACGGGCGAUGAACACCAUCUUCCAUGAUUUAAUUGGCACCAUCGUCGAAGUUUAUAUCGACGAUGUUGUCGUCAAAUCUAAACGCCGACAGACACAUCUGGACGAUCUCCGACAGGCUUUUCUCCGUAUGCGUCAGCACAACCUCAAGAUGAAUCCUGCCAAGUGUGCCUUCGGUGUAUCGGCCGGGAAUUUUCUUGGUUUCCUCGUACAUCAUCGGGGGAUUGAAGUCGAUGAGAACAAGGCACGCGCAAUCAUCACCGCCCCACCCCCAACAACGAAGAAACAAUUACAGUCCUUACUCGGCCAGAUCAAAUUUUUUACGCCGAUUUAUUGCUAAUUCGGCAGGUAAAAUGAAAGCCUUUUCCACACUUUUGAAGCUCAAGGACUCCGAUACGUUCAUGUGGAAUGAGGAGCACCAGGCGGCGUUCACACAGAUCAAGGUUUCCCUUACAAACCCACCUGUCCUGGUCCCUCCUCAGCGCGGUAAGCCUCUCAAGCUGUACAUUUCGGCGGCCGCCGAGUCCAUCGGUUGCCUUCUCGCGCAAGACAAUGAUGCCGGCCGGGAACAGGCUAUCUUCUACCUCAGCCGUAAUCUGAGUCCUCCGGAGAUCAAUUAUUCCGCCGUUGAGAAGCUCUGUCUCGCCGUGUUCUUCGCUGCAUCCAAGCUUAGGCAUUACAUGCUCCCGUCGGUCACCCAAGUCAUUGCCCAGACCGACGUUAUCCGGUACAUGCUUACCCGGCCAAUUGUGAAGGGCCGAAUUGGGAAAUGGACGAUGGCGUUGUCCGAGUUUAGUUUGCAAUACGUGCCGCAAAAAAGCUGUGAAGGGACAGGCGUUGGCCGAUUUCCUUGCCCAGCACCCUUCGCCUUAUGAUUUCGGGGGUGCUGAUGUUGAGAUUGGCAUGGUGGUGACCCGCGACAACUAUUGGACGAUGUAUUUCGAUGGUUCCAGUACUUCGUCCUCGGCCGGUGCAGGCAUCGUCAUUCAGUCUCCUCACAACGAUCGUUGGUAUUUUUCGCUCAAAUUGGAUUUUGACUGUACCAAUAAUCAGGCCGAGUACGAGGCUCUGGUCAUUGGUCUAGGCCUCCUUCUUGACCUACAUGCCACUCGUGUCCUCGUCCGCGGGGAUUCUGAACUAGUAAUUAACCAAAUUAAUGGGUCUUUUUCGCUGCAAUGAGUUGUACUCUGGCGCCUUACCACAUGAUCGCCAGCUAUUUGGCCGAGUCCUUUGACGGUAUUACAUUCGAGCAUAUUUUCUCGGGUCAUAAUACCGACGCAGACGAGUUGGCUCAAAUCGCCUCCGGUGCACAACUCCUGGGGGGCAAGCUAGGCCGGGAGAUACCAAUAUUGCAACAAUUAUACCCGGCCUUGGUUGAUCAGCAAAUCCUCCGUCGAGACAAUGUGAUACGCACCAGGGUCAUGUCCUUGCCUUCGUUGUUGGAUCGGCAGGACCAGGACUCUAUAGAAAUUUGCGCGGCCGAGGCAGUACCAGAUGAUUGGAGAAAGCCCAUUAUGCAGUACCUUGACAAUCCUAACGGAAAACACAGUCGCAGGACACGGGCUCACGCCACGAACUAUGUCACGUACCAGAGCGAGUUGUACCGAAAGGGCGAAGAUGGUUUGUUAUUGCUAUGCCUCGGCCCUCAAGAGAGUGCUCGAGCGAUCGCAGAGGUUCAUGAAGGGGUAUGCGGAGCUCACCAGUCUGGACGAAAAAUGCGAUGGCUACUCCGACGACACGGUUAUUUUUGGCCGAGAAUACUGAAAGAUUGUAUCGAGUUUGCACGAGGAUGCGUGCAGUGCCAAAUCCAUGGGCCUAUACAAAGGGUCCCGGCCGAAUCGCUACAUUCGGUCAUUAAGCCGUGGCCGUUUAGAGGAUGGGCCAUGGACGUAAUCGGCAAAAUCACGUCGAUUUCUGGAGCUGCUAGGCAUGCAUGGAUAAUAGUCGCAACUGAUUACUUUACUAAGUGGGUCGAAGCAAAAUCAUAUGCCGAAUUAACGUCUAAAGAAGUUUGCGAUUUCGUGGAGGAACACAUUGUGACCCGGUUCGGUGUGCCAGAAACGAUCAUAACCGACAAUGGAACAAUCUUCACAGCUGAAAGGUUUAAGGAAUACACGGCCAAUUUGAAAAUUCGGCUGGAACAGUCCACACCGUAUUAUCCACAGGCGAAUGGGCAGGCCGAGGCAAGUAAUAAAGUGUUGAUUGGCAUCCUCGAAAAAAUAAUAAAAGAGAGGCCUGGCAUGUGGCAUUUGAAGUUGAACGAGGCAUUAUGGGCAUACCGAACGUCGUCCCGAUCGGCGACUGCAACAACAACCCGUACGCAUUGACUUACGGACACGAUGCGGUGCUACCAGUCGAGUUUGAGCAUAAAUUCGUUGCGAUUAAUUGAACAAAAGUAGUUUUGUUUAGCGCCGAAUAUAAUCAGUCCAUGAGACAGGAACUAGAAGAUUUGGAAGAAGCGCGACUUGACGCUUAUAACUUACUGGUAGCACAGAAACAGAUUGCCGAGCGAGCCUAUAACCAAAAGGUACGACAGAAAACGUUCGGCGAGGGUGAAUUGGUGUGGCAAACGGUGUUGCCCGUAGGAAUAAAAGAUCCUAGGUUCGGCAAGUGGUCGCCGAAUUGGGAAGGGCCGUUCAUUGUGCAUAAGGUAUACGGUAAAGGGGCGUAUCAUCUCAAAGACCGGACUGGAGUAGUUCACAAAUUACCAAUUAAUGGGAAAUUCUUGAAGAAAUACUAUCCGGUCACAUGGGAAAUGCGUGAAUAAAAAGUUUGUUGUAGGAAAAGUCAUUCCAUUAAAAUUGACAGGUAUUACAAAAAUGAGUAGGUCUAAUAUAUUCAAGGAGACGAGGGAAGAAGAGUGCUGAGCAGAGCUUUCAAUUCCAACCACCGCACGUCGGCCAUGAUGACUUCGGCUUGCCGAUUCUUUUUGUCUAGCCUCAGGCGCUCGACCCGCUUUUUGGCCGCCGCAUACUCAGUUAGGCGAUCCUUCCCGCCUGACUCGAAGUCCCUCGCAAGUUCAGAAGCAAUGACCGACCGGCGUUUUGUUAGUUCGGCCAUCUGACGGUCGAGCUCGGCUAACGCUUCUCCUUUUGCCCGUAGAUCGUCAAUCUUCGGACGGAGGGUGUCUUGAACGGCCGUGGCGGCUUGCAGGUCCUGUUCGGCCUUCAGAGCAGUCUGGAAGAUGCCAAAUGUCUCCCGAACGCGCUCCAAAGCAGACGAUGCCCGAACAAUGGCAUCUCCGCUUAGGCGACCGUCGGCCCCAAGGUCGUUCAGACACACGCCGAGCAGAUCAAGACCGUUGCGCUCAAGUACUUGCGAUGAAGAGAGCGACAGGACUUCUCGCAACUGGGUUAGGGCGCUUGGAUCGGCAGCCUCAGUUGGAGCGACCGAAGGGCCGGACUCUGCAGUCGUACUGGAGAGGAGAGCUUUGAAUUCAACCUCCCAUGAAGCCUGCACGAAUAAACAAGGUUAAGCUUAAAGGAAGUCAUGACAAGAAUAGCAAGAAGGUGUCGUUUUUUAACCUGCUGAGAGGAGACCUCGGCCAUGUCCCCAGGGUCGUUGCUCGAACCUAAAGAACUCAAUGGCCGAGCCCAGUGUCUCAGAUUGCUUCUCACUUCACGAGGCCGAUGGAGGUUAUCUACGUUUGAUGGCCACUGAGGCGGCCAGGAAAUAUAGAUAACGCCCUUCGGCGCAUAGAAUUGACGGUGAAAAGAAUGUACAGGCACCUGACAUUUAGUUUUUCCUUGUUUAGAAUUCUAAAGCAGAAAAGCAAUCAGGAGGAAAAAUUGAAGGUACUUACAAAAGCCGAGGUAACCUCUUGUGGAGGGAUGUGGAAGCCUUGGUCUUGAGGAUGGAUCGGCGAUUCCGCCGUGGCCUCGGGUUCCUCGAGCAGGCGUUUGCCACGGUCGGCUGCCGAUGGGCCGAUUGGCGCAGCUGCUUCAGUGGAGGCAGGGACGCCCUGGUCUUGAGAAAGGAACGAGAGGUUCGGCCGCCGGGGUCGGUUCCUCGACCGUGUGUUUGCCACGAUUGGCCGAGGAGGGGCCGGGUUGAACCGCCAUCUCGGAUACUGGAAGAGUUCGUUGACGAGUAGGAGGACGACGCGCCAGCGGGACCCUCGUCGCUCCCCUCACUCUCUUCCAGCACGAAGACCGUGGGCUUUGGAUUCUUGGGAGAGUUUUCCUCGGUCGUAGGAACCGCCUGGUGUGAGACAGGUGCCUUCUCGACAGAGGGAGGUACGACUGAUUCGCCGGCCACAGAAGCAGGCCGCGCUGGGAUCGUCUCUAUGGCCGAAGCCGGUUGUUUCUUGACCCCAGAAUGGCCGGCGGCGGGAGAAGGGGAAGCACUGGGAGUCGUCGUGUGGCUGGAAAUAACGUGGAUCUCCCGUGCACCUUUCUUCGCCAGUUGCUUGACCCGCUUGGCAGGCGGGGAAGGCUUGAUAGCCGGCCCGACCUCUUGGCGAGGCCGUUUGGUCAGCCCGGCCCUACCAGCAGGUUUGUCUUUUUUGGCCACGACCGAUUUUUUCCCGGCCAUAGCAGCGGCAACUACCUCUGUCUUUCUCAAAGGCCGACUACCUAAAAGGAUAAAGACAAUUCAGUAAGGCGUACAACAGGCAAGGUUGAAGAAAAAGGGGGAAUUGAACAACUACCUUGAGAAUGGGGGGCCGGGGCUUUCUUAGGUCGGUUACCGAAGAGCCUGUUUAGUACAUCCUCGACCGGCGUACCGAAGAACUCUUGAGUGUAAUUUUCCCACCACUCACCGAAGGUGUUAGUGCAAUGGGUUUCUGGGGUGGCCGGUCGUAGGCGAAAUCUUUGGCAGUACUCUUGAAACUCCUCCGCGGCAGUCCUGCACUCGUUCUCUGAAGAGCGAGGCUCGCGUCCGCGGCUCAAUACUGUGCGGGAAGAGAGAAGGGGGACGGGACAGCCCUGAAGAUAGCCGAGCUGACGGGCAAGGAAGUUCGGAUGGUACACUUCCCACCCCGACCGUUUCCCGUCGCAGCCGAGAGGAAGGUCGCGAGCAAGCACGAACGACCCCCAGGUUCGGCGAAGAGCGGCGUCCUCCUCUGCCGCCCACGUAGAGGUAGGCAGUUUGAUGGAGGGGGGGUAAUCACGACGACGACAAAUCAGGAAUUCGUCGCUUGUGAGAUCGUCAAGGGCAAAGAGGUACCUAAACACCUCUUCGGCCUGAUGAGGAGGCGUUGGUCGGGAGGCUAGCUGAGGACCAAGAGCCUCUGUUGCUGAGAAAUCAGCUAUAGCCGGCCGAAGGGAGGCGAAGUACACCUGCAACCAGAGCUGGAAGACCCAGAGAGGGCCAUUCUGGUGGGGGUCCACCGUGUGGAGAGUCGCCUCGGCCAGGCAACGGAAGAGGUGGGCAAGAAUAUUAGAACUCAGCGCCAGGACGCGACCACUGGCCAGGGCUUCGGCCACUGGCAUAUUCUCGACCAAACAUUUGUUUGAUUUGGUACAACAAAUGUAUUUAUUGUACCAGUAGAAGAGGAAGGCUUCAUGCUCUCCUUCUCGCAGGUCCUCUUCCCCUCGACCGGCGAAGUGAAGGUAGAGGGUGUUGUAGUUGAGAAAGUUCUUGUGGAGCUUCUGUAUUUCAUCCCUCGACGGGAUGUGACCGUCACUAUUCAGGGUCUCGAAGGCUCGACGGUCGAAGAGCGUCUUCAGAUCGAUAUUCGACGGGUGCCCGGAGAGGGUCGCGUCGAUAGGGAUCCCGGUGGCCGAGGUCCCCAAAAUGGCGGUGAUGUCCAGGAUGGUGGGACCAAUGGGACCAAGGGGAAGGACCAUUGUGUUGGUGGCUGAGCACCAGAAGCAUAGAGCGGCUAGGAGCAGCUCCUUGUCAGGGACAAUGUCCAUCGACGAAAGGAGGAUGGCGUCGUAGAUGCCCAGGAUUUUCCAUUUUUUCGCCGAAGAGCCGUUCCAUUCGGACAACCCAGGUCGCCCAGGUGGUGGUCGUCGAGGGCCAGGAGCCUUGGGGCUUUGCCGCCUCCCAUCUCGACCAUUCGAACCCUUGGAGCAAGGGUGUAAGGCAGUGUUCCUGGAGAAGACCAGUGAUGGUCGGCGGGAUUGUUGCCUUGAAGAGAGGACCCAGGAUUUGGUGGACGGUGCUCAUGUCGUUCUCGAACCGUAUAUUCUUGAUCGAGCUCCGAUCAAGGAUCUUCUGAUGCUGGUCGCAUUCCCGGGAAAGCUUGGAGAUGAAGGAGGCCAUUGUAAAAGCACAGCGUAAGGAGGUUUUUUGGGUUGGGGAUUUGAGGACGAAAGCUUGGAAUGGAGGAAUGCACUUGAGAGCAAGAGUAGGGAAUUUCAGGAAGUUUGAGAACGUAAAGUACAAAUGAGGAAAUUUCGGUAUUUAUAGAGUAAUGGGAGGAAGAGCAAUCGUUCGAAAUUCAAAGCAAAGGGCAACAUCGACCGGAGGAAUCGUUGAUCAUGAUGAGCAUUUGGGGAAUGCGGUUGAGAAGACCGACGGUUUUUAGGUUUUGGGGGCGCACGAUCGCGUGUGACGGCGAAGUUAAUGACGAAAGACGGUUCGACGCCUGCACGAUGACAGGAGGGCUCACGGACUGAUGAAAUGGCUCGCGGAUUGAGAUAGUGGUCAUAAUGACGAGACGGUUCGGGCAGGCGCACGCUUCAGACGUCAUUAUCGGGGGGAUUGGCCAUGUUAGGGGAUGCCACGUGGCGAGUGGUUUAGCAGGAUCAAGAUCGUGCGAUCAUGUUCAAUAAAUGCGCCUUGGAACUCGGGUAUUGGGAUCCUGAGUGGUAGAUUCGCUUCUUCAAGGCCGAAACUCGGCCGAAGGUUUCAGGCCGAGGACCUCAAAAGCGAGGGGGCAAUGUUUGGGCCCAAAAUAGCAGUUUGGGCCGAGGGAGGUAUCACUUUCGGCCCGGGAAGACUACGGCGAGAAAGUCAUGGGGGCUUCAGCUCAUGGGCUUCUAGGCCUAGGUCGGUUAAAUCAGAAUGCAAGUCGAGUCCUAAUACAAUAGGGACCCUCGACGAGAUCAGUAAAACUAGAAGGCGAAUCCGGCUCAGUUAAGGACUAGAUUCGUAGUCCUAGCAGAGGUAGGACUGAUUGAGGUAACGUUAAUCCGGAGAAGGAAACCUAGUUCGAAUAGGAUUAGAACUCGGGCUCGGUGUUCUGCUUCUAUAAAUACAAGACAUUCAGCAAUAGAAAAGCCCCCACAAAAAUCAAUACAAAAUUGCCCUGCGCAAACUCUCACAACUUGAGAUCUUUUUCUUUUCCUUUUUCGCUGACACAUCUUCCGUUGGCAUCAACAGCACUGUGGAAGCAACCGGUGAUAUCUUAAGUCGGCAUAGAUAGCUCUGUCACCGUAGAGUCGUCGGUCGGUCUCGCAGUAUCUUCCGUUGGCAUCAACAGCACUGCGGCGAGAACGGUCGAUUGCCUAUCCAAGUCUCGGUCGAGAAGGGUUUUCGAAUCCUUGUUGGUCGAGGUCAUCUCAUUAGCCUUCUCGGCGAGGUGAGGUGUUACAGUUAUUACAUUCGGCACAUUGUAAGCCGAAUUCGGUUCGUGAACUUUGUAAGAAAUAGCAGCCUUGUCUUCAGGCUCGAGAACCCAAGAGGCCGAGACGCGUUCCUUUCUCGGCCGCAAUCGCAAGACGCAGAAGUCAGUAGCGCGACCCAACGCAGCAUCAUCAAAUUUACUCCUCGGCCGAGCCUCGGCCGACGAGUUGGCACGCCCCGCAAUCACCGAAGGACGUAGUUAGCUUAGAAUAUAUUCGGCCUGCGCGCCACGUAGGCUUGGUAGAUUUUAGGGUCAACAAUAUUAGUUGUCAAAUGAUUGUUUUUUUUUUUUUUUAACAAAGGAUAUUAUCUACACUAAGGGUAAGGGGGAAGGGGUGAGCUUAGCCUCACAAUGGGCUAGUAAUAAUGUGAUUCAAUCAGUUGUUUAUUAAAUAUUAUUUUCUCCAUUCUUAAUGUAAAUUCUAUAGAGGUCGAUUUUAUUAUGUGAAUUCAGUUGCUUUAAUUGGUUUAUGAUGAGUUUCUUCCAGCAUGAUCUAAGAUUAUUCAUUUACUUCAAAUAUUUGACUUUCGUUUUGUCAAUUUACGCAUAUAAAUACAUUUAAAACGUGUAAGUCACGCGUAGCACACCGUGAUUCAAAAAAUGCCUUCUGCACACGCGUGAGCGCGUGCAUGAAGGCUAGUUAUAUAUAAAGCCAGAAGGGAAAUGAAUAGUGCAUAUCACGGCUACAACAAAAAAUUUUGGACACAAAUGGCCUCAAAACAAAAAAAUUCAAAAGCAUCUCAAAAUAAUGCAUCAAAUAAGGUAGGGGUAUUUUCAUCAUUUUAACAAUAUUUUUUUAAUAAUUAAUUUUUUUGUGUUGUUUUUAAUUAGUACCUUAUAGUAGACUAGCAAUAAUGUGAUUUAAUUUCUCUAUUUUUUAACACGUUCAAAACAUCUUAAGAUGCGUGUAAUGCCGGUUAUAAAAAAAGUCAUUUGCACACGGAUAAUAAUGUGAUUAAAUUAGUUGUCAAAUGAUUUUUUUUUUUUAGGAAACGAUAUUAUUUACACUAAGGGGAAUGGAGGUGGGUUUAGCCUCACAAUGGGCUAGCAAUAAUGUGAUUCAAUCAGUUGUUUAUUAAAUAUUAUUUUUUCUAUUUUAAACACGUUCAAAACAUCUUAAGAUACGUGUAAUGCCGAUUAUAAAAAAAUGUCAUUCACACGCGGAUAAUAAUGUGAUUAAAUUACAUUAAAUUAGUUGUCAAAUGAUUACUUUUUUUUAACAAACGAUAUUAUCUACACCAAGGGAGAGGGUGUGGGCUUAGCCUCACAAUGGGUUAGCAAUAAUGUGAUUCAAUAAAUUGUUUAUUAAAUAUUAUUUUCUCUACUCUUAAUGUAAAUUCUAUAGAGACUGGUUUUAUUAUGUGAAUUUAGUUACUUUAAUUGGUUUAUGAGGAGUUUCUUCUAGCAUGAUCUAAUAUGAUUCAUUUACUUCAAAUAUUUGACUCAUUUGAAUAUCUUGCAAAUCAAUAAUUAACAAUUGUGCAUUUAAAAAGUUUGAAGACCCCAAAGUGAAUUCGAUUUUUGUUUCUCCAGCUUAUUGUUAAAAAUUAGGAUAAAAAUAAAAGAUAAAAAAACUUUAGGAGCACUCAACUAAAUUUAUCUGUGAAUAUUUUCUGAUCUGUCAAGAUCAAUUUGUCACCAUAGUUAAAGAGACCAAGCAAAUGUAAUCUAGACUGUGAAGUAGAAGAAGAUACAGUUUUUUCGCGGAAUGCUUAUGAAGUAGAAUGUCCUUGUUCAUAAGCGUUCUAAGGGGAAAAAGAUAAGAUGUUAUGGUGGUAUCUUUUAUUUUAUGUUUAUUUUAUUUUUAAUAUUUUAUUUUUCUUUAUAAUUAUAAAUAUUUUUUUUUUUUAAAUAAUUUGUUAUAACGGUAAAAUUGUUAGUUUAUUAGCAGAAUCUUGACUGAAGGUAUAUGAAAAAGAAUUAAGAUUUGAAAAGGCGUUAGUGAUUUUAUGAAAACUCAAUAAUCUUAAGAGGGUAAGAGUAUAACUAAUCGUAGUGAAACACCCUAGUCUCCUUUCUAGUCAAGCUCCUCCACAAAACCGUGUCUUCCUAUAACCCUAUCAACACGUACGCAAUGGAGCUCCACCGGGAGCUAGUUUUUGAAGAAAACCCUGGACGUUUUCAGUUGAAACCCACGAUGGCCACACGAUUAGAUAACUGGACGGCUUUGAUUGAAGUUCAGGAAAAGAUUCGUAGGAAAAUGAGUUGGCUAGAAACCGCGUCCAACAAUAGGACAUGUCCUCUGCCUCAUAGCAAGUCCACUCCGAAGGACUUUGUGCCAGCACCCAGCGCAUUUAUCCACUCAAGUGAACAGUAAUAGACUCCAGUGAACAGUAAUAGGCCAAAGCAUCUCCACCCCUAACAAAAAAUAGCCUAGUCCAUUUUAUUAAAUAUUAUUUUUUUAUUAUAAAAUAAUAAUUUUAUUUUUAAUAUCUAAAUUUAUUAAAAAGUUUAUGUAUUUUUUAAAAGUGAAAUUCUUAAUAAUAAUAAUAUCCACUUAAAUGAAUAGUAAUAAACCUCAGUGAACAGUAAUAGGUCAAAGCAUCUCUACGCCUAAAAAUAUGCUGGUACCCAACCCAUCUAAUAUUAUAUUAUUUUAUUCAUAACAAUUAAUAUUUUAUCAUUUAAUUUAUUUUUUCUUCUUUCUUCCUUUCACUCUCCGGUCUUUUCUUUCUCUCUCUCUCUCGAUGUAUUUUUUCUCCUUCUCUUUUCUGGCUCACUCCCGUGAGAAUUUCCAUAGCAUAUUCCUCUUCAGGCCGGGGAAUCUGUGCGGAGUAUUUGAACCGGAAACCUCCGUCACGGAGCUCUCGGAUUUUGGAUUCUCGUAUCCGGUCUUUGUGGUCCCCAUUUAUGUGCUGGAUAUGCAGGUGGAACAAUCCGAGGAUGACGACAUGGCGUCGCCGUCGCAAUCUCCGGAAAAAAUUUCAGGCGCGCAGGAGAAGCAAAGAGAGUGAUGAUCAAGGGUUUCGGCAACGGAUUUGCAAUUAGAGCAGAGAGGGUGGCGGACAUGGCGGGCGACGAGGAAGUUGGCCUGGUGGAUGCAGGCAUCGCAGCGGGAGCAGAGGAAGGCGGAGUUGGAAGGGCAGUAGAAAGAGGCUUCCUGGUCGCAGAGUUCACAAGCCCUGAAAAGUGUCUUCAUUUCUUGAUUUCCGGCGGAGAGUAGAAGAGAAAUGGAAAUUCAGAGAUGAUUUGGGAAUUCGGGGAAGUGGUGCGGUGAAAAGAAUCAGACACGCUAAAGGCACAUUUAGUAGGGUUCAUUUUGAGGUUAUGUUGGCGCAUGCGAAGAAAAGUUUGCCGAAGAUCCUGUAAAUGUGUUUGGUGGCGUUUGGACUUGACUACGAUAUCGUCGAUGUAGACUUCAACAAUUUUGCCAAUCAGGUCGUGGAAAAUCGUAUUCAUGGUACAUUGAUAUGUGGCACCUGCGCUCUUAAGUCUGAAAGGCAUGACAACCCAUUCGAAAGUUCCUAGUGCUCCAGGCCAUCGAAAAGCAGUUUUAUGGAUGUCAUCCUCAGCAAUAAAAAUUUGAUUGGAACUCACGUGGUCGUCCAUUAAAGAUAAAAUUUCAUGGUUUGCAACAGCGUUGAUUAAUAAAUUUAAAAUCGAUAUUGGGUAUUCAUUUUAGGUUCAAAUUACGAAAAUGGAUGCAGAUGAACAAGACACCACUUAUUUUCAAGACUGGAACAAUAUUCACCAACCACAAGCCGUCCGAAUAAAGCCAGCUUUUAAAAGUCGAACAAGUUCGUCUUUUAUGCCGAGCUGAACUUCGGUCGAGAAUCAUCGUGGAGGUUGGUGGAAAGGUUUACAAUCAGGUUUGAUACACAGCUCAUGUUCAACAAAUAUACGAUCAAGGUCAGGCAUCUCAUUGUAGCUCCAAGCAAAACAAUCUUUAAGUUCCUUAAGCAAUUUACAAAGUUUGUCUUUCAUAGGCUGAGGCAACAAAGCAUUAAUAAAUAAACGCCGAGGUUCAUCAGCCGUCCCAACAUUUAUUUCUUCUAAAGGAUCUUUGACUUCAGGCUGAUUAUCUUCAAGCUUGGCUUAUGCAUCUUUAAUUUUGUUGAAGGACAGCUUGGGGCCGUUAUCCCAUUCGGCGAGGAACUCCACUAAGUUCAUGCCAAAAUUCGGUUUCUUGGAAAUGGUAUACUAGUGGGCUAGCAGUCGUUCCAUUAUAGAUGAAACUGCGGCCUUUCGUUCAUCCCGUCGUGUUGCUUCAGUCAUCAGGACAAUCGGCUAAGUUAACCAACUCGAGUCUCCCCGAAUCCUGUUGGAUGGUCUCGGCACCAACCUCGAUGGGCUUUCUGGACAAAGAUUCUGGUCGGUCUGCCUUUUUCGUUAAAGCCUUGUAAAGUGAUAUAGGCGACAUGAUCAUCAUAAUAACGAGCUUAAAUCAUGUUAGCCUCGAACAGCUGAUUAUCAGCUGGAUGAACUAUUAUCGAUUUUCCGUCUAAAAAAAUAAAGACCUGGUAUAAUGAAGAAUGGAUACACCCAGUGUUGUGGAUCCAAUCACGACUGAGCAACGCAUUGUACUCAGUCUUGGAUUCAAUUAUAAAAAAUGCGGUCAUGUGGUUUCGACCUGCAAUAUUGACUUCCAAUGGGAGUACUCAUUAGUCUGAGAUUUGUCGCCGACAAAACUGCUCAUAGUUACACUAGAUGGAAUGAGGUCGUCUUUGGAAUAGUGCAAAGCUUUCAUGAUGGAAAUGGGCAUGAUAUUGACCGUUGCUCCACAAUUAACGAAAACUUUAGAUAUUGGAUAUCCCUUUAUAUGGGCCGUCACAUACAAUGGCUUUAGGUGGUGAAGGUUGACGACCAAGGAACUGGGAAAUAGCUUAGCUAAGGCUACUCUGAGCUUGUCCUAUUUUCCAAUCGGUUCGGCCUCUUCAGCAGUCAUGAACUCAACUAGCGUUGUUUUUUUAGUAACCACAUCACUAUCCAAAAAGCUUGGUUGUGACGUGGAUGGCUGGAAUUCUGUAGAUAAGACAUGGACCAUGCUAAUUUCCAUGUUGUCGAGGACUGAGGGGCCUAUUUGGUCGUGAUCCUCGUCUUCUGGAUUUUCUGGCAAAGCAUAUUGAUCAUUGGUUACCCUAACGAUGUCAUCUUCUACCAAAGGCAAAAGGUGCGCACGGUGUGGCCGUUUUAUCUUUGCCUUUGGCAACUGGUGACAUUGUCACUAGAACUUGAUCAUGUGUUUGCAAAGCCUUGUGAACCCGCUCCUGAUACGUGACACAAGCAUCUUAUGUAUCCAAGUAAAUGUCCAACCUUUAAACUCAUGACCGAAAAAGGAUACUGCUAAAAUAACCUUAAAAUGAUGCUGCAAAUAUUGUAGAUCAUCUAAAGAGAAUGAGAGGUCUGUAGGAUCUAGAUCAGCGUAUAGGUCGAUAUCGAAGCCAAAAACACUGGCUUCGCGAAUGUGUUGGAAUUUGGCAUUCAUUCCCAAAUAUUCGACCAUUUAUGGAUAAUUAAUUCGACGUCGGGUCGAUCAAAGCUAAGUCGAGAGACUCAUGACAUGCCUUUGGGAGGCUAUACAGGUCUUUUUCCGAAUUCUUCUUAUGAAAUUCCCGCAUGUAUUCUAGAGCCUCGCCGAAAAAUGGCGGAUUGCGAUUCCGUCUGAAAUGCUUGAUGCGAGCUUUCCUUUCUCCAAGCCAAAGAAAAAGUUGAUGCAUUUCUUGGAUUCUUCUAACUCGGUUUCAAAAUCGCGAUUAAUGACCUUUUUCCCUUGAAGCAACCUAGUCAUGAUUGUCGGAGGUUGCCGAUUAUCCUCUUUUCUUGCUAUCUCUACCAUUUCGUGACUAAAACUUCAUGAGCUGCUUGACGACAGGUCAUGCAGUCCAUACUUUGUUAGCGAUGCUUUUGAGAUUUAGACAGAAUGGUAUAUGCGCCGGCAAGAAGAUUAUAACUAUGCCACCAAUGGCCGUGUGGCUCAGGUGGUUUGAAAGUUCGUUGGGUCGUGGAUGAACUUGAACUUCUAGAGUUAUGGACAUAAUAAUCUUUAUCAUAAAAUGGCCAGUCAAAAUCAAGGCGCCGUCUAAUUGAAGGCGAUUAGUAAUUUAGCUGUUGAGGGCUAAGUUUAUAAAAAAACCUUUGGUUAGUGUUGUCCUGAGCGGAGCGCUGGUUGAGAUUUCAUCGGAAUCUUAGAUGCAGGUUCAGCCAAAGGUUUCUGUGGUUUUGACUCGGCUAUGAUGACUUUUGAUUGCACCUACUACACAAGACUAUUGGGUUAUUAGACUCAUCGAAAACGGAGUCAGACACCGUCUCGGCAUAUACUGGAUUAGAGAAGAAGCUCGGAGGUCGUUUUGGGUUGAAAAAUCGAUUUUCAGGUGCGGCUGAGGAUUUUGUUUUGGGACGUGUUAGGCUAAGAUGUACUCCACUUUUCAUCUUUUUUCUUAUCCUUCAACAAAUGGGCAUCUACCAUGCCUAUUGUUGUUGAAGGGAAAUGAUCAACAUCGACCAUCAUCUGUGUCUUUUCUAGGAACUUUAGUUUUCCAUUAUUGAUCUAGUUUUGAAUAGCAUCACGGAACACGACGCAGUUGUUCGUCGUGUAUUUGUUUGAGUUGUGAUAUUUGCAAUAUGUUUUCCCUUUUAAAUCUUUGGCCUUAAGAAUGUCAUUCCUUAGCCGAAGCUUAAUGAUCUUUGCAAAUAGUAGCUGGUCAAAGAUAAAUCAGCCUUAGUGAUGUCAAAUACCUUUGAUGUUUUGACGACUGCUUCAACAGAGGCCGAAUGCAUUUUGACAUCUUUGGAACUAGUAUGAGCCAAUGCCUUGUAUACAUAAGGUUUGUCAAUCACUAUCUUGGCUGGGUCUAUGCUAAGAUAUUAGGACUCGUCACCCCCGACUGAUGCAUAUCUUAUCGUUGGGUUCUUAUAGAUUGUCCCACGAGUUAAAGUUUUUAAGAUAUUUUCUUCUUAGAGCAAAUAAUCGUAUUGCUCGACAUGUUGAGUUAACUCAUAUAUAUCUCGAAAGUUUGCCCCCAAGAAUUUCUUCUUGUACUCUAUAUCUAGGACAUUCUGGGCAAACCUAACAAAUUCCACCUUAGAAAGGGGUAUUCAGCAUCAAUUCCUUGCUAAUUUGAACCUGAUAAGGAAUUCCAUCGGUGACUCAUCAGAUGACUGGGCCAUCCCUAAAGAGGAAAUUAACACUUCCAUCCCUGGUCGAUAAAAUUGUUCGUGGAAUUUUCAACCAGCUCCUCCUAGUUUUGUAUAGAGUUCGGUGGAAGGUUAUUGUACCAUGCAAACGAUGCGCCCAUCAACAAGAAAUCAACUAGUCAUAGUUUAUGAAAAUCAUUGUUGACAUCUCAACAUUGGGCAGAGAAUCUGGCCACAUGUUCUAAUGAGGACAACGACGAUUCCCCAACGAAGAGACUGGAACUGGGAUUUUUAAUCCUGGAGGAUAUUCAAACCUUUCUACAAAGGCAGGAUAUGCAUGAAUAAAUUUUGGGAAUUUCAACCUCUUUUUCAAGGCCAAAUCAAUCAUCUUCUGGACUUCAACUGUAUCGACUGGUGUUGCUUCUGUCAUUCGGCUGAAUUCGACUGAACUGGUGCUUGGUUCACCAUAUGUUUUCUCGAGAUUGAUUAUCUUACUCCUCCUAAAGGGACAUUCUUGAUAAAACGUUGCCAAGAUUGAUUAACUGGCUUGUUCUCAUGAGCUUUGUUUACUAGAAUUUCAAGCAACUUAUUAUUCGAAGCACUAUUAUCAUGUACUUCUUCAAGUACGCUUUUCAUCUCUUGGCCAAACAGUUGCUCAAACUGCCGAGAUUGUUCUUCUUCCAAUUGUCGUCGGAGGAAAGAUUUAGAUGGUGGACCAGAGAUCUCAUUGUUGUCGUCACAAUCCUCUACCAGGCCUUCAAUAAAAUAAUCUUUUGCCAUCUUGGUAGUCUGGGUGAAGACUACAACAUCAUAACUCCAACCACUAAGAUUAAUUUCCUUUUCUCAACGUGCCGUACAUGUGGCUUCAGGUGUCACGACAACAUGAGGAUCCUAUGCCUGCGACACGUUACUUUGUACUGGACUCUGAACUAUAAGUGCUAAAUUGGUAGUCGACUUGCCCAUAGUUGUUUUCUUUUUUACUGAUCGUGUUUCAAUGGUCAUGAACUCCAAAGCUUUAGCACUGGGUCCCACCGGGUGUGCCAAAAUGUUGACCCUAAAAACUACUUAGUCUAAGUGGCGCAUAGGCCGAGUAAUUAAUAAGCUAACUACAUCAUUCGGUCGAAUGUGGGGCAUGCCAACUCGUUGACUAAACUCGACUGGGGAGUAAAAUGAAUGUUGAUGUGCGUUGGGCGUGCUGCUGACUUCUGCAUCUUGCGACUGCGAUCGAGGAAGGAACUCGUCUUGGCCUUUGGGUUCUAGAGCCUGAAGACAAGGCUGCUAGUUUCUUCGAAGUUCACGAAUCGUCGGCACUGAGUUCGGCCUUAGUAAUUAUAUUUGUGAGAAUAUAAGUAGCCUAAUUGGUAUCAGACUGUAUGGACACAAAUACUCAAAAGAGAUAAGUGUCUUGAUUGUAAAUUUGGUUCGGCCGUCAGAAUGCCAAACUCUAAAAUGUAAUUGUGAAUAUCCAAUCAUAAAAUAAACUUGGCUUUCAAUGUGCCAAGCCUAGUAACACAUCACUUCGCCGAGAAGGCUGAUGAGAUGACCUCUUCCAACAAGGACUUGGAAAUCCUUGUUGACCAAGACUUGGAUAGAUAACUAGUUGGUCUCCAAGCAGUGCUGUUUAUCUAAACUGAAGGUGCUCAUCAGUCAGCUAAUUCUACGGCUCCAGUGUUGUAUACUCAAACUGAAGAUGUUGCUGGUUGCCUUCACAGUACUGUUUAUCUAAACUGAAGAUGUGUUGGCAGGAAAAAAGAAAAUAAAAAUCUCAAGGUGUUUGAAAGGUUUGCGCAAGGCAGUUGUGUGUUGAAUUGGAACAGCUUAAAUGAUGCAUCUCCCUCUCUAUUUAUAGUAGCGAUUUCCCAAAUAAUCAAACUAGAAUUUCACUCAGACUGAAAUACCUCAUCCCAAUCUGAUUCGGUCUCGACCAAUCCUAACCUCUAUAGGACUCUGAACCAAGCUAUUUAAUCAUUCACAUUCAUCCCUUGAAGUUCGGCACCUUAUCGGGCUCAUAAGUUUUUUUUUUUUUUUUUUUUUUUUUUUUAACUCUAGAGAGUCCCUCUUGUAUUAGGAUUCAACCAUUUCAUCUUUAUCCAGGCGGAAAUCACACUUUGAUAGGAUAUGGUCGAACUCUAUUGGGCUUCACUCAUGGAAGAAUAUUCUUGAUACUCCUUAUUGGAUCGAGAACCUUGGGCUUGGGCCAAAAUAUCAUUUUGGGCCCAAACAAAACUACAAAAGCAAUUUGCAAGUAAUUAUAUGUAAGAGAGCGGAUGAAUACCCGAAACUUUUGCAUAAAAACUACAAAGGCAAUUUACAUACAUUUAUUUACUAAACAUGCAUUUGACUUUAGUCUCUUACAUUGCAAACAUACAUUUAUUUACAGAUUAUGGGAUAUAAGAAUCGGCAAAAUAGUUUAAAAACUUGAGAACAAAUGAAAGUGUGCCAAAAUACCAUAUACUUUCUUCUGACGCUCUGCAAAUGUAUUUUUGCUUUGCAAUUUUUGUACGUGAGUCAGCCCACCUCCCACCAUUUUUCACUAAAAUUGUCAAACUAGACAUUUUCUUGAAAUAUAAGCAAAACAACAAGAAAAAAAAAAGACAUACAAACACGGCUAAGAUUGAUAUAUAUGUAAAAAUAAAGAGGGUGUUGUAAAAAUUGGAUUGAAUCAUGAGAACAAGGCUGGGCCUCAAUAUAUAUACAAGACAUCAUGCAUUUGAGCAAUGGAAGAAGGACCUUGUUGAUCAAGGUGCUGUUCUGGAAAUUUACUUAUGACUAUUUUACGCAUUGAAAAAACUUAAUUUGAUAUUUCCCAGAUUAUUAGUACAAUAAUUACCAAUUUCCAAACCAAGAUAACAAGAAUAAAAGCACAAAGAAAGAAAAAUUUCUAUUCCAUAAACCCUAUUUUUUUUAAUAUGCACUAGAAGAACUAUUAGCUUUGCCUCUAACUAAUUGGCAAAUGCUAUUAGAUUUGUCAAUCUUCCAUUGACACAAGAACCUAAUUUUUCUAAUAUGCGCUAAAGACUUUCUAUUCCGUAAACUUAAAAAAAUUCUUUUGCACUUUCUAAGAAUAGCAGAUCCCUCGAUUCACUAUCAUAGUCAAUAGUAACCUUUAAGACAGAACCCAAACUCAUAAAACACCCUUAAUAAUGCAAACGUGUGGAAAACUAAAUAUGAAGCACAUAUAAUCCAAAGAAAAAUUGAGAUAAAUUACGUUACAAAGAUUGACAGUUCGUUCUUCAAUAAAUAUUCAACCGAAGCAAGAAACUACAAAAGCAAAGAAAAAAACGUAGAUGAGGAAAAAAAAAAAUUAACCAUCUACACUAGUAGCCGAUGCCUUCGGUAUGUCUCCACAAUUUCUUAGGUUUUGACGUCAAAAAUUUUCAUCUAAUAGGGUUUUGGCUUUUUAAUUUAUUUGGUUUUAAAGUUUGAGGGCAUUUGUGUCUAUUUAAGUGAUAUUUUAGAUAUAUUUAAAAGUUUCUAUAAAAACUACUAUUUUUGAAAUUAAGGCCAAUGUUUGGCUACAUUUGAUAAAUACUCAUAUCUAUCCCCCAUUUAGAGGGAGAGUGUUGGAGUGAGUCAACUUUCCUAUUUAUUAUAAAUUUGUAAUUGAUAGAAUUUCCUCCUUAAAUAGGGAUUCCAUGUACCUAGACAUCCUUGCACUUGUAUAUCCUUAGAGAAAAAUACAACAUAACAAUUCAAACAAUAAAACUCUCAUGUAUUGCAGUCCUAUUAGAUUAGGAAUGUGAUUGUGUAAAUCCUAGUAGAUAUGGGAAUGUAUCUUAUAUUCCUAUUAGGAGUUAAUUACCUAUUAAAUGUUGUAAUCCUAAAGGAAAAUGUUUUUACCUAUCCUACUACUAUAAAUAAAGGCACAAUGGGAUGGAAUAGAGCACACCUCACAAUUAAUCAUCUCUCUCUUCUCUCUACUAUUGCCGCUGAUGCGUAAAAUAAGUUAACACACAAAAUUAAACCCUCUUUUUGACAAUUGUAGUAUAGAUGUAAGUAGGGUAUCGUUCUAGGCCGGGGAUUAGGAGGGAUUGCUAAUCUAUUCUAAAUUAACUUAAAAAUAUUAAACAAGACUCAAGGACACAAAAUUAGGCUAAAAACUCUAAUAACUCGAAACACACUUAAAAUGACUCAAAAUAAUGAAAACAAUUAAAUUAAACACUAGGAACUGAAAUGGACGGAAAUUAAAUUAAAAGACUAACAAUAAAGAAAACUAAAUAAAUAAUAUAAUUUAAUAAUGGAUGGGUGUUUGGUUUUGAUGAAAAGUAAAUUAAACUUAAUUAAAUUACAGAAUUGACAAAAACAUGAAAUUAAAGUAAAAUGAUAAAUGACAGACUAGCUAGAGGGUUCUUCUCCACACAUGUUAUACUUGCAUACAAAAUGAUUUCCAGUUGUUCAUUUAAUAAAUUGUAAAUUUCAAUACUCCAGAUUAACCGUGAACAGCACGUUUUUAAUCUUCAAGUUUUCCUUAAGUUAUUGAAUUGGACGGGAAAACGCAUACAACAAUUCAAAACAUUCUUCAAAAGUCCCCUACGUGUGAAAAGCACAAUAGAGAUACAAUCAAAGAUCAUUAAACUUUGUGAAAACUAUAAGCAUUGACGAGGCAUUCGUAACUAUGAAAAGCAUGAUACUCUUGCCAAGAAUUUACUUAACGUGAUUGUGACUAGCAACCUUUACUACUUGUGAAAAUAAGUUCAUAACGAUUAGGUGAAAUUCACUUAUAUUCUAGCAUCAAAUUCAUGCAUGUAAAUUAAGCGUGCACUCUCAACCAACAUACACAAAUCAGUUUUUAUACGAACGGAUAAGUAAAUUGAAAUCACAACUUAUGAAAUCACAACCGAAGGUAAUCAAUUCAUAUUACAAAUAUAUUCAUGGCUUUGAAUUAACCUCUAGCCAAAAUAAAUUUAGCUACACAUUAUUCUAAAAAUAAACCAACAGUAAAAUAUAAGUAUGGAGAGGAUUAACCGAGAGAGAAUAAUUUGCUGCGUUCUUGCCCUGCAUCCAGCUCACACACGCUGCCAAGCAGCAUCCUCAUCUUUCUGCGCACCUCUGACACAUGCUGCCCAAGGCAGCGCCCAUCCCUUGCGUCAGUCCUCUAGUCUCACGGUUUUGCUCCAGCUGCAAGGGCAGCGUGCUGACUUUGGUUCCUGAUUUUCCCGUGCUCACCUCAAGACCGCCCUUUCCGUCCUUUCUCCCGCUCCACGUGCUCAGUGCUUUCCCUUCUUUGCGCCUGUCCUUUCACUGCUCCAAACUGCCAAAGGCAGCAACCCGUGGUCCUGCACGUACUGACUUCUCUUCCCCCCAGCUGCCAAAUGGCAGCUCUCUCCCCGUGCUCUCUUUGGCUCUCCCCCGCAGCUUCUUGCUGCUCUCUUUGACCUCGCUGCCAAAGGCAGCUGUCUGCCUCUCCCCACCCCCUUCUCUAUUCUUUGCGCCACCUGGACUCUUAUUCUAUUCUUUUUCCUGUCUUGCUUCACACUCCCCGCAUCUACUCCUCUUUUGCCUUGGAUUCUUUCCUUUCUUUGUCCAACUCUUUCUUUCCACCGUUUUUCUUUCUUUUUUUUCUACAAAACAAAACCAUCAUGAUGAUGUUUCAAACAUCAUCACGACUUUAUCAUUAUUAAAUAUAAUUUUUAAUUUAAUUUUAAAAGCUGAUCUACACAGACAGUUUUGACGAAUUUAUUACAUAAAAUUUCAUUUGUUCUAUUUUUAUUUUCUUUGCAUAACAAAUCCUAUAAACACAAAAAUAACGUAAAUAGCUCAAAAAUAUAAGGAACUAACUAAGAAAAGACGAGUGAAUUUGAAGUAAAAAUAUAUAUAAAUAUGAUCCGAUCAAAUACCCCCACACUUAACUUUUGCUAGUCCUCGAGCAAAACAAAGAAAACUAGAACAAGAAGUAACAAGAAAAACAUUAGCUUCCCUCUAUGUGACCCUCAUAGAAUUUCAUUCGAGAAAACAAAUCAUCAAGAACCAUAGCUAGCAUCAAGGAAAUAAUCCAAGUUCAUCUUCCUUAUUCAAAUAUUAGCAGUAAUCUUUAAAUCAUCCUUGAAGUGUAGUGUGUGAGAUAGCCAUGCUAAUGCAAUUUCAAGUUUUUAUUUUUAAAAUCAUCAUAUGCAAACUAGUAACCUUCUCACGGGAUAUACACUCAAUCACAUAUGUGUUUAGUUUUAGUGUGUUUCGCUCAAAGAAACAAAUGUAAAAUUUCUACCAUAAGCUUGCAUAAAGAUCACUUCUCCACAGUCAUAAUUGCAAAACUUAAAUCAAGAGGACUUUUAUUGGAUGUAAUGAGGCUUAGGGAUAGGGUUAUUGAAACGAAAGAAUAGGAAAACACAAGUUCCAAGCUACAUUGCAAGCAAUUAUUUUGUCUAGAUUUAUAAGAACUCAAGCUCUCCAACGAUUCUUCAGAAACCUCCAAUCACACCCUUAAACUGAAACUUGAAAAACAAAAAUUUUUUUUUUUUUUUUCUUUUUUCUUCGUAUACAAUCUUUCUUUUUCUUUUUCUUUUCUCUUUUUUCCCUUUUUUUUUUUUUUUUUUUUUUUUUUUUUUUUAUACAAACAUGAAAUACCCCCACACUUAUUUUUUUUUUUUGCCAAACACCUUCAAAGUACUUCACAAACGUUUCUCAUAAGACAAUUUCGCAUUGCUCGCUUGGAAAGGGUAAGGAAAAAUGUUUCAGGUAUAAGGGUAGACAUAUCUGGUGAUAAGAAAUAAAAGGCUCAACAUACACGGCUCAAAUUGGCAAUCUAAUGAUAUCAUUUUUCUUUGGGAAACAUGGUUAUUUGGGCCAUGGUGGUAAACCUAAUGCCUCUAUCAUUUCCAAGUUCAUGCAAUCAAUGACAAACAUUUCGAAAGAUCGUUACGCAAGUUCUAGAGAUGUAUCUCACAUAAGUUCAUCACACAUGAAAGAAUAGGAGUGUAUGAAAAAUGCACACACUUUCAAUCGGCUCAAAAACUCACAUAGGAUGUGUAUAUGGUCACUAAAUUCACAUAUGAAGCUUUAAGUCAUACUUUAGUUUCACAUCAACAAGGCUAUGUGCAUUUGGUUUUUCAAAGAUGAUCAAACAUGUACAAAACUAACAAGAGAAUUAGGAAUUUCACCAAACACAUGUUAACUAAGUUCUUGAUGAUCAUGGUUCAAAUUUUUGAUCCAAUUAUAUCAUUGGGUCGGGAAACUAACAAAAAUCUGAUUCAGAACAAUAAGGGAAACAAGACAAUUAUUUUUGGAUUUUUAAAUUUUCCGAUUUUUUUUUUUUUUUUUUUAAUUUUUUUUUUUUUUUUUUUUUUUUUUUUUAAAGAAAACAAAACUAAUUAAGAACACAAAAAACAACAACACAGUUUUUUUUUUAUUUUUAUUUUUAAAAGAAAACAAAACUAAUUAAGAACACAAAAAACAACAACACAGAAACAAAUGAAAUUCUGGAGAUUUCUACCCCCACACUUAAACUGGACAUUGUCCCCAAUGUCAGAAAACACUAUAAUGCAAAAAUAAAUAAAAUAAACAAAAUAAUAAAAAAAAAACAAAAUAAAGCAAUUGGACUGAAAACUUCCCUAAUUUGCAGUAAAAUCAAGCGAUGACCCCCAAGCUAAAAUUCUGCAAUCAACUUCAAGGGUGGAAAUAACCAAAAGUUCCUGCAAAGAAAAGAAAUAAUUCAGUUAAGUACGCAAGAAAAUUAAUUAAAAAAAAAAAAAAUUGCAAACGAAAAAUUGAAAAUUACGAUAAAAGAUAAUGAAUAAAACUAAUAAGUAAUCAUUGGUCGUGCUUGUUGACUUUCCACAGCUUUCCUCUUGAACAGGGUGACACUUAGCUUUUCACUUGCAAGUGAUGAUUUUAUGAUAUUGUACGGCGAAGCUUUGCUCUUUGGUUAUGUUGCAGUUCCUUAUUUGUUCUCCAAGCAGAUGUGGCAGCUUCUCUAGUUCCUCAGUUCGGACUCCUUCCGCUGGGAUGAUUGUGCAAGCUGCAUUCUUCUCUGCUUGUUUCUUCUGCAACAACGGGCAGGCACGAGGGAAAGGUGUUGGUCCUUAUUUCUUUCUUCAAUCUUUCCAAGUGCCCACCUCUUGCUUUCUUUCUCCUUGUCCCUAGCUGAAUUGUCUCCACAUGCUUCGAGGUAUCAUUUUCACUUCCCUUACUGUCCCCCAGGCAGAUGUGGUAGACGAAGAGAAAGCAUAAAAUGAUGAAGAUGAGUACUCGAGAGCAAGGCUAGGUAAGCAAUCAGGAAGGGGUUCCAGGCAGUUGGCUCCAGAUCGGAAGAUUGAUACCAAAUGCUGGCUGAUUGCUCUCUUUCUCCUUGUCGGAAAACAAAGACAAGGAGAAGGACAUGGAGAAAGCAUGAUAUGAGAUACUCUUGCUUUCAACCUUUAUGAUAUGAAAUACUUUUGCUUUGAAUGGGUUGUUCGCAGGAGUAUCCCAAGGAAUGAGGAACACAGAGUGACUCGAGAGGAUUCUUUGGGAAUGCAUUUUCGGAGAUGAAGAGGUGUUGAGAGGGUGUGCUGAGAGAGUGUGCUUUUGCUGUGGAAGGCGAAGGUAGAAACUUAUAGGACUUGUCUUCACAACCGGAACUGUUCUCUCACUUAGUGUCGGCAGCCGGUGGAUGGGUGAAGAAUACAAAUUACGCGCUUUCUGACAAAGCUGCCCGUAAUUUCCGCAAAGCUGAUUCCUCAUUGAUAUCUGUAAUCGGCGCUUCGAGCUCUGAGCAUCGUCGAUUGUAGAGGUAGCAUGUGACACGUGCGGAUAAAUCUGGAAAAGAAGAUUUUCCCGUGGGUUGAAGCCCAGCUUUUGAGAAAGCUAGCGUGUCUUUGACUGUUGAAUUUCCCUCUUCGAUUUCUGAAUUGGUGCUUUGACAAAUUGCCCGAGAUUUCCGCAAAGCAAUUUGCGUGUGACAAGUGACGACACGUCUGGACAAAUUGAUCUUUUUUGAAAUCCGGGGUUCGGCUCGUGGUUUCUGAGCAAGCCCAGCCUUUAAGAAAUGAAACGCCUCUUUUGAGAAAAGAAUCCGGCUUUUGAGAAAGGAAAACUCCUCUUUUGAGAAAAGAAUCAGACGUUUGAGAACGGAGCCCCGACUCUUCGAUUUGCGAGAGGACGCUUCUCUGAGGAGCGCCUCUUUGAUUUCUUCCUUUUUAUAGAGACGUUAAGCUUGUUCCACAACACACUUGAGCUCCCUCCUGUAAACACUCCCUUCUUGCACUUGUUUAAUCUUGAUCAGUCCAACUCUCUUCAUUCUUUACCACCUCUGAAAAAUGUCUGGCCCUUCUGAUCUCAUCGUCGUUUUGACUUGAACAUUGGUGAAGAGGCAGCUCCGCCUUCACCAGACAACAUAUGGCGGCCAUCCUUCAUAUCCCCUACCGGUCCCCUUACCGUGGGGGAUUCGAUGAUGAAAAAAAUGACAUGACCGCUGCGGUGGUGGCCCGAAACCUUGUCACUCCCAGAGAUAAACAGACUGCUCGCAAGGCGGUCUGAUGAAUUGGCGGUCAAGGAGUCUCUGGCUCUCAGUGUGCAGUGUGCGGGUUCCGUAUCCAACAUGGCCCAACGCCUAUAUGCCCGAACCCGUCACGUUGAAUCCUUGGUGGCUGAAAUACAGAGUCUCAAGCAAGAGAUUAAAGGGCUCAAGCAUGAGAAUAAGGAAUUGCACAAGCUCGCACACAGCUAUGCCACCAGCAUGAAGAGGAAGAUUGACCAGAUGCAGGACACCGAUGGUCAAAUUUUACUUGAUCAUCGGAGGUUUUGUGGGUUUUGUUCCAACCGCAUCUGCCUUCGUCUUCUGGGCGGCACCGCGUAGUGAAGCUCCAACUGAUCAACCUCUGCCGCCUCCUCCUUCUGUGGCCCCGCCGACUGCUGAAGCCCCGCCUACUACUGAAGCACCACCCGACCAAUGAAUACUAUUAGUUUACAUCAUUGUAAAAUAUUUGUACUUUUUUUUUUUUUUUUUUUUUUUAUUAUUUUUUUUUUUAUUUUUGAAUUUUUUUUUAUUUUAUUUAUUAUUAUUUUUUUAAUUUUUUUUUUAUGUAAUUUUUAUUUUUUUUUUAUUUUUUUUAUCAUUAAUUUUAAAUUUUAUCUUUUUUUUUUUUUUUAUUAUAUUUUUUUUUUUUUUUAAUUUUUUUUUUUUUUUUUUUUUUUUUUAAAUGUAAAUUAAUGUAAAGAGACUUUGGUUAACCUUCCCCCACACUUAAACUAAAUAACACAAACUCACAGAAAUCAACCAAAUAACACAACUAACUAAACAAAACAAAAUGAAAGCAGCAAAGAUAAGGGUGGGAAGAAUGCAAAGCUGAUUGGGUUAGCGAUUCCAAAGUCUCCCUUCGUUGAAUGCUUGGGUUGCCUCCCAAGAAGCGCUUGAUUUAACGUCUUUAGCCGGACGCAUCUUUCCUUUAAAUUUCCCUCAGCUCCAUUUGUGCCUAAAAUCAAAGAAAGAAAAAUAAAUCAAAUAUCAAAAGUAAAAUACACAAACACCAAUAUAAACAUAAACAAAAACAAAAAUAAAAGGAUUAGCAAAGUUACUAAUCCCCGGCAACGGCCAAAAUUUGAUGCGUAAAAUACUUGACACACAAAUUAAACCCUCUUUUUGACAAUUGUAGUAUAGAUGUAAGUAGGGUAUCGUUCUAGGCCGGGGAUUAGGAGGGAUUGCUAAUCUAUUCUAAAUUAACUUAAAAAUAUUAAACAAGACUCAAGGACACAAAAUUAGGCUAAAAACUCUAAUAACUCGAAACACACUUAAAAUGACUCAAAAUAAUGAAAACAAUUAAAUUAAACACUAGGAACUGAAAUGGACGGAAAUUAAAUUAAAAGACUAACAAUAAAGAAAACUAAAUAAAUAAUAUAAUUUAAUAAUGGAUGGGUGUUUGGUUUUGAUGAAAAGUAAAUUAAACUUAAUUAAAUUACAGAAUUGACAAAAACAUGAAAUUAAAGUAAAAUGAUAAAUGACAGACUAGCUAGAGGGUUCUUCUCCACACAUGUUAUACUUGCAUACAAAAUGAUUUCCAGUUGUUCAUUUAAUAAAUUGUAAAUUUCAAUACUCCAGAUUAACCGUGAACAGCACUUUUUUAAUCUUCAAGUUUUCCUUAAGUUAUUGAAUUGGACGGGAAAACGCAUACAACAAUUCAAAACAUUCUUCAAAAGUCCCCUACGUGAAAAGCACAAUAGAGAUACAAUCAAAGAUCAUUAAACUUUGUGAAAACUAUAAGCAUUGACGAGGCAUUCGUAACUAUGAAAAGCAUGAUACUCUUGCCAAGAAUUUACUUAACGUGAUUGUGACUAGCAACCUUUACUACUUGUGAAAAUAAGUUCAUAACGAUUAGGUGAAAUUCACUUAUAUUCUAGCAUCAAAUUCAUGCAUGUAAAUUAAGCGUGCACUCUCAACCAACAUACACAAAUCAGUUUUUAUACGAACGGCUAAGUAAAUUGAAAUCACAACUUAUGAAAUCACAACCGAAGGUAAUCAAUUCAUAUUACAAAUAUAUUCAUGGCUUUGAAUUAACCUCUAGCCAAAAUAAAUUUAGCUACACAUUAUUCUAAAAUAAAACCAACAGUAAAAUAUAAGUAUGGAGAGGAUUAACCGAGAGAGAAUAAUUUGCUGCGUUCUUGCCCUGCAUCCAGCUCACACACGCUGCCAAGCAGCAUCCUCAUCUUUCUGCGCACCUCUGACACAUGCUGCCCAAGGCAGCGCCCAUCCCUUGCGUCAGUCCUCUAGUCUCACGGUUUUGCUCCAGCUGCAAGGGCAGCGUGCUGACUUUGGUUCCUGAUUUUCCCGUGCUCACCUCAAGACCGCCCUUUCCGUCCUUUCUCCCGCUCCACGUGCUCAGUGCUUUCCCUUCUUUGCGCAUGUCCUUUCACUGCUCCAAACUGCCAAAGGCAGCAACCCGUGGUCCUGCACGUACUGACUUCUCUUCCCCCCAGCUGCCAAAUGGCAGCUCUCUCCCCGUGCUCUCUUUGGCUCUCCCCCGCAGCUUCUUGCUGCUCUCUUUGACCUCGCUGCCAAAG
rnacentral:lncRNA from 1 species